UAUAUAUAUAUAUAUAUAUAUAUAUAUAUAGUGAGGCUAUUAUGCUAUCGAAAGUACGGAGCCUUCCGUGCUUCCACCUCGUUUUCGAUGUUGCGACUUUCGAAUCGUCGAUCGGCUCCGUUAAAAUUGAUCUAGAGUAUUUGGAGUACCUAGAAAAUAAAUUUUAUUAUUUUUCGAUAUCAUUUGCCUAGUGAUCGAAUGAGCUCAAAAUCAAUAAAUUUCAAUGGCCGUAGUGAGCCGUUGAGUUAUUUAUCAUAUCUGAUAAUCAACCAUCUAGCUACAGUGGAGCACGAAGUUGUUAUUUUUGUCUCGAAUUCGAAUUUGUUGUUCUUGCCAAGUAAUAUAAGCGGGUAGAGUUACUUCCGAAGAUCUGUAAUAAUAGCAGAGAAUUUAGGUUACAUGAGUUCUGUCGGAUCGUUAACGUUAACCAUUAAUCCCAAAAACUGAAGUUAUGAGAAAUAUACAAUUAAUUCUCAUAAGGCAUACAGAUAUAGCGUCUAUAAGUUUUGAUUCGUGAUUCGAUCCGAUCAACCUCACGUCAUUUUGAACAUGACCCAUCUUAACUUGACCUCCUGCCACAGGGCAGAAUACUGAUCCUUUUAAGCUAAUAAAUUCGAGUCUGCAAGCAAAAACUAGAGAAAUAUCAAAGUGAUUUUAUUAGAACAACACAUUUUCAAACUAUGACCGAGUUACAAUCCAAAUUCACAAUAUGAUGAUGAACACCAUUAAUAAAUGUUACAUGCACAUACCCCAACCUAGGCCCACACCCUAAUUAAAUUAAAAACGAAUUUGAAUUUGUAGCCAUAAUCCAUCCACCACUCUAAUCUAGCCUAUAUUUAGAUUCAUGAUCUUCAUUUAAGUUAAAGAUUAAUGUAGCCGCCCCAGCAACCGUUGGGAUGCUAAACCUUCUAUUAAUUAGCCCCAGGAAAAAACCCUAAACCCUAAUUAAUAAAUUACUAAUCCACAAACGAACCUGACAAUAAGAUGACGCAUUAAUCGAUUCCCUAAUUACUGUCGUUUUGCCUAGCAAAGUACCGGGAACGUUCCCAUCCACCCCCCCUUUCAAAAAUUCAAAUCUUAGUACUACAUUUAAUCUUUGAUUAGUGUAAAAUAAUGUUUAAAAAAGCUCCUGAGCUUUUGAAAAAAAAUUAGUUUAUUGGAGACAAUGAUGGGCACAAAAAGAUGGAGAGGCCUCGUUCCACGAGCUUAAUUGAAAAAGGGGCGAAAAGUUUAUUAGAGUGCGGGAAGGGUGAUUAAAGAAACGCAACACAUGCCUCUUUUGAUUAAUGGAGAAAACAUAGUUUAAUGCUUGCUUAAUAUGUAUAAUUUAGACACCUAAUUAAUUAAGCCUCGGGUUUUAUCUUUCUCUCACCUUGCUUAUCGUGUUGCUCUUUACAGCUUUGAAAUUGAUAGGAUAAACAUUACUUUUUUGAGUGAUUAUUCUAAUUUCGUUUUGUUUUGCGCGUCAAUUUAUCUGUUUAGAUUAGAUUUUUAAGCAACUUAAGGGACAUUUGGAUUAAAUAAUUAUAAUUCGGCAUGUUUAUCAUGACACGUAUCUGUUGCUAAAUCUAUGAAAUUUAAAUUUAAAAACUUAUGUUAAUCAAAGACUAAAUAUAUGUAUAUAUGUAAUUUAUUAAAUACAGUUUUAAAAGAUGAAAUAAAAGUCAUAAGGUACAUUUUUGAAUAGAAAAGGAAGAGACACAAGGUACAUGUCAUCAUCAUAUAUAGCUUGAAAACAUCAAAAAUAAAAAAAAAAUGUCAGAGGAUUUGGAUUAUAUACCUCUUGAGAAGUGAGAGGGGAUUAUAACGGAGUUGAAUGGAAGAUUCCUCUUUUUCAAUUUAACGUACGGCGUUUGAUUAAUAUGAUGUCAUAAAUACGGCUUCUAUGUACUACGCUGUCCCUUCCUCCCCAGUAUUAGCAUGCAAUAUCUUACCUUAAUUAAUACAUGCAGGAUCUUUUAUCAGAAGAUCCAACCGCUCAGAUCGAAUCCUCUUGGGCCCCCACAUGUCCAUUUGUGAAAUCUUUUGCAAUUUUAAAAUUCUCUUCUUUAAUGUCAUACUAACUUUUAAAUUAUUCAAAAUCUAUAAUAUAAAAAAAUAUAUAUAAUUAUGUUUAUUUUCGUAAAAAAAAAUAUUAUGUGUUUUUUGUGAAAGGACUGAAAAGUCAUAGAGGGAGUUAUGGAGGGCAUGCAGUGUCAUUUUUACCACGUCACGUAGGAAAAAGCUGCAUGAAGUGAAUAAAGAGCCCUCCAUAAGUGGACGACUCAGAACACGUUAAAAGCGCCCGAUUCGAACUCGGUCCCCUUUUUUUUUCCCGAUUUACCCCUCUUCCCGUUGAAACAUGAGAAGAGACAUGUACGGGUUAACUCCCUGAACCAUUCACAGGACUUUUUCAAUGAAUAUUUCAGACCUUAUUAUAUGUAACAUUUUACAUUUUGCCCAUUUUAUGAGUUACAAUUUUUCGGAAAAAAAAAAUAUUGAAAAAAGUAAGAUCAAUAAAGAAAAAUAAUAGUCUUUAAAUAAUCAAAAUAUAAGAUCUAUGCCUUGUAAAUAUAUAUAUAUAUAUAUAUAUAUAUAUAUAUAUAUAUAUAUAUAUAUAUAUAUAUUACAUUAUGUUAUUUUUGCAUUGUUGGUGUGUUAAUUUUCAUGCUGUGGAGAUAUUUUGGUUCAUUUUAUUAUAAAAUAUGCUUGUUUUUCAAAGCUUCUCUCUUUAGAGUUUUUACUUUUAAAAGUGUGAUUAUUUUUAUUUUUUUCUUGUAAUAUAAAAAGCCUUUUUAUAUAAAAAAAUUAAUUAUUUUAAAUAUUUAAGCAAAGUAAAUGGCUCAACAAAAAAUAAAAAGACCCACUGGAGGAGGAUCAGGAACUAAAGUAUUGCAUAUAUUAAAGUUGACGAACUAAAGUAUUUUAGAUAAGAAAAAUAUUUUAUAUCUCGCAAUAUGUAAAGAAAGAUUGUAUUUGUCCCAAUAUAUAGAACAUUUUCUAAACAAAUCAUGUUAUGCCAUAUGAAAAGGUAAAGAGCAUGAUCAGGAAACAAUUUCUAUAUAUAAUAAUAUAAAUUUUUUAAUUAAAAUAAUGUUUGUAUACUCACAUGUCAAACGAGGAUAUUUGAUUCAACGUUAUUAUUCAAAUAUAAAAUAAUUGUGAUAACAAAUUUAUUCUUAAAAUAUUAUACUUAUAUACUAGUAAUAUGCUGAUGAUACUAAAUAGUAUUUUCAAAAUACGUAUAUUAAGCCAUCAAUUCUUUCUAUAUCGUACCAGCAAAAGCUCAGUUAUAAACAACCAAUCAAUUAUAUUUUUUGCGAACAAAAUAUAAGAAGUUUUUUUUUCGUAAAUAAUAAUAAAAUGGAUGAAUAUCGGAGUAUAUAUAAUUGUGACUGAUUGGGUUAGAAUAUGUGAUUGGCAUAUUAUAACUUUUUUGCUUUUUUUUUUUUUCAAUAUGGGGCUCUACAUGAAGGAGGAAUUCUAUACUAUCACACUUGCACCACGUCAUCAAUAACAAGCCAAUCAUAUUUCUUCUUUUCAAACAAAAGUAUAAUAAAAAUAUUAUUUUUACAAUCAUGAUGGGACAUAUAUCUCUAAAAGGAGACAUUUGAUUGAUUUGUUACGCCACGUCACCGAUAUAUCCGUUGCGUUCUAAAAUUUUUCCUACAUAAAGUGGUGUGAUAUUUACCAUUUUUCUAUUUUUUGGAUCUAUAUCUAAUUAGUAUGGUUGAUUUUACCCUCUACAGAUGUUCAAUCAUAGGGGCUCUGAGUAACUGAUCAGAGAGGAAUAUCCCAAGCAGGAGAGUGUCAAGAGAUUAAAAAGUACCCUCUAAAACCCUCUCAUCCAUCAAAUCAAAUUCCUAAUCAUUACUGAAAAGAAAUUUGAAAAGGUAUGGAGUAGAUUCAGAUAAUCAGAUCAGGGUCAGGUGGGGAGGAUCAAUCAGAUCACCUGCACCACCCUACUACUGCUCUGCUAUUAGUCAUCUACUCUAUCAACAAUUUCUAGUCCAGCCCCACAUGAUUACUUGCUAUGUAGACUUUUAGGAAUUAAAUAAUCAUUCAAAAGAUAUUUUUUUGUGUGUAAAAAAUAAUGUAAAUUAAUAUUUGAAAGUUGUAUCACUCGUGAAUGAAUAUAGAGAAAUGCUGCUUGUACACUUCGGUGCUUGUACACUUCGAAAGAGGCUAUAUGAUUUACGCUCCUCGGCAUAGAAUUUAAGUUUCUUUAAAUCUUUAGAAUUUGUUUAAAAAAGUUCACAAGAUAAAUAUGAUCCUUGGAUGAAGCGAGAGUAAGAUUUACAAUUUUUUGGGGGGAUGUUCGAGUAGUAUUACUCAUGAAUUUAUGCAAUGUACAAUAGUAAAUUUAAUUUUUUGUAAUUUAGUUUUUUAAUUUAUUUUAAAUAUAUCUUUUUUGAGAAAGAUUUAUUUUAAAUAGUUAACUACUGGGAAGAACACAUCUUCUCAAUAAUUAGUAUAUUGUACCAUCUUUGAAACUAGUGACAGUUUUAGGUUGAUUUUACAAAGGCAUAAAUUUUGAUUCUCAAACUAUGAGAAGUCGCACAUUUUGACUAUCAAACAUUUUUUAUUAUAAUUUUUAGUUUAGACUUUUAAAAUUAUUACAAUCAAGCCUAGCAGUGCAGUCUAACUGAUCAAAUAGUGCUAGGUCGAUCAAUAGCAUGUAUAAUAAUAUAUAGCAGCAUUAUGACUGAUAAUAUGAAAAUGAUUAAGACAACAAUAUGACCGAUAAUGUGAAAAUUAAUGAUUAAGACGCUACAUCACUACCACUUCAAGUACUGUACAUUAUCAUUCAACCAAUUACUUAAUUACAAUGUGAAACUUGGUUACAAUAAUUUAAAAAUUAAAAUAAAAAAUUACAAUAAAUUAAGUGUCACAGGUCUCAUAGUUUGGGAACCAAAGGUGAAACCAUAGCCUUUCAGAAAGGAGUAUAUCUGGUAAAUCAUAUGGCAAUGAACUUGUCAAAGUUACAGUAGUAGCAAAGAAUGCAAAAGGGCAUUUUGUACAGUGAUUGAGGUAGAACUAUAAUAGGAACUAAUGCACAUGGUCUGUUUUAGGCCCCGGGAGACACAAAAGAGUGAGUUUGACAUUACUUUUGUUUCAUUUGCCCCCAUGCGUUUGUUCCGAAACAGUCGAAUCUUAUUCACCUCACUUUAAAGUUAAAAAGAAACCUUUUUUAUUUAGUUUUUUUUUAAUUCUUUUUCUUUUCAUUGGCUGGAAGAGUAUUAACUUCCGAAUAAAAAAGAGAGGGGGGAGUAAAAGCGUAACUAAAAGCUUUUGUCUUUUUCCGCUGUACUAUAUGGAGAGGUGCUACUUUAAUAAUACUACUAAAAAGUUAUAAAUAUAUUGUGAGUAUUUGCGUUACUUCAGAUUCAAAAUUGAAUGCCCAAUUUGCAUAAAAGAUUCGUUAUUUUUGGGGCUUUUUUAUUUUGUAUUUGGCCCCUCAUUGUUUUUUACAAAUAAUUCUAUCAAAUUUAUAAUUAUAAAUUUGGUCCUAUUUCCGUUACGCAGAUGCCACAUUAGCGCCAUACAAGCUGGAGGGUGUUAAGUUGAACAUGGUAAAUGAUUCACCGUGUUUCAUAUUUAUAUUUUUUUUAUUCCUUUUUUUUUUUUCUUUUCAAUGCUUAUAUUUUUUGGCAAUACAUAUAUUUUUUUUAGACACGGCAUGGUGAAUGGUUCACCGUGUUCCAUACUUAUAUUUUUCUUAUAUUUUUUCACAAUACAUAUAUUUGUAUUUUUCCCAAAUACGAUGAAUCAUUUAUUUACCGUGUUUAGAUAUAGUGAAUAUGGUUCACCAAAUUUAAUUUAAUAAACUGGUCCCGGUCCUGCUCAUGUGGCGCUGGCGUGGCGCCCGUGUGGCAGGAUUAGGGCCAUUUUUGCAAAUAUAAAUUUGCUGGAGUUAUUUUUAAAAUAAUUUUUUUUUCAAAGGGCCAAAUGCAAAAAAAGUUUUUUUUUGAGUUUUUGCAAAAAUAAUUCAUAUUUUUGAAUUUUACAGAUUCCAUCUGAAUUUUUAAAAAUUGACAAAAAUACUAUUAUUUUCUCUCUCUCUCUCUCUCUUUUUUUUUUUUUUCUCUCUCAUUCUUUUUUGUUCUCUCUGAAGAGGGCGGCUGAGGCAGAGGCGGCCAACCUCGCCCGCAACCACACACCCGCCGCGCUCCUUGCCAUCGUCCACUCCGCCACCGCCUCACGAGCGACAGCGAGCAUCGCCUCGGCCACGACCUCAUCACCACCGUCCACUCCCCCCUUAUCCACACUUGCUCGGAAACCUCCUCCUUCAGCACCGGCGUUGGUAAAGACGGAGACGGAGGCGGCGGCUGAGGGGACGGCACUGCACUUGUUAUCAUCACUGAGGGCCGCGGAGAUGAUGGAGAAGGCGAUGAGAGUCGGAGAGAGAAAAAAAAAUAGAAAAAGAAAAAAAGAGAGAAAAAAAAUAAUGGUAUUUUGUUUAGUUUUUUAAAAAUUUGAAUUGAAUCUACAAAAUUCAAAAUAUUGGACCGCUUUUACAAAAUCUUAAAACUAGUAAAAUUUUUAUGCAAAAAGGCCUAUUAAAAAUCUCUUGACUUUUUUUAUUAUCAAACAUUAUAAUUUUUUUUUAAAAAAAACCUGUAAUUAAAAUGAAAACAGAAGCAAAAAUGUGAAAAAAAAAACUAAAACAGCUAAUGUUCGUAGUAAUUUAAUAUCUGCAAAGAAGAUCUUCCGUAUCUUCAUCAAUAAACUUUAAAAGCAAAUGUGGCAGGUCUAUAUAUAUUUCUUUGUUUCUUCUGUUUUUUUUCGUUUUAUUUAAUUCGCUUAGCUAGGUUUCAUCUGAAUCUUAUAGGCGUAACCCCACUUAAUUAAAAAGGACAAGUGAAGAUGAGUUGAUCACAUGGUCACCUCAUUUAUAUGCAAUUUGCUUAGCCUCAAAGAGGCAAGUAAAAUGUUACCUCAACCACCUCCCCUGUUUUUUAACUGUGAUCAAGAAAACUUUGCCUGCACCAAGAGUAUACUAUAUAUACUUCAUACAGUGCUUCUAGUAUGCGAGGAUAAAUAUUUUAAAUUUAAAUUCUAACCCAAUAAAUAUAAUCAACCGUCAGCAAAGAGCCUAUAUAUAAUAACUGUUUAUUUUGAAAACCUAUUACCCAGCCAUUAAGUGAUAUAUAUUAAUUUAAUGGCGGAGAAAAUACUGUUCGUUAACUCGUAAGAAACUGAAGUUUAAAUUUUAAGAUUUUUCAUAUUGUGCAUGGUUAUGUUUUAGUAAAGUAGUGCAAUAGCGAAGGGGAAUAACUCAAUCUCUACUGGUUAACCCUUACCAACUCGGCCGAGUGAGAUCGAGAGUUUUAAUUCUCACCAGUAGUAAGAACAGAUUUGAUUUUUAUCGAGUCUAUGAUAGGUAUGCGGCCAAUCAAGAGUAUUGCUCCGGAGAGUCCAUGCCGCGCGGACAUAUCUAGCAAGUUAGAUUCUGAUCUUGCGACCUGUAUUAUAGAAGUUUGCGAACGGAUUGGACGUGAUGCACAAACUUGUGCACCCGGUGCAGGGAAGAGGUGGCGCGGCCCGAGUGGCGACCAAGUUUGUGGCUGAGCCGACCCUACGACGUGGGAUACAGCGGUUCGGGUCGGGAAAAGACGGAUCCGGAGCACAUGCGCCACAUUCCAAACCAUCCAAUCGGAUGGCGACCGUAGCCUCAAACCCCUCCCCACGUGUACUCCGCGCACAUCACAUGGGAAGCUAAUUUUGGGCGUGUCUCAACACCAAUAAUAAGUUGAAGCUAUUUCUUAAUUAUUAUUAUUAUUAUUUUUGUAACUUUUGCUUUGAAGAUAAUAAUAAAAGUAAUUACUUAAAAGGCACGUCUGAAUCCAAAUACAAUGUACUUUAGAUCUACACAUUAUUAUAUCUAAGAAAAAAAAAUAGAAGUAAAAUUAUAAAUUUUUAUUUAAAGAUCAGAAUAUACAUUUCUUAAAUUUCAACUUAGAAGGUGUUUGGUUCUAUGUAAAAUCACGAAAAAUAAUUUUUUGUAGAAUUUUUUUUUUUUUUUUUUUACGUUUUGUGGUGUUUGAUUUAUAUGAAAAAAAAUAAUUUUUUAUAAAUAUUUAUUUGGUUGAAAAAAAAUCUAUAUUUGUUUAGUUGGGUAAAAAAAAAAGUUAAUUUUUUUUCUCAAAUCAUUAAAAAUGCUUUUACGAAAAAAAUAUUUUAUACAUUGAAUCAAACAAGAAAAAAAAUAUUUUUUAUACCGAAAAUAAUUUUUCAAUUCACUUUACGUUGAACCAAACACGCCCCCUAAACUAAAACCUAAACUAAUGUUUAAACUGUUAGUUCAUUGACACAAUUUGCUUGAAUCGUGCGUGUCUAAAUUUGACGCUAGGGUCAGUUAUUUUCCUACUUGAAUUGGACUGGCUAAUCGGAUCAAGUUAAGCCAAGUCUCCAUGGCGCAAAUCUUAAAGCAAUAUGGGCACGUUGGUGGCUUAAAAAUUAGCGCGCCAAAUACAAUUUUAAUAAAUAUUGGUGGGGAAAUGUUUUCUUCCAAUAUAAACAAACAUUAGCCAAACAGGACUCAACAACUUCAAAAUCAAAAGCGAAAAAACCAAUUAAGUAAAAAAUAAAAAAUAAAAAAUUUAAAAAUGAGAAGAGAAUUGAAGGAUUUUGCUGCAAUCAAUAGAACCACAAAGAAUUUACACCCAACUGGUUCUUUGAAUUCUCUCUUUCUCUCUCUCUCUCUCUCUCUCUCUCUCAUCCAAUAUUGUUACAAUACCAUUAAAAAAAGAAAAGGACUCAUAAAAUCAGGUGGAAUAAGAGAGCUCAAACUAAAACUAUCCUCUUAUUCAUCAUACUCGUUUUGAAACCUCUUGAACUCCAUCCACAUUGAGCGACCAUUAUCGCCAUCGUCGUCGAUCACCAUUUUCUGAAGAGGUACAACUCCUUUUCCUUCUCCGGCUCCCGGCCCCACUCGGCCUUCGAGCGGAGGUUGUCGAGCCGCCCCACGACCGCGCUCUUGAAGUCGAAGGCCUCCUGCACGUUGGCGCACGACCGCUGCAUCCCGACCCCGCUCAAGCUCGCGCGCGACUCGACCAUGACCUCGCUCAGCGGCAGCCGCUUCCGCAGCAGGCUCCCCGGCUCCGGCCGCUGCUUGGGCGCGCUCUGCGACCGCACCUUCGCCUCGAACGACUGCGUGUUCGCCAUGUAGCUCGGGCAAUUCGCCGCGUUCAGCGACCUCCGGAAGGCGUAGUCGCCUCCGCAGACGCUCUUCGCGGGCGUCGCGGGCUGGUUCAGGUACCGCGGCGUGCUCUGCGCGGUGGCGGCGAGGCGGCAUUCGUAGUCCGGGAAGUAAUUGCGGCAGUUGUUGCCGCCGCCGCCGCCGGAGACGGCGAUCCGCGCGGGGACGUGGCAGGGGAGCGGGGACGAGACGGAGUUCGGGGGGAAGAACUCCUCGCUGGCGUCCCACGCGAACGGGCUCGUGCGCCGCGACGACCGCGACUUGGGCCGGCAGCACGUGUCGAUCUCCACGAUCUUCGGGCUGUGGAACGGCGCCGCCUGCUCGCUCCGCGUCUCGUCGCAUCUCUCCUGCUAUACAUAUAUAUAUAUAUAUACAUAUAUAUAUUUUUAUAAAGAUAAAUAAAAUAAACUUUGUCAAAAUUCGAAUUUGAUUCGAAAUAAGAGAAGAAAUUAUACGCACGAGAGAUCGGCGGGGCCGGAUCUCGGGGUGGAAGCGCCGGUCGCUGGGAAGGAGAUUGCGGCGCUUGUGGGCGCGAACGGUGGCCUGGGCUCGAAUCAGAGCUUGCAUGCUGUGUAGCGUCGCCGCCGCUUGUUUACGAACCAAAUAGCCUCGCACAAGCGCUUGUAGCUUCACCAGCGCUUUCAGAGCGCGAAGCGCUUUUCUAGCCUGCAGCAACAAAAUACCCGAAACAGGGGUUUGAACUUGUUACGUACAGUGUAAUAAAGGAAGGAUUAUAAAUUUUUCUAUAAAAGAGGAGCUGGCUCAUAAAUGUGAUGAGAUGGUGGAAGUGGGGGGCGGGGGGGAAAUGGUGAUGGGACGAUGAUCGUAGCACAGAGAAUUGAAUAGAUCCCAAUUCGAAUGCGUAAUCAAUAAAAAAGUUAUUAUGAGCCCCCACACGGAGUAGCUUAAAAAAAAAGAGGAAAACAGAAGGGAACUAUAACCAAAAACAGGGGGCUGUUGAAGAACCAAUCAUAGGGAAUGUAGCAGAAGUAGAACAAAGAGAAUGGUAUGGCGAACCCAAUUCGACAGAGGAUUCUUAAAAAAUGCGAAAAUUACGUUAAAAAAAAAAAAGAUUAUAAAUGUUUUUUUUUUAAAAAAAAUUCUGUGUAACUUUUGUUUACCAAGUAGCCUCUGAAGGCGGUUUGGAUCUUAACGGCGGCGAGGCGCUCGUGGGCGGCGGAGGCGCCGCGUCCCUGACUUGUGAGGCGCACGACCGCGACCGCGGCCUGGGCCGCUGCCACGGCGGCGUCCGCGGCCGCCGCGGUGGCCGCCGCCACCGCGAUGGCGUGCUUGCUCUGCUCCUUCUCCGUCUCCGCGUACAGCGACCUCAACCACGCCGCCGCAGCGGCCGGAUGCCUCGUCGCCGCCGCCGCAGCGGCCGCGUCAGCGGCUGCGGAGUCCCUCGACGACGACUUCGCGAAGCUCCAUCGCUUCUUCUCCCUCCUAUCCUCUCCUCCUCCUCCUCCGCCGCCGCCUCCGCCGCCGCCCCCGCCAUAGCAGGAGUACUCCACCUGUUCCCUCUGCUCCUUGCUCUCCUUUCUCCCUCCAAGGAGGCUCCUUAACCACCUCGUAGCUCGACCCAUAAGCGAUUUCGCCGUUCGGAAGCGCUUCAGGGAGAAGAACAAAGAAAUGGGUAUCAGCCAAAAGCUCACAUAGCACACGAUGUUAAGAGAAAGGAGCCUCUUUGAUUCCACCAAACCUUCAAAAAUGAGACCUUUGCCAAAAGAAGGAGAACGUAAAUAGAAAAGGUAGCAGAAAAUAAGGGGAAAAACGGAGAGAGAGAUAGAAAGAAAAAAUAAAAGAAGAGAGAGUAAAAAACUGUAGAUCCCUCGUGAUAAGCUGCGUUAUAAGACAAAAGCUAUGUCCCGGAAAGAAACAGGAGAGAAAGAUAAAGAGAGCCCCAUUAAAGUAACAAACAGAGAAAAGAAGCAAAAACCCACAACCAUAUACUACAUAGCCGUUAAAACUUAAACUGAGAGAGAGAGAGAGAGAGAGAGAGAGAGAAUGGGGAUAGAGGAAAAGAGGUCGGGAUAUAGCUGGGGCCAGUGUCUAAGAUUCAAAAAUACAAUAAAGGGAGUUUAAAAGGGGAUUAUAGAGGAAGAAGUAUAGCUCACGUUUCCAAAUAUUCCCCACCUCUACAUAACUUAGCGCAAGAGGACAUAGAGAGAAAACAGAGGAUAGAGAGGACCCAUCUUCUUUUUCACUUGGAAGAGCUGCAGCACAACAAACUCCAUCUUAGUCUCAAACUACUUAUGACCAUGAAACACAUUGUCGUGGAAAAGAAAGGUGAAAGGCUCCUUAACUUGCCAUCAACUUCGUAAUAGAGCUUUGUGGGAAAGAAACAUUGUAAGCGCUAUAGGAAAUAAGGAAACCAACCUCAAAAAGUCACAAAGGCUCCUAUGUUCCUUCAAUAGAGAACUUGGUACUCAACACAUUGAACACAAAGGCCCCUCCCUUUUUUUCCCUCCCCAAGUUUAAAAGCCUAGUAUCAUGGAUGGUACAUUACAUAUUCUCAUUUGAUCAAAGGAUUCAAUGUAUAUAUAUUCCUCUGCUCCUAUUGCCCUUAGCGCCUGACACUCUCGUGAACCACUCAUAACUUUUUAUCUCUUAUUCCCUCUCUCUCUCUCUCUCUCUCUCUCUCUCUCUCUCUCUCUCCCCCCUCGAUCCCCUGUUUCUUUUUCUUCAUAAAACAGAGGAGGACCCAAAAGGACGAAAUCUAAAGGCUAAUAAGUGAAAAGGAGAAGCGGGUAUUUCUCCUACCUACUAAGGAUCUUAUAUAGACGUCAUCAAAUAAACAGGGAAAUGGGAUUUUGAUCCCUCGCCAUGAUAGGCUCCACCUUACUCUGACCGCCCAGGUGACAACAUUUACGCACGGGAAAAUUAAAUAUGAUUGGAAAAAGAAGCGAAAAGGGGAAAAGAAAACCCAUCAAUGAGAGCCCGAGAACACUUACUUCUCCCUCUGCAGGGGUUGGUGAAUAGGAAGAGGAAAAGAAAAAACGCUUAUGCUUAGAAAAGCAAAAAAGGUGGGAUUUUUAAUGGCUUAGAAGAAGAGGGAAACAAAGCUUCUUCCUCUACAAUUUCUCCUCAGCUUGAGAGAAAGAGAUAAGAGUAAAAGAGGAGGGAUUCGCUUUUCAAAUCUCUCUCUCUCUCUCUCUCUCUCUAAAUAUUUGUUUAUUUAAAUAAAAUAAUAAGGUGGUUUCUUUAAAAAAUGGUGUUUAUUUUUAAAAUAUUUCCUUAUAUAGGCAAUGAGUAGCAACGUUCCACUAUCCACAAAUGGUAAAACGAUGACCAAUCCAUUUGGCCGAGAAGAGAGAGAAAGAGAGAGAGAGAGAGAGAGAGAGAGAGAGAGAGAGUUCGCAUGUUGGGAUUAUGCGACACGGACGUUUCAUCUUAGACGUGUCCCGAAAUUACGUAUCAGCCCCCGCACAACUCCACUAUUAAACCAGGAACUAUAACGGGGUUGAGGGAUCCGCGUCGAAGGGUAGUUUAGUAAUUUUGCGCCUGAUCCGGGUCCAAGGGUGACGUAGGCGCCUAUUAAAGUCGUACGACGAUCUCGCCCUAAUUUUGGGGGGAAAUCGAAACGGGCUUGCGAAAGAAGCCCCCGGGUUUGCGGAAAUUUACCGGAAUGGGACAAUCGCUUCUCGUCGAGGGUAUCUCCGUAAUUUAAGCCUCAAAUGUGACCAGUUUCAGUAUCACCUACCCUGCUUUGCGAUUCGAGCCCUGAUUAAAACACCGACUAUUCCUCGGACGAUUUUGUAGCGUUUCUUUUUUUCAAAAAAACAAAAUUAAAUUUGGGGUAUAUUAUUAUCUCACACAUUUUUGCUUUAUUAUUUUGUAAUUCCGAAAAAAUUACUUAAUUAUUUUAUAAUUUAGGACUUUUUUAUUUUUCAUCUUACGAUUCAAAAAGUUAUAUUUCAUUACAGUUUUAUUUUUAUUUAAUUAUAGAAAUCUAUCGUUAAAAAGGAUGCAAUUAAUUAUAUGACUUUUUAAAAAAUAUUAUACUAUUCUAUUUUACCGAAUAAUUUUAGUUUAAAAAAUAGCAAAAUAUAACUUUCUGAAUCAUAGAAUAUAAUAAAAAGUACGCCAAAUCGUAGCGGAACAAAUUGAACUUUAUCAUUUUACUUUGGUUAAUUGCAUUACUCUUUCUCUAACUUUUUUUGUUUUUUAUUUCCAUCCUUGUUAUUUUUUGUUUAAAUCAGAUGCGUGAUUUUUAGGAUUAACCAUACUAUUAGUUUCUCAUUGGUCACUGACCUCUUUGCCCAUUAUCCCAUAUCGAGUCUAUCACGUCAAGCUAAAUUUCACCUCCUUUAAUAUCAUCCUUCAUAUCUGUAAUUUUUCGAUUUUACGCAUUUUGUUAUUGUAUCUUUUAAAGUAUUCGAUAUUGUAGGAUUAAGUUGGACGUGCAGCUAAAUUCUUUCAAAAGUUGAAAAGUUGAUGUUGGAUUUAUUGGAGAUUAUCAAAUCAUGAUCAUGAGCUACUAAAUAGAUAGAAUUUUAUUAAAGUUAGCAUACUCUAUUUGGUAAAAUAAAAAAAAUUAAAUGGUUGGAGCUAAAUUAUAAUAAAAUAUCAAAAUUAGAGAAAAAAAAUCAGAUAAAGUUUAGGGACAAAGGAGCAAUCAAAAUUUUUUUUUUUUCACCAAUGUAAAAAAAUUAAAAUAAAAUAUGGGGUUCUCGCCCGUUGAAAUUACGGGAGUGCCCCUAUUUGAAGUUCCCGCUAAGAUCCCGAAUCUAUUUAAAAUUUUGAAACAAGGUAACGGAAGAUUCCGACAGGGUGAGGGGUUUAUUCGUCCGAGUUUGACCAAAAUGCCACCGUGAGCUAUUACUAACCCACGCUCAAAUCUGAAAGAGUUGGGAGGGCAUUUGAGUAAUUUGAUAAAUUUUUAAAUAAAAUAAUGUGAAAAUUUUGUGUAGAAUGGGGACAGGAGAAGAACCAAAAUCAUUUUGGACUCGGAUCUAGAUGCGAGAUUUUGGGACUUAACCCGACAAUGCGGUUAAUUUUUUUUCCCCUUUUUUUUUUUUUUUUUUUUUUUUUUUUUUUUUGUCGACGACGGAUUGGUUAUUAUUAUGGUUGCAAAUGGUGUUCAAAAUUAUUGCAUACACCAGGCCUAUAAAUAUAUCCGAUAUACAGCUUUCUCAAAGUACAAGGGAUGAGAUGUCAAAAUCAAAAUCUUAUUUAUUAUAUUUUUUUCUACAAUAUUUAGCAUUUUCGACAUCAUUUUCUUAUAAAUUAAAUAAUGCAUUUUCUUCACAGUAAUUGAUUUUUGGGAUUUUGCUUGAUACUUUAGUUAUAGGUUUUCAAAGUUUGUGAUAUUUUGUUCAUAUGUAGUAUAAACCAUAUCGUUGUUAUUGGGUUUUAAUUUUAGAAUUUUACGAGUCAAAAAAAGGAUGGUACGGUGCAUGAGACGUGUGGAUACACCAGAUGCAGCUAAUAAUUUUUUGAGAGACAUGGUGAUUUGUUAAUGUGAUAGCGUGCAAUAGUUGUAGGCUUGGUUAAGUUGAGAAUGUUUCCAUGCGUACGUAAUUGGUGUGAUCUUUGUAAAACGUUGUUGCUAUGGAUUGAGCUAGCAAAAUAAUGCAUUCACAUGAUCUGUUCUAUUAAAUGAGUGUCUCUGUGUGUAAUGUGCGCGUUUUUUUUUUUUUUUUUUUUUUUUUUUUUUCUAAGUUCUCAAUUUGCUUGCUAAUAUAAAAAAAUUAAAAUAAAGUAUUCGACAAAUAAAAUAUUUUAAAAGUUUUGGUAUAUUGAAAAAGUCAAAGCAAACUUUAUUAUGGUCAAGAGGUAUUAGUAUAAUUUUUUGGGAAAACUUCAAAUACCUACCAUGUGGUUUCAUACUUUUUCACUUCAAUACUCUGUGGUUUAAAGUGUAUCAAGUUAGUACCCUAUGGUUUCGCACUUUCUCACUUUAGUACUCUGUGGUUUAAAGUGUAUCAAGCUAGUACCCUGUGGUUUUUCACUUUCUCACUUUAGUACCAUGUGGUUUAAUAUUUCGUUAAAUUAUAUACCCUGAAAUAGAUAAUAAAAAGAGAAAAUUGAAACCACAGGGUACUAACUUGAUACAAAAAUAAAAUUACAGAGUACUAACUUGAUACAAAAAUGAAACUACAGAGUACUAACUUGAUACACUUUAAACCACACGGUAUUAAGGUGAUAAAGUACAAACCACAUGGUACUAACUUGAUACACUUUAAACGACAUGGUACUAAAGUGAGAAAGUGCGAAACCACGGAAAGAUAUUUGAAGUUUUCCUUAAUUUUUUUUUAAGAGAUAAGUGCCAAUACACCCUUCAAAACUUCAAAAAUAUUUCAUUUAUUCAUACUUUUUUUUUCUUUCUAAUAUACCCCCUCAUAUAUUCCUCCGUUAUUCUAAAAUACCUCUGCAGUUACCACCAGUUAAGUUAAUUGGAUUAAAUAAUAUUCCUCUAUUCAAAUAAUAUUUUUGUAGAACAUCUAGCUGGAUUUAAAUGGCUCUAACAACAUUUUCUUUGGAGGUAAGAGAACUCAAAAUCUCAAUGCUUUUCCUAUCGAACUAAAGAUAUUUCUAAAUGAAUCCAGUUAGGACUACAUAGACCUUCGUCCUCCUAAAUCGUUUUAGAUGAUCGAAAUUUUAAAUCGAUAAUCGGAACUAUUAAAAUUGAUCUAAAAUAUUUAAAGUGUUCAGAAACUAAAUUCUAUGAAUUUUAAAAAUUAUUUACAUAGUAAUUAAACAAAGAAUCACAAAAUCGAGAGUUUUUUUACGACCUUUAUGAGCCGUUUGUUUAUUUAACAGUAGCGAACAAUCCAAACAGUUUUAAUUUUUGAGAGAAAAUACUUUAUAAUAUUUAGAUAACGUUUGAUAACUCCGAUCAUGAAUUGAAAGAGUUUAACAUCUAUUUUCACAAAAUUAUUCAUUUUUGACCGUUCAUUUUUUGACUUUUCAAUGAAGUUGAUAAUGAAUUUUAAAGUUUAUAAAAUUUAGUUUCUAAACGUUAUAAAUACUCUCGAUUAAUUUUAACAGUUCCGAUCAUCGAUUUUGAAUUCCUAUCAUCUAAUAUAAUUUAGGAGGACGAAGACCUCCAUUUUUCUAAAAGGAUAAUAACUGUACACUUUCUAAAUCACCCUAACAAAAUGGUCGGUAUUCGUCGGCUUUAAAAAGUUUUUAAAAAAGAUCCAAAUAAUAUACUACAAGUUCAUGUAAAACCAAUAGUUUAGGAGACAGAGAAGUACAAUUUCGAAGGUGAAAACGACAUUCAGUGCAGAUAAUUAAUGUUAAAUAUGGUACGUAAAUAAAUGCCACUAUUGGAUACUGCCUACGUAGAUGGUUAAUAAAUUAGCAUGUACGCAACAUAAAGAGUUUUCGUUUGCUCCAUAUACAAGCAAAAGCAUUGCAUGAUCCUUCGUCAAAGCAUGAACAGCUCAUACACGGCCCUUCGCGAAGAAUCCAAUGCAUUUUACAUUUAGAAAGGUUCAAUAGUGGAGAUUUCUAGGUACUUAACAUGUGAGUUCUUAUGCUAAUAAGCCAUCCAAAGAUAAAAAUUAUGCUGGUGAUAGCUAGUGCACGGAUUUCGUACAAACACCAUCAUGCAUAUCAAUUGUUCCAUCAGCACGCCCCUGCGAUCAUCGACAUAUGUAAUUUACGGUUACUCAUGCUAGCUACACUUUUACAACUAUCGAAGAGAUUUUACUCAUUUUGGGGAUAAACUCGACUUUCACCAAGCUCAGGCAGUCACUCAGCAUUUUCCAGUGUUUUCUUUCAACUCUGAUGGCAUGUCCAGAUGCUCGCGUGCGUGUGUAAGAUGGCGUUAAUAGAGCGUGAUGAGCUCAGAGAAAGGAGUUUCUCGGCACUGCAAUGCACGGUGUAGUGCGCAGCUUGCCGCACAAGCUGAGCUAAACGAGCCCUCUAUCGGACAAAGUUGAUAAGCCAUUUGCGACAAACCGAGAAAAUUUUGAGGUCGAAUUGCAAGACAGAAAGGUUGAGCUUUGACAUCGUCCUAGUGCAAUGGCUUGAGGAAGUUUCUAAGUUAUAGUGAAAUGUUAACUUGGGCCAAGCAUCGGCACAACGAUCGCGGGUUUUUGAAGCCCAUUUUUAUGGGCCGAGUUAUAGGACACUGUGAAUUGACGGCCCAAAAAUGCUCUUUAUUGGGCCGGGCUCAAAGCCCAUGUACAAAUGAAAGAUAGAGUUCUUCGAUAUCUCGCUAAAUUUAUCGGCCUUUUUUUUCGAUUCUACUUAAUACUAUUAAUGGCCCAUCCUUUGGCUGUUAAAAAAUAUGCCAAAGCCUAGGUUAAUAACUUCACUUUACCAUGUCCUCUGUGUGUUGCGCGCGCGCAUGUGUGUGAAACACAACUCAUAGGCUCUCUACACUCUAGAAACAUACAAAAGGCUGAGUUGUCGCUCAACAUGGUGUCGAACCUGGAAUCUAUAGCUCGAGUUUAACGAGGAGUGAUUUGUCUAGACCUUGUUACCUCACCACCUUCUCAUUCAAGUCUAAAUCGCCCCGACCUAUAAACUUUUCCAGGGUGCAUUGAUCAUCUAAAAGGGAUAUAAUUUAGUUUUCUUCAUAUUGAGCAACACGAAGGGGUUUGUGAACGAACUCGAAUUCGACUUUAUUGGAUCCGGUUCGAUCCGGUCUAAUCUGACUAGACUGUAGGAGUACGAGUGAGGGGUGAAUGUUACUUUGCUUUGAUGGUGAAAAGGGCCCGCGACGAGAUCGCAUGUGCUUGUCAUUUUGGACCGGGCCACGUGGCCCACUUUAUGCUGUAGGCGUACCAUAUGUUUGUGUGUUUACAGCCCACUGUACAAGAGCUACUCAAACAAAGAUAAAGAAGGUGAAGAAUUGGCCCAUGUAGCCCAUUUUGUAGAAAGGCCUCACAACAAUGUGUUUAUCAUGUUUUAGGCUCUGUUUGAGACUGGAAAAAGAUUACGUCCCGUGCGGUAAUAAAAUAUAAUAGAAAAAUAUUGUAUUUAUUUUUAUAUAUAAUAUCAUUUAUAUAUCAUAAUAAGUCAUUUAAGAUAAAUUUUUUACGUCCUCAAAGAAGAAUAUAUUUUUUGUAUGUGUUUGUCUCAGUUUUGAUGUUAAAGAGACUACAAAACUGUUUUUUUUUUAAUCUCUCUCUCUCUCUCUCUCUCUCUCUCUCUCUCUCUAUUUGUUUUUUUCCACAAACCAAAUAAAUAUGCCAAGAAAAUUAUAUUCAAUUAAUUUAUGUUGAACCAAAUGUCAAGAAAUGUAAAUUUUUGAUUUCUAUAAAAAUUUCUUCUUUCCUAAAAAAUGAUUUUCAACAUCUUUGCUUGAAAUCAAAUCAAGCAUAAAAUUAAAAAGUCCCUCUCUUGCUGGUCGAUCUAAUUGUGGCACACCCUUUUCUUUUUGUCUUAAUAAAAAAGUCCACCUAUUAUCCUCCUAAGAGUAAUUUUUGUCCUAUCAAAUUAUUUUGGAUGAUAUUAGAAAUCUAAAUUGAUGAUCGGUAUUGUUGAAAUUAAUCUACACUAUUAAAAUAUUUAGAAAUCAAGUUUUGUUAUUUUAAAAAAUUAUUAUAAAGUCCAUUGAAAAGCCGAAAAAUGAAAGGUCGAAAAUGAAUAAGCUUCUAAAAAUAGAGGUUAGACUUUUUUAAUUAAUUCAUGAUCGAAGUUACCAAACGUUAUAUAAAUAGUAUAAAAAAUUUUCUAUAAAAAAUUCAAAUAUUUUAGAUUACUCUACACCGUUAAAUAAGCAAAUGACACAUAUAAAUCAUCAAAAACUGUCGAUUUUGCAAUCCUUUGAUCACUAUAUAAAUAAUUUCUUAAAAUUAUAAAAUUUAGUUUCUAGACACUUCAAAUACUUUAAAUUAAUUUUAACGGUUACGAUCAAUGAAUUGAGAUCUCUAUCACAAAAAAUGACUUGAUAAAAUGAAAAUUUCCAUCCUCUUAAAAGAAUAGCAGUUGAAUUAUAUAGAAUUGAGUUCUUAUGCUUUUAAAAAUAUCAAAUGAUCACCAGUGCUUAUGGGUUUUUGGCCUUUGGAUGAAGCUUAAUUUAUAGGGUUAGAAUAAUAGUGGUUCCCUGAGAUUGAGUUGGUGAUUAGUGGUAUAGCAUGAUUUAAGAGGUGGAAUUAGUCAAAGGGAUAGAUCUAAUAGUGAAAACUUACAAGUACUAAAUAGUUGGUGUUUUUAAAAGUACUCUAGCCGGUCUCACUCUCUCUCUACAUAUAUUCCUAAAACUCACUGCACAUUCACAAAUCCCUAGUGCAUGGGUACAUAUAAUUAGUAACGCAACAGGUAUAUAUGAAGCUCGCGCCAACUCUAUAAAAAAUAUGGUUCAAGAUAAUGGUCAAACAAUGGAUAUCCUUCUUAAUAAUUAGAUUAUAUUAUAAUGAUUGAUAACACAUCACCGUGCUGCUCCCACUUGAGGUGGCAGCAGUAAAGGGAUGAUCUAUAUAUUAAUUAGUUUAACUAGUAGUGGGGUAAGUUCAUAGAAACUAAUUAUUAGGCAAAAGCUAUACAAAGUAGAACAGCUAAGCAGGUGAUGAUACGACCCAAGUUGGGGGACAUCAUUCGCCCUUCUUAGAAUUUCUAUGGUUUCACUUUUGCUGUGGCGCUCAACAGCAAUGAUUCUAGUUGAGUAUUUGAUAGAGAAAAUAAUCUAAAACUUUUCUAAACCUCAAAAGUAGGAACUUUAACUCUCUCGCUCUCUCUCUCUCUCUCUCUCUCUCUCUCUCUCUCUCUCUCUCUAUAUAUAUAUAUAUACACUUUUGUUACACUAGUAUUUAAUUAGUUAUCAUCCUAAUAAUGCUAUUCAGACAAUGCUUUGUUAAAUAAUGCAAUAUAUACUAUACAAUAAGGUGCAUUUGGCUCUUGGUGAUGUAGAAAGCCAAAUUUAAGUAUUUAAAGCAAAUAAAAACUGAUGGUGUACAUGUCGUCUCAUAUAUGCAUGAGAUUGUUAGUCUAAGAUGCGGCACUGACACCGAGAUAACUCCAAGGGACAUUACCCGAGUUUUUAUAGUUGCAUUAAAUGAUGGUAAGGUCGAGAUGCAGCAUGGGCUCUUAUUUUGUUGCAUAAAUGUAAGUAAAUUAUACCAUUGUUUAAUAGCUUAAGACUAUUAGAUUACUUGGUGUUGUUCCACAUAAUCCCUAUGAGCAUACUAGUUGCUUUGAUAUACAGCAGUUGUAAAAACUAGCAUUUUCUCUUAUAAGAAUCGUUCACUCUGAUACUAAUUGUGUAAACCUGCAGGAUCUAUAAUCACAAUGUAUUAUAGUAAAAAUUAAGAUAGUGUAAGAAAGAAAGAAGAGUCAUAAACUAAUUAUAUGCAAAAAAAAAAAAAAAAUCAACAUGUAUAUAUAGUAAGAAACUCAUCAUCCACUAAACUCUUAUUUUUAAUUAAAUUGUGGAAUAAGUUUGAAUUAUUAGUUCCACACAAAUACAUAGAGUAGUCGUCGUAUACGAAGUAUUUUGUUUUUUCAGAGAAAGAUAGUAUACUAUCAGCUUCGUUCAGAUUUUUAUGAAUGAACCUAACUAAGAAUGUGAAGCAAUAAGGCUCUGAACUUAAUUGGGACCUAAGAUACCAGCCAUCAAGCUCUUUGCCACCUCGAGUCCUCAUAUAUGAAGUUAAUUUGAAAAUUCAAUCAUUUAUGCCAUUAAUUGAAUAUAUCAGUGCAUGCAUGUCCACUUUUAUUGAUCAUGACAUCUAUGGAGUAGUGAGUACUCAUGCAUAUACAUGCCAUGCUUUUUUUUUUAGAGAAAUAGGUAGCACGCUACCCACUUCGUUUAUUUCAUUUAGAAAUAAACUUAGCUAGAAAUGUGAAUCAACUAGGAUUUGAACUUGGGUCUCGCGUAUCAACCACCAAGCCCUUUGCCACUUGCUCUAGAGACGGUCGGUAUGUACAUGCCAUGCUUAGACAAAUAAAUAUCUCUCUACAUUUUGUAGAAGGGAGAAAGGAUGCUAAUAACAAAAGGAGUUCAAAAAGAAAGAAAUGCAAUCCACGUGAGGAUAGAGUUCAUGCGUGUGGGUCUUCUCCAAUGCCAGCUACUACACAACAACAAAGAAUCAUUAAUGGUUUCACAAGUAACAACACUACUUCUCGAAGUUAAGAUUAGUUGUAUAUAUACUCAAAGGUAAGAUGCAUUAAUGGUUCAUGUAAUAAUUUUAGUCUCUGCGCUUUCAAUUUAAACACUUAGAUUAGCUCAUAAAUGUCAAAAAGCAAAUCUCAAGUUUCUUGUCUAAGAUGAUCAUUUUAUUGUCAUUUUAAUUAACUUAAAAAAUAAUUCAAUAUUAUUUUUUAUGAUCGAGAAUUUAGAGCAUGCAAAUCAAGUUUCCAUAUGGAAAUAGUAUAUAUAGGAAGCAUCCAUACAUUUUACCCUACUACUUUAUAAUGGGGCAUUUGGACUCUACAAUAGCUAGAAGUUUCCACACAAUGGCAAUUAUUCUUGUCAACAUGACUUCUUUCCUGUAACGUGUGUUACGUUCCGAGCAUGUGUUUGAUCCCUGGGAGUGGAACGUGACAAAGAGUGGAGUUGUAGUUACGUACAUGAAAAGAAGAGGUUUUGGUCAUUAAAUGAUGGUUUCUGAUUUACAUAGCAUUAAUGAUUCAGAGAGAUUCUUCUUAGUUCGUAGCAUUUAACCCAAAGAGUGACACAUCACGCAUAUUGCCUAGUGUACAAAUACAAUAUUGCACAUUACUUUCAAGCUAAGAGCUUUCAAAUAAUAACAAGUUAUGUGUUAAAGUCACUUCAUUACGUGUUGUAAGUCGAUGGGAAUUGUAUGUGGACAUGGGACAUGUUCUUUUGGUGGUGGCUUGUGGGUCCGGAGCCAGUUCGAUUGUGACUAUCCUAGAAUAGUACAAGUUAUCAGAAUUAGAUUUGCGCAAUGCAUGCAUGGGCCCUAGAUGGCCCCAACUCUCAAAUUAUAUACAGAAAAUUGGUGCUUAAUUAAUUUACAAUGAAUUAAUCAUUAGUUACUCAAAUAUCUGGGCUUAACAGGAUUAGUUAUUGUUUGCAUAUUAUUUACGUAAGGAUAAUUGGCACUACACAUUCAAAUUAGAAAAUUUUUCUCUAGUAUAGCAGCAGCAUGCAGGUUAUUAUCAUAUGCUUACUACAAUUUAGAAUGUAAAAAAUAAUACUUAAAGUCAAAGAAAUAAAGUGAGUUAUAAAUAAGGUGGUUUUUCUUUAAUAAACCAACGCAACCUGUAUACUUAAAAAGUGGAUGUAUAUAUUACACCAUAUUCAUCCAGGAUUUUUUUUUUAUCAAUUCUUUUCUUAAUAUUAAAAAUUUAUAAGGAGUGUCUAAAUUUUUGAGUAGAAAUGCUACAUGUACAUCUAAAAGUAGGAUAUAAAUUUUAUACCCUCCUGCCUAAGUGUUUAGACAAUUGAGUUUUUAUUAAAAAGAGCAAUAUUACCUAUACACAUAUAUAACAUAUAUAGGUGUAUUUACACACUAAUUAACCACUUUGUGGCAUAUAUUUGUUUAAUUACUUGCCUUAUCAAAUUCUUUUUUUAUUUUUCACCAAACUAUCAAAAAAUAUUGUUAACUCUUGAAUCGAAGGGUGCAACAUAUACACUCCUCGUAUGAGAUGUACAGAUAGUUUUUUUUUUUUUUUUUUUUUUUUUUUUUUUUUUUUUUUUUUUUUGACUAAAAACUCCGAGAGGAUUUAGGGUUUCACUCCACACAAGCAAAUCCCAAAAACAAUUUACAAAACUUUAUAUACCGCUAUGUUAAUUACUUUCUAUUUAUAUUUUACCUUUUAGAAAAAGUAAAGUUCAUAUUUAUCUAAUGCUUUCUCGCAGUUUUUAGUCAACCACUUUUAAUUUGGGCCCACAAAAAAUAAGGAUGCAUGCAUCAAAAGAUUCGAAACAAGUGUUCGACCAACUUGAAAAUAUAAUAAUAUAAGAUUAAGCAAACAAGGCCAAAAUAAAGACAUGGAAAACCCUCCAAUUACGCAAAAAAAUCGUGGGAAUAACCAAGCACGAAAGGUCGGUACUUGAGCUCAGGGACGAAGCUAGCACUCGAUUUUGAGAGAAGCCAAAAUACAUACAAAUUAAAAUUUUAGCAAAUAAACAAGAUUUAUGUAGUCAAAUUUUUGAUGAGAAAACAUAUUGACUAAAUAAUUAGUGUAAUAAAAGCAUUACCCUUUUAAUAUAUACUUACUUAACUUCUAAUUAUUUUAUUUAUAUUAUUUCACUCAAAUAACUUUGAAAUUUAUGAAAUCUAAUAAUAAUUCAGUGAAUGAUUUAAUUUCUUAAUUUUUAUUAAAUAUAAUUGUGACAAUUGAUAGACUAUUAGUUGACAGAGCUAUUAACUUUAAUGUAACCUUUAAUUUAAUUAAAUAAAAAGAUUAUCUAAAAUAAUUAGAAGUUAUGAAGAUACUAAAUAAAAAAAAUAAAAAUAAAUUCAGAGUCGAGAGAGCACUAUGUUAGUGCCAAGAACUUAAAAAAAAAACAGAUUACUCAAUAGGGGUGUAAACGAGGCGAAACACGAGCGAGCUGGUGGUUCGGCUCGUGUUCGGCUCGUUAUUAAACGAGCCGAACAGAGGCUGGCUCGUUAAAGUAUCCAGCCGAAAAUUCAGCUCGUGUUCGGCUGUUUAGCUCACGAGCGAACACGAGCUGGCUCACGAGCUGGCAAACGAACAAUAAAUUAAAAUGAUUAGAUUAAAUAUAUAUAAAAAAUAAAUUUAUCAAUCUUAUCCAUUAGACUUUGAUCUAAUAGUUAAAAUUUUACAUAUAAAUGAGUCUUUUUAUAAUUAAGCUCGCAUUUAUAUUUUUUUUUAGCUAAAAUAAAAUAAUAAAAUAUAUAUAUAUAUAAUUAUUUAUUUAUAUAUAAAAUAUAAAUUAAAUAAAUUAUAUAAAUAAAAAUAUAUGUAUUCGAGCUGUUAUCGAGGCGAACACGAGCGAGCUGACCUAGCUCUGUGUCGGCUCGUUUAUUAAACGAGCUGAAAAAUUCAGGUCGGUUCGGCUCGUUUACUAACAAGCGAGCCGAUUUGAGCUCAUUUCGAGCCGAACACGAGCUGGCUCGCGAACAGCGAGCUGGAUUGCCACCCCUAUUACUCAAUAUACUUUAAAAUUGAAUAAAAAUAUAUUUUUAAAAUUUUUCAUAUGUAAGAGACUAUUAUGCAAAUUAUGAAAAGUUGGGGGGCCAUACCAUGACCCCCUUCAGCCCCCACCACAUAGCUCCGCCCCUGCUUGAGCUCAAUAUUGUAUUGUUGACACUUAGCAUCUUUUAUAAGAACCAAUAUCCAAGCAAACUAUUUACACUUUCAUCUUUUAUAAGAACCAAUAUCCAAGCAAUCAAGAAAAGUUCGACAAUAAUGCAAGAUGUAAUUACCGAACCAACAAUCCAUUGUGGGACACAACGUGGUUUAAGUAUUGUCGUCUCGACCGGGGUGAUUAGAGGAAUCCUUGGAUCAGCUAAAAGACUUUACCGUCUCUAUUAACCAACUCAGAUUGUUCCAAUUAAGAAGCUUAAAGCUAAUAUGAGACGGGCGAUGAUCCUUAUUUCGAAUGAGUGUGCAAUUAAUGAUUCUUAAUUAGGACAAUCGAUCUCCUCGGCGCGUGCGGGACCGAGUUCGUUAGAACAACACUAAAUUGCAGGAAAGAACCAAGGAGGUACGAAAGGUGCUUCUACAGGCAUAUUAAAUCGCUUGAACCAUCCCAAAAACUUAAGUAAACAGAUACAGAAACUCUUUUACCUUUUCUGCUAGCUAUUUACCAAAGAGAAACUUCACACUUUUCUAAACAAAUAUUAUGCAGAGAAAGGCCAAAAACACUAUGAUUGUAAUAAAGACACAUGAAGAAAAGUAAAACUUGAACUUGUCGUAGGAAUAGGGAACGCACGAACUACUCCAGUAACAGUACAAACUAAUGCGGUCAAAGUUAGGCGCAAUAAAAACAAGAUACAUACAUGGUGUCCAUCACGAGCUACAUUAUCGAUCCAACCCAACCUUAUAUAUAUAUAUAUAUAUACAGUAAUAGCCGACAAUAUAUAUAUUUAUAUAUACAUAAGAUAAGAUAAUAUUACGUGGCGUUUACGUAGUGUGCAUGAAAAUUCUUUGGCUUUAUAAGGCUCUAUGGUGCUCAACUUUUAACCAACACAGUGGCACGAGAUAACGCGAUCGGAUGAGACCUAACUCUCCGUCCGCAUACUCGUUAGCCCAGUUGCAUGAAACCACCGCUACUUUGCUGAAGUUUUGCAGUGCGGAUAGGUACGUACGAAGCUCGUCCCUAUCCGGAGCGACCGCACGAGCUCUAUCCUAAACGGACGGCUGAGAUCUCUCCGCGGCAAUGCGCUGCAUCGUUUUCUCGUGCCUGUUCAGAACCGGAGGGGGGGUGGGGGGGGCGGGGGAGGGGAACAGUGUCGCAUGCGGACGGACGGCGCCUAACGCCAUUAAUAGGGAAAUGGUGGGGACCCACCUUAUCUACUUUUGGGCCCACUAACGGCUGUGAUCGAAGGGGGGAACGGUCGAUCACCGCCGUUGGUUCGCAUGCGGACAAAGUGGGGGAGUCAGGGGUGCGGUGCCCGCAUACAGUGGCCUGCUGCUAUAUUGGGAACAGUUAGGCGUGGUGGGGAAAUGCGCACAUUAGUCAAAAAGGCGCACCUUAUAGAUUUUUUUUUUUAUAUAUGUAUUUUAAUUUACAUUUAAUAAGUUAUUUAUGUUUAGGUGCUUCUAUAAUUUUUUUUAGAAAAAAGUUAUUUCCGUUUUAGGGUAGCGAGGAGUGUCUCCAUGUCGCGGACAGUGGAACCUACCCUACGUCCGCAUAGAGAGUUUUUAUAGGGUGAUUUGGAUGUCGAAGUUAACGUAAUCACGUAGCUACGUACCCUAUCUAGACAAAAAAAAUUUAUGCUGAAAUUACUCCUAAAAAUAGUUAUAAAUAAAAGGAGUUGUAGUGGUAAAAAUUAACGGCGUGCUAUGGGAUAUGCACAAUCGCGUAGGUAAUUUUUGUUCGUCCAUGUUGAUCUCAACAGCUCAUCCACCCUGCGUGGAGAUUCGUGCUUGAGCAUCUCCAAGCCAGCUAGAGGCAUGGUGUAACCUUAUCCAUACAUUAUCAAAAAAUUUUAAAAAAAAUAUUAAACUAAGCUCAUUUAAUAUUCAGGAUUAGUGGUUGGUACCGAAGAUCCAAGUUCGAAUCCUAGUUGAUUCACAUUUUCAGCUAAGUUUAUUUCUAAAAUGAAAUAAAAGAAGCGGGUAGCAUGGUACCUAUCUCUCAAAAAAAAAAAAAAAUAGAUCCCGAAAGUAAUUAUGCGUCAUAGCGGGUGAACCCGGUUAAUUUGUAGAAUGUCUACAUAAUAAUAAUAUAUUUUUUUUUUAAGAGAGAUAAGUAGCACGCUACCCGCUUCGUUUAUUUUAUUUAGAAAUAAACUUAGCUGGAAAGGUGAAUCAACUAAGAUUCGAACUUGGGUCCUGAGUACCAACCACCAAACUCUUUGUCACUUGCUCUAGGAAAGAGACUGUUGGUUAUAAUAAUGUAAAUUAUUACGCGGAAUGGUUGGGUUACAAAUUUUAAGACCUCUAUACCUGCAAGUUACUUAUGCUGACGUGGUGGACGUGGUUCAGGAUGGAAAACCAUGAGCAGGUGACGCCAGCGAGAUCGCGGGGCCCACCCCCGUGCUUUCUGUUUCGCGCGCCUCCAGCGCGUCAGUUCGGUGCCGUUUCCUUCCCGCCCUUUUCUUGCUCACGUAACUAUCCUGACAAUUUACUAUUUCUGGAAGCCAGUGCGGGCCCCACCCACCCCUUCUUCCACUCCAUGUGCGUAACAAUAUAUUUUUAUUUUAUAUAAAAAUAAAAAUUUUAAAUAUUUGAUUAAUAUGUAAUUACUAUAUUAUUUUGUUAUUUUUUUAAGAGAUAUAUUAUUAUUAUUAUUAUUUUAUUAAACUUUUUUCUCUUUUAUUUGGUGCAAUAAUUAGUUUGAGAUAAAUCUGACGUGGAAUAACUCCGUAGUGGAAAUGACUUUUUCACUUUCACUGAGUAUAUAUCUUUUAUUUAUAUUGCUAAUUUUUUAUCAAUAUAACUUUUUAUCCAGUCAUGUAACAUGGCCAUCAACUCCCUGUAUAUACACUAGUUAAAUUUUGAUUUAAAUGUCAAUAUAUUAGCAACAUAAAAGGAUAGUCGAUUAAAAAAAAAAAAGUGGAACUGAUACUGCUCUAGGCAGUAAUCAACUAUGCUUCCACUUUGUUUUCGAUGUUGGGACUUUCAAAUCGACGAUCGGCUCCGUUAGACUUGAUCUAGAGUAUUUGAAGUAUCUAGAAAAUAAAUUUUGCGAUUUUUCGAUAUCAUUUGCCUAGUGAUCGAAGUGGCUCAAAAUCAACGGCUGAAAAUAAAAAUCUCACAAAAUAUGAUGAUAUGACAUUAAAAUUUUAGAUCAAAGUUAUUGAUCUUGUUUUAUAUGGUAUAAAGAAUUUUCUAUCAAAAUUUCACGUGAUUUGGAUAUUUCUACACCGUUAAACUUGCAACCGGCUCACCACGGCCGUUAAAAUUAUUGAUUUUGAGCCCCUUCGAUCACUAGGCAAAUGAUAUCGAAAAAUCGCAAAAUUUAAUUUCUUGGUACUUUAAAUACUCUAGAUCAACUCUAACGGAGCCGAUCGUCGAUUCGAAAGUCCGAACAUCGAAAACAAAGUGUAAGCACGGAGGCCUCCGUGCUUACGAAAGCAUACCAGCCCACUCUAUAUAUAUAUAUAGUUGGGCUGGAAUAUUAUUAAUAGCAAAAAAAAUUUUUUGCUAUCAAAUUUUAACCAUUAGAUAAAAAAUUAUAAUAUUAGAAUAAUAUUAGUUCUUUAGGGUUGAGUGGUCCCCCUAGGAUUGAGUGGUCGCGAUUGGGUUAUAAUAUUUAAUCCAAUGGUUAGAAAUGACGAAAGGAAUUGAUCUAAAUGGUAAAAACUUGAUAGCAAAAAAGAUUUUUUGCUAUCAAUAAUAUUAUAGCCCAACUUUCUCUCUCUUUAUAUAUAUAGUUUGGCUGCUCUACUAAUUAACAAUAGUACUAAACUUUUGGUACAAUCGAGUUUCUACCGUUAGGUCUAUCCUUUGAUCAUUUUCAUCCGUUAGAUUAUAUUAUUUAAUCAACCACCACUCAAUCCUAGGAGACCACUAUCAUCCUAACCGCACACCCUUUUAUCUAACGGUCGAAAACUCGAUAGUAUUAAGCGCUUGAUAUUAUCGAUAAUAUAAUAACAUAAUUCUAUAUAUAUAUAUAUAUGAGCUCUUAUAAUUUUAGUGCCAAGUCAUUGAUACUCGUAGGUUUUCAAUCCUUCGAUUAAGAGAUAUGCAGUUAGGAUAAUAAUGAUCCCUUAGGAUUGAAUGGGUGGUUAGUUGAAUAGCACGAUUUAACGAGUGAAAUUAAUCAAGCUGUAGAUCUAACGACGAAAAACAUACAAGUACCAAGUCCUUGGUGCUUUUAAAAGCACUAUAGCCGAACUAUAUAUAUAUAUAUAUAUAUAUAUAUAUAUAUAUAUAUAUAUAUACUAAUUAGAAUUACGAGCAAGACCUGAUAUGUGCAAUUGAGAAACCACAAUAGAAAUGUAUUUUUAUUUAUUUUUGUAAAUAAUAACACGUCGCAUAAAAUCAAGCUAAUACAAUUAUGGUAUAAUUUUAUUUAUGCAAUCACACUGAACGUGGAGAAGUAUGGCUUCGUAUAUUGUCUUUAAAUUUACUUUGGCCGUAUAAUUAGAUCACAAUAGGUAAUGGUCCUUGGAAUUUUACUGCAACAAAGUUCUUACCCUAAAACAGAACCUUCACAGUUUAAUACAUUUAUAUAGAUUGUACAAAAUAUUAAUUAUUCUAGAUAUAACAAUUAUCUAUAGUGUUAUUUUAGAGUGUUUUGUUAAAUAAUAUUGCACCAUACACUAGCAUCAAAUGCAAAUAAAAUAUAGGAGUACCUCAAAAUCGAGAAAAUCUUCUUUGUCAGAGUUACACCAAAUAAAAAUUAUAAUAUUCAGCCAUAUUUUUUUUCAUAUUGCACAUAAUAACAAUCACAAUUAUUUUUUAAAUAUAUCAUUUUAUUAUCUAUUAUUGUAUUUUUUUUAUUAGACAUUUUGUCACUAUUACAGUAAAAACUUUUUUUUUUUAAUUAGAGUGGGACCCACGCCCUGAGAUCCAGCCAGCCAAUGGGGUCGCGCGCCAGGCUCCAGACUGGCAUCUCCGAAGAGCCCGAAAAGUACCCGAAACGCACGUGCGAGCGCCCACGUGUCACCGUGCCACAAUCGAUCUUAGCUCUUGCGUUGUACGCCAAGCGUUAUAAUAAUUAAUAAUAAUAAAUCUCAACACCAGAGCAUUAAUAAUUAGUUAACACCAAAAUUACAAACUGUCAUGUUGGUUAGCAUGCAUAUGGGAAGAUCAUCUGAGCAUUCGUACGCACGUGCCACGCUCUGAGAGCCAAAUUCUUGUUGAUUCUCAUGUGCGAUCAUCUUGUUACAUAAACAUAUAUAUUAAGUUCUAUGUUAAUCAAAUUCAGUAUAUGUGCCUCGACUGAUUAUAUAAAUUUAAAAUUUAUCUAAUAUAAUACGUAUGAAAUUAUCAUUUUAUUUAUUUCCGAAAGCUUAAUCGCCAAAUAAUAAUAUUUUAAUUACAGGUAGCAUCUAUAAGAUUAGAUUUUGAUUUUAAAUAGUUAAUCAUGUAAUAAUAAAAUCUGCAGUGCAUGAGAUGUACGGAUGCACUGGGACUAGAAUAUUAUUUUUCUGAUGAGAAAGAGAGAGGCCAACUGUAGCCAACGAGUGGAUCAGGGCCCUCCAGUGAAUGAUGGACGGUGUUGAUUGAGGGAGAAGCAAAGUGCCCGGUCCAGCGAGGGCGCCCCACGUUUCAUGGGGCGAGCACGAAACGUGUAAAUCCCUCGGAGCAAGGCCCACCGUACGAUCUGUGGGGCUCGGGCCCACCACAGUGAUCAUAAGCCGCCAGAUUAGCCCCCCCACACGCGCGCGCUCGGUAGGGGCCCUAACGUUUCGACGCGUGUGGUACAGUGGGGCCCGAGGUGGAGAGGAAAGGAGAGGUAAAAUUGUAUGGAAACCCCUCAACCAUAGAGUAUUUGGAAAUUGUACACAAAAGGAAACAUUUCUCUGUUUUAUUGAGAUCCCCUUAAAUAUCAAUUUUUGGAAAUUGAGUUUUUCUAACUCAUUUUAUUCAAAUAUUUUGUUAAGUUUAAUGGUCCUAUUAGCUUUUCAUUAGUACUUGUUUCAAUUUUAUUCGCUAAAUUUUUUAAAAAUAGUAAAUUUAAUAAAACUAUCAAUAAAUUUGAUAAAAUUCUCAAUUUUUUGAAAAAAAAAUAAUUUUCAAAAUUACACGUUCAAGUGGUCUCAAUAAAAAAAAAUGGUUAGGAGAUCCAUUCAAAAUAGCUCAUAAUUGAGGGUGUCUCCGUACAUUUUUAUAGAAAAAAAAAUAAAUUGUUAGAGAAAUUAAAGGAGCAAUCCUGUUUGUACAUCUAGAGUCUCGGUAUACAUCUUACACCAUAGAUUUUUUAUGACUAGGCCAUAGAAUUACUUUAUUAGUCUUAUUAAUUUUUUUGCUAAAAAAAUGUUAGGAAUUUUCUAAAUAGAAUGUAAGAUGUAUAUUCCUAUAUAAGAUGCACAGAUAGAAUUUUUCAUAUAAAAGAUGUUAUUUUAUAUUAUUUGUGAUAGUAAAAAGAAAAAAGAUGGCUGUUGAAAAUUUUUAAGAAAAAUAUUUUUUUAUAAUUCUAACAGUUAGAACAUUUGGAGAGACAUAUUUAUAAUAGCAAAAAUAUCAUUUCACUUAUUUUCUCUUAAAAGAUGAACAUUACCUUAACGAUAAUAUAAUAAAUCAAAAGGAUAAAUAUAAAUAUCGCUGAACUUUUGUAUGAAUAAAUAUGAAAAAUUAAAUUUUGUAGGAAAAUAUAUAUUUGCUAUUUGAUAUAUUUACAUGAAUCUGUAUGAAAGUAACCCAUAGGCAUUUGUGGAACUAAUAAAAGUUAAAAUGAAUAAAAGUUGCUAAGAUAUUAUUAGUAGAAAGAAAUAAAGUGUAAAGGUCUCUUUUCAAAUUAACCUGUAACUGAGGGUUGAGGGACUCUGGUAGCAUUUUUACCAAACUUACCAGCAAUGAAUCACGAUAUAAUGGUUGGAGAAACGGUGGCCAAAGUGUUACGGGGUAGGGAAAAACGUACGGUGAUUAAAGCACAACUAAUGGAAUUAAUGGUUAGUUAGGUUAGGUUUAAAAUUUCUGCUUUUGACAUGUGUUCUCAUAUAAAGUUCCAACAAAAAGAAAAAAGAAAAAAAAAGGAAAUUUUGCCACCAACUAUAAAGGUCAAAUUGUUAAGCAAGAAAGGGAAUUAAGGAGUCAGCUAAUAGAGAUCGGUCACGUUGUGGCCAACUGUUGUGGAGUUUUUUUUUUUUUUUGAAAAAAAAAUAAUAAUCUUUUUCUAUUUUGUUUAUAAAGUGCCCCACCACUUUGCAAAUUAGAAUUUUUUUUAAGAAAAAUUUAUUUGGAGAACAUUUAUACUUUUAUUUCAGAAUGGACUAUAUAAUAAAGAAUAAAAGGAAUAUGACAAUGGCGGUAAAAAAAAGAUAUGUUUUGGAGGUUCAAAAUUUUUUUCAUAUAUAAUAAAGCGUUGUUAAAAGAAGAAUAAAAUAGCUAAGCUAGCUAGGUAAUAAACAGUAGUGAACAUCCUUAUCAAGUGAUUUUUUUUUUUUUUUUUGUUGCUUUAUAUUUAUGGGAUGUAUGAGAAAGGAAUAUGAAAAUUAGACCUAGGCAGCAAGGCUAGCCUUUUUGCCAAUUCAAAAAAAAAAAAGAAGGAAAAGAAAAGAAAAGAAAAGAAAAGAAAGGAAAAAACGGCCGAUUAAAUUAAUACUCGAAAUCGCACUUUCCCGCAUAUAUUAAUAGCUCCUCCUCACUGGUAACCCCAUCCCCUCCUCAAAGUCCUCAUUCAAAGGAGCCAAACACACACCACGGAGAGAGAGAGAGGGGGAGGGAGAAAGAGUUUAUAGAGAGUUGCAAUUAAGGAGAGCUAGAGAAACAGAGAGCUCUCUAAAGCUCCUCUCUCUCUCUCUGUCUCCAUCUCUCUCUGUUUUUGCCUCCCUGUAGAAGCAGAGCACCAUUCGUGAACCCCGCAAAAGGGCAACAUCUCUGAAGCGCGAAUCGACGAAACCCAGCAAGCAAAAAGAGUCCACCUUUGCGCCCAAUUCGAAUACUCCGCCUAUUGCAGCAGCAGCAGCUGCUGCUGCUGUGUGCAACAACACGACCUUCCCCGCCGCGUCCAUGGCGAACCCGGAGAAAGCCCAACUCCCCUCCAACCUGUACGUGGCCCUGGUCCCCUUCCCCGACGCUGCCCCGCUGAAGCCGCCAAGCUUCCCCACGCUGUCGGAGACGCUGGGGGAGGUGGCGUCCCUGUUCCGGCUCUCGCUCCCCAUUGCGGUGACGGCGCUGCUGCUCUACUCGCGCUCCGUGGUGUCGAUGGUGUUCCUCGGGACCCUCGGCGAGCUCCCGCUCGCGGCGGGCUCGCUGGCCAUCGCCUUCGCGAACAUCACGGGCUACUCGGUGCUCUCCGGGCUGGCCCUGGGCAUGGAGCCGCUGUGCUCGCAGGCGUUCGGGGCGAACCAGCCCAGGCUCCUGGCCCUCACCCUCCACCGCUCCGUGCUCUUCCUCCUCUGCUCCGCGCUGCCCAUCGCCCUGCUCUGGCUCCACACGGCCCAGAUCCUCCGCCUGCUGGGGCAGGACCCGGACAUCGCCCGCCUCGCCCAGAGCUACCUCCGCUUCUCCCUCCCGGACCUCCUCUCCUUCUCGCUCAUCCACCCCGUCCGCAUCUACCUCCGCUCCCAGGGGAUCACGGCGCCCGUCACCGCCGCCGCCGCCGCCGCCGCCGCGCUCCACGUCCCGGCCAACCUGCUCCUCGUGCGCCGGCUCUCACUCGGCGCCCCCGGGGUCGCCGCCGCCGCCGCCGCCUCCAACCUGGCCCUGCUUCUCUUCCUCCUCUGCUCCCUCCGCCGCGACCCGGCCCUGCAGCGCCGGGGCGGGGGCUGGGGCUGGGGCGAGCGCCUCUCCGGGUGGGGGCCCCUGGCGCGGCUGGCGGGGCCGAGCUGCGUGUCGGUGUGCCUCGAGUGGUGGUGGUACGAGCUGAUGAUCCUCCUCUGCGGCCUCCUCCCGGACCCCAAGCCCACCGUGGCCGCCAUGGGCGUGCUCAUCCAGACCACGGCGCUCGUCUACGUCUUCCCCUCCUCGCUCGGCUUCGGCGUGUCCACGCGCGUCGGCAACGAGCUCGGCGCCAACCGCCCCGCGCGCGCGCGCGCCGCCGCCGCCACGGGGCUCGCGUGCGGCUUCGCCGCGGGGCUCGCCGCCAUGGCCUUCGCCCUCGCCGUCCGCGCCCGCUGGGCCCGCAUGUUCACCGACGACGCCGACAUCCUGCGCCUCACGGCCGCCGCGCUCCCCAUCGUCGGGCUGUGCGAGCUCGGCAACUGCCCCCAGACCGUGGGCUGCGGCGUCCUCCGCGGCACCGCGCGCCCGGCCCACGCCGCCCAAGUCAACCUCGGCGCCUUCUACCUCGUGGGCGCCCCCGUCGCCGUGGGCCUGGGCUUCGGCCUCGGCGUGGGCUUCUGCGGCCUCUGGAUGGGCCUGCUCGCGGCCCAGGUCUGCUGCGCCGGCCUCAUGCUCUACGUCGUCUGGACCACCGACCGCAGGCGCGCCGGGCCCAGCUGCUCACGUCCGCGCCCGCCCCCGCCCCCGCCCCCGCCCCGGACGUCGAGAAGGCCGGGGCGAUGCUGAUUGGCCCGGAGCCCCAGGAGGGAGGAGACAAGGUGAGCUGCUACCAGCCGCUGAUCUCGAUCAGGACGGUGGUGGAGAUCGAGAGAGGAUGAUGAUGAUUUGUAAUAAUGUAAUGUAACCUAUCUACGACACUCUGCUGCGCUCUUACCGCGUGGAACGAUAUGAGAGACCAAGAGCGAGAGCGAGAUUUUUUUUUUUUUUUAUUUUUCUAUUUUUUUUUUCUCCUAGCUUGUUUUUAAAUUUGAUGGGGGAUUAUUGAUGAGGGUGACUUAAUUACAAGGAAUUAUUACUUAAUUCACAUGGUUUGGGGUUUUCCCUUUUUUUUCUUUUUAAUUUGACUCGAGUAAUUCAAAAGUUCACUUUUUGAAUUUGCUGUACAUUUUUAUAAUAAUGCUCGUGAAUUUACAGCAAAGACAUGUGAGAAUGAAUGGUUCACUUUCUAAUUAUUUUCCCCUGAAGUUUUAGUCCUGCAAAAUAUGCCAAACAUAUUUUUCGUACUAUUAUUUCUCGUUAAUUAAUUAGUAACGUGUUUCAUUUAUUGUACUUAACAAACGAGGCGGUAAACAAGGUCCAUGCAAUAAUUUUACGUUACACCAAAAGGUGAACAUGUAUAUUCGUUGAAGCCCGAAUGCGUAAACUAUAAUAUUUAUCACACGUCUCUCGAUCCUCACGUUUCCAUCCGGUGGAGGUUUUCAUAUACAGGGCAAAGUUGAUUAUGAAAUGCUUCUUUAAUUUGCGCACGACGUUGAUUGAUUCGCAAUCAUCCAAACGUUGUUCGGCAAAUAAACUACAUCAUCUUUUGUAGUUCCACGCAUGUGUAUCUUGCUUCAACACGAGGAUUUGCUUUUGUUAGUUCACAACGUUUCGUAUGCCACUUCGUGCCAAUGAGUGGCAUCUACUAAUCAAUCAUGAUUAACGUUUGUUCUCAUUGCUAUUUACUGUUAAAUUAAAUAAAACAAUAAUUAUUUUUUAAAAACUUAAAACUGUUUUAUUGUAUAUUCAAAACUUCCUCUAAUUGGUUUGAGACAUUUUGAUAGGUAGAUUUAAUACACGAAAUUAAAUUAAAUUAAAUAGCUGGUAGAGCUCGAAUUAAAACCUUCUGCUCUGAUAUUACUUGUAAAAUAUAAAUAUCUAAAAUUUACAAUCUAAUCCGUCUUUAAUUAGUGAAAAAGCAGAUCGAGAUGCUUACAUCAUUAUAUUGAGCUAAGAAAUCAUCUAUUUGCUGAAUUAUUUUAUUAUCGUUGAUUUUAUGGGUAAGUCAUGUCCUGCCGUUUCGACAAUAUUUCUAGAGAAAGGCUUCUUAUGGCUUGCGGAGUAUCUCGAAUUCAAAAUCCUCUCCAUCCAAUUAAGUUUAUAUACAUCUUCUAGAUUUAAAGUAGUUUACAUUAAAAUUACAAAUUUUGUUUUAAAAUCAGCAACUUUAUAUUACCUUCUCAGUACAAACAGACACUCAAAAGCAAUUAUCUAUCAUCAUACACGUGGCUUGUUUGACUUUUAGGGCAUGUUUGUUUUGGUGUAAGUGGAGUGAUGAAACUCAAGUUCUAUUACUUCCGUUAUUUGUUUUGGUGUAAGUGAAAAAUAUAACGUAACUCAAGUUACGUAAGACCUCCACUUCACCUACUCUCGACUUCCUCUUUUGAAGUGCCGAACUCAACUUCCACCACACUCAACCUCCUCUAAAAUAUUUAUUAAACAGUAAAACCUAAACUCUACUUCCCUUAUAAUAGAUUAGAAUUACCUUAUUUAUAAUAAAUUAGGAUUAUCUUUAAAUAAUAAUAAAAAAAUUAAUUAUAUAAUAAGUUAAAUUUUAUAGCAGUAAAUUUACUAUUAUGUUUAGAAGAUAAUGGGAUCCACUUAUAUCAAAACAAACAACGGAACUUACAAAACUAAUUUCGCCAGCACCAAGUUACAUCAAAACAAACAGAAGAAAUAAUUGAAUUUAACUUUCAGGCUAUACGAGUUACGUCAAAACAAACAACCAAAAAAUAAUUACACUUCAGGGAAACUCAAACACCACUGCACUUGACUUACGUUGGAUCUACAGAUUCGUCAAUCCAAACGGACCCUUAUAGUAGAGAAGCUAUCCCAAAAUUUUGACACGAUUAUCAUGACUCAUGACUAUAUAGAGUCCGCCUAUGAUACUUGUAAAAGCGCUUAUAAUUUUUUUAUCGUUAAAUCUACAUUUUUGAUCAUUUUUAUCUAUUAAAUUAUACUAUUCAACCAACCACCCACUCAACUCUUAGAAGGCCCACAUCAUCCUAACUUCACAUUCCUUAAUCAAAGGGCCGAAAACUUACAAGUACCAAUGACUUGGUACUUUUAAAAGUAUAGGAGCUCAAUUUUGACUAUAUAUAUAUAUAUAGAAUUAGGCUGGAAUACUAUUAAUAGUAAAACGCUCUUUUUGCUAUCAAGUUUUUAAUCCUUGGAUGAAACAUUGUAAGGUCGGGAUGAUAUUAGUCGGUUAGAGUUGAGUGGUCCCCCUAAGNCUCACCAGGGGGAUCCCAACUCACCAGGGAUAACCCAAUAUCAUAAAUUAGGUUACCAAUCUUUAUUACUUUUCUCAACUAGGUUUCCGAUUUUUUGACCAUCGUUAUUACCCUAAAACGAUGAUUAUCAUCGGGUCAGGUUGAGAGAGAGAGCAGAGUAGAGAGAGAUAUAUAUAUAUAUCAUCUCGAUGAUAUGAUAGCCUUCGUAUCUCCUAGAGCACGAAGGUUAAAAAACCGAGAAUCUAGUCAGGAAAAUUAGUAAAGAUUAUAAACUUAAUUAUAAUAAUAGGAUGCCCCUGGUGAGUUAAGAUCCCCCCUAGCAUUAAUAAGAUUAGUAUGUUAAGAACUAGGUUACCAGUUUUUUUAACUUUCAUAAUUUAAGAAAUAUAAAAGCGAUUGUAUAUAUAUAUAUAUAUAUAUAUAUAUAUAUAUCACUCUCUCUCUCUCUCUCUCUCUCUCAGGCCGAUCUCAGGCCGAUGAUAUGAUAACUAUCAUGGUUCGGAAACCAUGAUAACUCAAAAGAUGGUAAUCUAGAUGAGAAACUAGUAAAGGUAGGCAAUCUAAUAUGAUAAUUUGGUUGGUGGGUGAGUUGAGAUCCCCUGGUAAUAGUAGGAUUGGCGUGUAGGAAAGUAGGUUGUCGAUUUUUGAGUUAUCAUGAUGCCCGAACCAUGAUAACUAUCAUAUCAUCGUAUUAAGAUAUAUAUAUAUAUAUAUAUAACUCUAACCGACUAAUAUCAUCCUGACCCUACAAUUUUUCAUCCAAGGGUUAAAAACUUGGUAGCAAAAAGAGCGUUUUACUAUUAGUAGUAUUCCAGCCUAAUUCACUAUAUAUAUAUAUUUUAUAUAUAUUAUAUUUUUAUGAGUAUAGAGUCAUUCGUACUCAUAAGUUAUUUUCGAUGAUAGAGCUUCUAAAUCGACGAUCCACUCCGUUAAAUAUGAUUUAGAAUAUUUAAAACUUUUAAAAAAUAAAUUUCAUAAUUUUUCAAAAUUAUAAUAAAGUCCAUCAAGCGGGCAUAAAAUAAACAGUUAAAAUCAAACGACGUCCUAAAAAUAAAUGAUCUGAUCCUUCAAUUUAAGAUCUAAGGUAUUGAUCUUUAUCUAGAUAAUGAAUAGAAUUUUCUAUAAAAAAUUCAACCGAUUCCGAUUCUUUUACACCGUUAACCUAGUAAAUAUCUCAUACCGACCGUUAAAAAAUAUUAAUUUUAAAAUCUUUUGAUCACAAGGUAAAUAACAUUAAAAAAUUAUAAAAUUUGAUUUCUAUAUGUUUUAAAUACUCUAAAUAAUAUUUACUGGUAUGAAUCGUCAAUUUGAAAGCUUUAUUAUCGAAAACGAUUAUACUUAUAAAAGUAUAGUAGCCAGAUUUUAUAUAUAUAUAUAUAUAUAUAUAUAUAUAUAUAUAUAUAUAUAUAUAUAUAUAUAUAUAUAUAUAUAAAACUUUUAGAAUCCUAUCAAAAUCAAUUUCAAUAUCAAGCAUGUGUUUACCCAUUUGGGUCUCAUUAUCUCAAGUUUAAUCAUGUAGUUUAUUGUUCUCGUUUCCGGGUCAAAUCAAUUGAGUAGUUACACAAUGAAUGCAACACUUCGUGGGAUUCCCGGUAGGAAGGGAAACAAUCACGUGCACCACCACGCAUUUGAAUCAAUGUACAUCACAUUCUUAUUUUUCUUUUAUUUUUUUUCUUAAUAAUAAUCUCUCUCUUUAAGUUAUAUCAAUCGAUAACCCCCCUCCUUUUCGUUCCCUAAGUAGACGUUCUAGCUUCCCCUCACAUGAACAAACAUACAAAUUUUCAUCACCUUUCCCCCCUCAUCUUUCAUUUUCACAAAGCUAUUACAUAUUACCUGCACCAGAUGUGUCCAUAUAUAUCGCGAGCACCGUACCAGAUUCAAAAUUAAAAUCUAAUUCAAUUAAUAAACGUGAUUUACGUUAUCUAUAUGGUUAGAAAAUAUACUAUAUUAAGUAGUUUUACAAUUCAAGAAUAUAGAAAAAGAAAUAUCGCUUGAUUUACGGUCUUAUUUAAUUUAACGCAUAAAUAUCUUAUUCCGCAAAUUUUCUUUGGUUAAUUUACUCGAAAACCUCCUGAGUGUGAUCAAAAAUCUAAAAUAGUAUAUAAUAUUUAGAUUUUAAAUUAUUUUUUAAAAUAAAAUAAAUUGAUUUGUAUGCAAGUAAAAUAUGCUAUUCUGCCAAAUAGUGGAUGCCACGACAGCUUUCAAGUAGUAAAAAAGUUGAUUCUUGCCUUUCUAUUAUCAAAAAAAUAAAAUAAAAUCAUCCCGACGUCCAAAUACAACCUAUAAGAAAUUAUAUAAUGCCCAAGAUUAUAGUUUUUCAUAUGCAUAUAGUGCGUCAAAUAAGUUUGCAGGUUGUAAUUUGAGAUCUCUAUUGUACAGUUUUAGGAGCGCGAUAUAUGAGAUGUACUUACACACUCAGUGUAGACAAAUUUUUUUUUUUUUUUUUUCCCCUCUCUCUAACUCUCCUUUUUCUCUCUCUAUGGUCCCCCUACUCAACAAUUGUGCUUUAAACACUACGUACUAUAAAUAACACCCAGCUCCCUGGCACCAGACACGCAUGAUACUACACGAUUUGCUGGACCCUUUCCCAACAGUUUUAGUUAACAGGUUACAUCAAUUUUGGUGAGAGAGGAUCAAACCUGAUUAUUCAGGGAAAGUGAUAUAAAUAUAGUUUUAGAACUCAUGAAAUGAGGUCAAAUUUAGCAGGUAAAUAAUGACCAUGUUCAAUUAUUAUUCCUGUUAAUAUUAAAAUUAGCUCUGUAUGUUGAUAAAUACGGUCAUGUAUACGUAUUUCCAUAUAAAAUAUGUAUAUGCGAAGCCUCCGAAUUAUUGAUAUUACAGCUCGAUCAUUGUAUUUUUUAUCUAAAUACUUCGGUUGCGAUACAUUUACAAAUAUUUUUCUGUAGUCCUUGGCCAGUUUAAGAAUUAAAGUAUUCAAGUAAAAAGUAGGACCAAGUUGCAUUUUUUAGAUAACACAAUGAUUAUCCCAUACGCUUCGCCCACUUGUUUAGGCAUGAUUAAUGAGGUGAUUUAACUUGUUCUUUAGCUUUAGGUCUCAAUCUUUAAUAGCUUUGGCCUAAUUUCCUGAUUUUCGUAUAAUGACGACCGAAAAAAAGUGAGCCAUGCAUUAUUGCAUGUACAACUUGUAUAUAUGAAAGUGAUUACAUUUAUUUUUUAAGCAUGCAGUGUCCAUGGUUCCCAACGAAUUAUAAGUGCCAUUUUUACAAAUAAUUAACUUUUAGGUUUGAAGGUAAAUAUAUUAACUAUUAAGAUGGAUUUCAUUAAAAAGAAAAAAAAAAAACUACUAAGAUGGAUAAAAUGAUAGGGCUAAAUUUUGCACUAUAUAUUAUUAUUCCGACGGUAAGAUAUCUAUACUUAGCUUUGUAACUGUUGAGAAAUUUGUUUGGUUGCUGAAAAAAUAAUAUGCAAGCUAUAUAUAAAAGCCUCUUAUUUUGUUUGCUAUAUAUGUGCCAAACAAGCGAAUAUUUGCUUAAUUUACAGCGAAAUUAGAAAUUUAUUGUUUGGUCUCUGAGAUAAUAAUAUAUAAGCCAUAAUUAAGUAAUUGUAAUUAUUAUUAUUAUUAUUAUUAUUAUUGAGAGAGGUGAACAUGUGACAGGGGAAGCUGGGACGUCCAUUUAUGGAAAGCAACGGGGGGGAUUUACGCGGAGCACGUGGGGCGAUCGAUUGAGAUGGACGCAUGUGAUUGCCUCCCCUCCAACCGGAUCCCCUGAAAAGGACCCAUUUACUCAUUUUGGACCCUCCAUUAUUAUUUGAUGUUAUUUUCGUAUUAAUUUCGAGGAUCCCAUCAAUGUGAACGUUACUCUUUUAGGUGAUGUUUGGUUAAAUGUUAUUUAUUAGCAUUUGAUUUGAUAUAAAGUAAAAUAGAUUUUUAGGCAUAUAUAUCUAUUUGAUUUUUAGGUUAAAAAAAAAAAAACGAGAGAGAGAGAGAGAGAGAGGUGCGAAGUGUGCAUCUUGCCCAAAUGCAUGGAAAAAAGUUGGAAAAUUAAAAUAAGUGUUUUUUUUUUUUGUGGAAAUACUUAAGUCUAGUUUAAACUAGAAGUAUUUUACAUGGAAACAAUUGCUUGAAAAUUUUUUUUUUAUUUGUCAAUCUGAAAACUUUUCUCGUGCCUCAUUUACGUGUAACCAAGGUCUUGAUGGUUGAUACUUAAGGUCCCAAGUUCGAAUCCUAAUUAAUUUAUAUUUUCAGCUAAAUUUAUUUCUAAAUGAAAUAAACGAAACGGUUAGCGUACUAUCUAUCUCUCAAAAAAAAAAAAGAAAAGGCAUUGCACGCCUUAGCAUGAAUUGACCAUUUUAGUUAGCUCUGGAUUGCAGUUGAGACAUUCAGUGAUAAUUUAUAUUAAUCCUUUAUUAGGUUUCUUGUUACCGUAAAAAAAAACAUCGUGCGCCAUGUUAUUUAUUCAUAUGAUAGAGAGGACGCAGCAGAAAAUAUUUCUACUACUUUGCUAAGCACGGUCUUAUUAAGUUGCCAAUUAAAACCAAAAAACAUGAAUGAAUAUCACCAUGAAUAACCCUACUUAAUUUGUGGAGACAAUAUUUCCAAAAGAUUUAAAGAAAUAGUGCCAUUAUUUAAUUGUAGUUACUUAAUUUACUGUCCAUACACUUUCAACUAUCUCUCAAUUAAACGCUAUAAAAAUAAUAGUUGAAGCUUGCAACAAGUAUAUAUAUAUAUAGAGAGUUGAGCUGAAAUGCUAUCGGUAGCAAAUUAGCUCCAUUGCCACCCAUUUGUUUUCGAUGAUGGAGUCCUUAAAUUGACGAUCGGCACCGUUAAACAUGAUCUAUACCACUUGAAGUAUCAAGAAACCAAAUUUCAAAUUAUUUCGACAUCAUUAACCUAAUGAUCAAAGGAUUUCAAAAUUUAUAAUUUUAAUGGUAGAUAUGAGGCGUUUUCUUGUUUAACGGUGUAAACCUAUCCAAAUCAAUUGAAUUUUGGUUAGAAAAUUCUUUAAAUUAUUUAGAAUAAGAUCUAUACUCUCGAUCUUGAUUACAAAAUUCUUAUCAUCACUUUUUAGAGUAUAUUUAUUUUCAGCCGUUUAUUUUUACGCCCACUUGAUGGACAAGAGAACAAAUUGAAAAAGAAUGAAAUUUGAUUUCUAGAUAUUUUAUGUGGUAUAGAUCAUAUUCAACGAUGCCGAUCAUCGAUUUGGAGGCUCCAUCAUCGAAAACCAAUUGGUGACAACGGAGCCCGUUUGCUACCGAUAGUAUUCUAGCUCAACUAUAUAUAUAUAUAUAUAUAUUUUGAACUAAUCAACAACAGCAUACAAAUUAAAAAGGUGGUUUGGAUUCAUUUAUGUUGAAUAUUGCAUCAGCCCUAUUAAAUGAGCCACUGCAUUAAGAGUCACAAAUUGGCUACGAUGCUUGGCAACUUGUAUUAAAUUAGGUCCCUGUAAUAUUUGACAAAAUCCAAACUACACUAAAUGGUGAUGACGUGCAUUUAACUGUCUCACUUAAUAUUCAUUUUUUUUAAAAAAAACUAUAUAUCUCAUUCGAGAGAAUGCAAAUGCAAUCCACAAAUUUGAACUUAAUUACUACACGUUGUAAUCACGAAUGAGUAUUAAAUAUAUAAUAAACUCCAAACUAUAUAUAUUUUUGUUAAGAACAAAGACAAAUAUAAGUUAAUGUUAAUAUAAUAUCAGAUUUAUUCUAAGUGUGUACAACUAGCUAGCUAGAUAUACAUAUACCACUAAUUAAUAAAUUACUAAUUAAUAAAUUAAUGAUUCAUCAAAAGCUCUACUUAACCUACAAUACGAAGCCUGUAAAAGUUACGCUUGUAUGUAUAGUACUAUUUCGUGUGGCAAAUGGCCAAACUUCAACUUGUUUUAUUAUUAUUAUUAUUACUAUUAUUAUUAUCAUCUUACAUCUUUUUUUUUUGUCAAAUUGAUAAAUUCAACCCUAAAUCACUUUCAUGGUCCUUUCAUCAAUCACUUAGGAAGUGUCUUUCAUUUUAUAUUCAACAUCUUUUUCUAAACUCGAUCAGUUUAUUAAGUGAAUCAUACCUUAGAGAAAUUAAAUAAGCUAGCUUUGCCCUUUGAAACUAUGGAGAAUAUUUUCUUUUUUCACCUUUUUUUACUGAUCAGUACAUGCACUAGAUUACUUAAUUGGGUUCUCCACCAGUCGUACGCCAAAGUGUAUUACGAAUCCUAUGGCUUUGCUUUAUCUAAAUUAACCAACAUAAUUUUAUUGGUAAAGCUCUAUUGAUAGGUCGUUAAUUAGUGGUACAUAGGACCUAUUUUAAUUUGAUCUAUGACAUGCUUCAGCAGACACAUUUAUGGUCCAAUACAUUGAAUUCAAGCUAUAUAUAUAUAAUUACUUGAUCAAAUGUGCGACCUGGGGUCCCAUAAAAUUUUCUAAUGGAAAUAUCUUCGAUCGAUCGCCUCUCUAUAGGUUGCUAGGGUGGGCAUAUGGCUCCCAUUCUUGCAUGUUGGAGAGACACAAAGUAAGACAUAUUCAUGCAUCCCUCACCAUUAUGCUCCUCGAUCACAUGGUUGGCAAAAGUGUUAUCCUUUCCUUUCAACUAAGAUAUCAUUAUUUUGCAGUGUGAGAGCACUCAUUGGUUUCAUGAUGCAUGAUCAAUAUUUUGGGGUAUUCCUCAACCAUGCAUGAUGAUGGCCUAUAAUUAAGCUCCAUUCAUGAUGAUAACCAUAAAAAAGCAAUGUAUGUCUCUAUCACUUUCCUCACUCUAUGGGCAUGUUUGGGGCUGGGUAUGGAAUGAAGGACAAGAGAGGUGGGCAUAGCAUUGAGUUUGCCAACCCAAGGUGCAGCAUAAGAGCAAACACUAUCUCAAUCAUAUAGGAACUGGGGUGUCCUUACAUGUGAUUGGUGAAAUGUAUAGCUAAGGAUGAGCUCAUUUAAUUUGAAUAAAAAUAGAUAUAGCUAAGGAGGAGAAGCAACUUACUAGCUCAACUUGGCAUAUGUACAUCUCUAUUUCAUGACUCUAGCUAGCUACCUACUCCUUUGGGUUUGAAUCAUGGUCCACUUUUGUUCCCCCCCAGAAAAAAAAAGAAAAAAGUAAGCCACUAUUGGCAAAGCCUUACUCUUUGUAAUAGGUAUUCUAUGUUAUGCUUAUAGAGGCUUAAUUAUGAGAUAAUAAAAAUUUAAUUAUUACAAGGACAAUGUGAAGUAUCUCCCAAAAGAAAAAAAGAAAUUGUUUAUGAAAUUUUCUAUAAUUUGGAAUGAGAAACAACUUAGGUCCUCCACAAUAUUGCAACAAAUUAAAGAUAUUAUAAUGUUUUUAAAAUGGGUUCAUAAAUUAAUCAUAAGUCAUUAUAUUAGACACCAAUAUAUAAUAAUAUAUAAAUAUAAUAUUAUAAGGCAUCACCGGCCGUCCCUAGAGCAAGUGACAAAGGGCUUGGUGGUUGGUACCCGAGACCCAAGUUGGAAUCCUAGUUGAUUUACAUUUCCAGCUAAGUUUAUUUCUAGAUGAAAUAAACAAAGCAGGUACCAUGCUAAUUGCUACCUAUCUCUCAAUAUAUAUAUAUAUAUAUAUAUAUAUAUAUAUAUAUAUUAAGGCAUCAGCAAGCGCGACACUGUUCACUUAUAAAUAUUGGAUUUGAUUGUUAUUAUUCAUAUAUAAUAAAUGGAUGGAAUAACUACUACUGAAAAUGACUUUUCGACAAAUAUGGUUGGCGCAAGAGAUCGGAAGGAGAGAGGUCGAGGCUAUAGCAAGUACAAAGCAGUAAACUAACUAGAACAAAGUACACAAGGAACAAAAUCUAAUAUACAACGUGCAUGCCAUGCACAUAAAAAAAAAAAAAGGACAAAAAAAGCAAAAAGGGUGUAGUAAGUACCCAACAUUUUAGGGGCAAGGUUAAAGCUUGCAUCAUGCGUGAACAUGGUGAACUUAACAACCGACAUAUACACAAUUCAUGAUCAGUCCUCGGAACUUGGAUCGUACGUACUAGCCAAUGCAAUUAUAAGCUAAUAAAACUUUAUAUGCCUAGAUCAAAUAAAAGCGAGAUUAAGAUAAAGCCCAGUUGCCAAAAGAAAAAAAGCAUUGAAACCGUACAAGUUUCAUAAAAUAAUCAGAUCGAUUCAUGUGGAUAUCAUGGAACCCACCGUAAAUCCUUACUACGUUUUGUGGAAUAAAAUUUGGUGAAUUAUGCUACGCAUGCAUCACUGCUUAUUAUUGUGUAUGUGAUAUUGUUGAUGAGUUAACACCUUUCCGAAUUAUCUGCAAAAUCUGUAUUUAUAGGUUUUAGUUUUGCUUUGGUUGUAAUCUUGUUUGGCAUUUGAUUUAUUUAUGUCUUGAAUCAAAUACCAAAUACCAAGUUCACUGGGUAAAAAAGGAAAAGCAAAAAAAAAAAAGAAAAAGAAAAAGAAAAGAGCAACACAAAGAUAUGGGCCCUGGCCCAGUUAACAACCGAAGGUUUGUCCAUGGGUAGUGUCUUAGCCCAGUUAUAACCACAAAGUUAUGGGUCUUUUACACUUUGGGUCCAAAGCCAUGUAAAUGAUGGCCCAUUAAUAGCAGAUGUAAUAUCAUGGGUCGGUUCAUCUUACCAAUUUGUUUCUCUUAUAGUCGGCAAGUGCCGGUGCUUCGCCGCCGAAUUCUCCUUGCAGCGACGUAAACCGCAAAACGAAUGCUGUAUGUCUAGGGUUUCCCCAUCGCACUUUCCCCUUUCCUUUCUCCACUGGCUCACUGCGAAGAUGUAUAGAUCAAAACAAAGGUAUUAUUGUUUAAUUUUUCUUUUAUUAAUUCAUAUAUCGCCGUUAAAUUCGUGAAUUAUUAGUAAUUUUUUUGUUUUCGAUCAUCUUAAUCCUCCAAAUUCGCAUGGCCUUUAGAUAAUUUAAGCUACAUAGGUGUUGUUUUUCGCACUAGCUAGUCUCUGAUAAGUCUGUUUCUCCUAUUAUACAUAAUGUUAUGAUUUAGCAAAAAGUUUAAUAGGAAUAACUAUUUUAUUCCUAUUAAACUUUCUCAUUUGAUCUCCGCAUAAUUAUAUGCGUAAGAACAACGAUGAAAGAGUAGGAAAUGUUCUUUACCAGUUGCAGUUGCCUCUGUAACCAUUUGCUUUGUUCUCUUUUUUUUUCUUUUUUUUUUUUUUUUGAGAGAUAGAUAGUAUGCUACACGUUACGCUUAUUUUAUCUAAAAAUAAAUUUAACUGAAAAUGUGAAUCAAUUAGAAUUCGAACUUAAGAUCUCGGAUAUCAACAAUCAAGUCAUUUCCCACUUGCGCUAGGGACGGUCGAUUUCUCUUAAAUUGUUGAAACUAGUGUUUUUAACAGCUCGACCGCCACAUCAGCGACCGUGGACAACGGCUCUGGAAUUGAAAUGCUUCGUUUUACUCUUCAAUGUCAGGAGAACGAGAGGUAUGGAAAAUUUUUGAUAAAAUUACAGUUCAAGGCGACGGUAAAUCUCUUCCUAUCUUUCAUCCUUCUGCUAAGGAUUGUUUGCAAGCUAAGCCUGAGCUUACUAACAAUUUGUUUGGUAUUUAUCCGAAUCAAGUUGCAUUUUCUAAGGACAUAUAGUAGUUGAAUGGGGAGUUUUUAUCAUGCUAUUUCUAACUCAUUGUUCGCCGUGAUGCUAGUCCGAUGUCGCCGAUCACACCAGGUUAGAACUUGCAACACUUCCUUCAUUGAUGGUCUAGACGAGGGCGAUGGUCCGGUGCACAUUAGACCUAAUUUGAGCACCACCUCCACCGUAUACAAGUAGGCGGGAACUUGAACCACCUCGUCGAUCACAUAAAUCAGCCCACCAUCCUCUUGAAACUGUUGCCAUGCCCAUUUGGCCAAACCUCCGUGCUCGCCCAUAUCGUUUGCUCGUCGUCCCGUGGUCAGCUCCAGAAGAACCACCCCGAAACUAAAUACGUCCACCUUCUCAUUGAUCUUUCGCAAAUAUCCACAUUCUGCGACCAAAUAAGAAAUCAAUUAGGAUAACUUUUCUCUUUGGGGGAAAAAAAAAACUUCUCUGUAAUGUGAUCCUACACCAUGAGAUCUCACCCGGAGCCAUGUAUCCAAAGGAGCCUGCUACGGCUGAUACAGAUUCUGGCUCUCCAGUCUUGACCAACAUACGAGCUAGGCCAAAGUCGGCUAUCUUAGGUCUAAAUUCGGAGUCAAGUAGUAUGUUGCUGGACUUGAUAUCUCGGUGUACAAUCGGUGGCGAGCAACCAUGGUGCAUGUAGCAUAGUCCUCGCGCAGCUCCAAUCGCAAUGUUCAACCUCCUAGACCAAUCCAACGGCGAAGACCCACUAACCAUCAUUUCCUGCCCAUGCAGCCACCUGUGCAGACUCUCGUUCUCCAUGUAUUCAUAGACGAGCAGCUUUGAGCCGGAACUCGAGAUGCAGCAAAGCAGCUUCACGAUGUUGGCAUGCCGAACAGAGCCUAAGAUCUCAACUUCUGCCUGGAACUCCUUUUCCAGCUGCGCGUCAAGCUUCCUACUAUUCCAUAUCUUUUUGACGGCUACAAUCUCCUCAACUUGGUUCCCGAGGCUGAUGCGAUACACCUUCCCGGACCCACCGCUUCCUAUUAUGUUGUCCUCCGUGAGGCCACGCGCAAUUUCUUGCUCUGUAAAAUCUAUUGCAUAAAAGGUUGUGAGCUUUGGUGCUCCCAACUCACUAUCGGUGAUCUUUUCUCGCUGGCGGUAUUCUUUCACCUUUUGGAUGGUGAAUGCCGCUAUGCUCAACAAUGCAAAACCUCCGAGGAACACAGACAAGAUGAUUAGUCUUCUUAAGAGCUUAUCUGAGCCAUCCAUUGUAUCUUUACAGUGGUGAAGAACAGCUGCAAAGUUGGGAGAGGAGCAUAGGCCUGGAUUGGAGAGGAAGCUUCUUUCGUACUCAUGAUUCUGCAACCACAUUGGGAUCUCGCCAGAGAGUUGGUUCACGGAGAGGUUGAGGAACGUGAAAGCAAUAUUACCUAACUGCUGUGGGAUCGUGCCUGACAGCUGAUUCUUCGACAGGUCAAGUGUUGUGAGAGAAGGAAGCGAUACAAUAGAGGAUGGUAUCUCGCCUAUAAGCUGGUUACUGCUGAGAUUCAGCACAGUCAAAAACUUCAAUGAUGAUAUUUCCGAAGGGAUUGUGCCGGAAAUCUGAUUCUCGUCUAGUAGCAUUAUUUCGAGUAGCGAAUUUCUGGCAUAUUUAUUCGGAAUCUUCCCCGACAACGAGUUGUUAGAUGCCUUAAAGAUCACUAAAUUACUUGGUAAUAAUGGAAUGCUGCCGUAGAAUCUGUUGUUCUGGAUUUCUAUAUUGAGAAGAUUUUGUGGGAGUUUGCCUGGAAGAGUGCCGGAGAAGGCAUUAUCGUAGAGCGUAACAGAGGUCAGGUUAACUGCAGACCAUGUGGUAGUCGGGAAUGCACCGGAGAAGUCGUUUCUGUCCAAUUGGACAGAUUCCAGCGUAUAACAGUUUGCGAGGGAUGCUGGUAUUAGGCCACUGAAGUUGUUCUGAGACACCACCAAUGCGGUCAGUGCCUUGUGCGAGCACAGACCCUCUGGUAACUUUCCAACGUGUUUAUUGCUGCUGACAUCGAGAUAAGUCAGAGUCGAAUGCUUCCCUAACUCAGGUGGUAGCACCCCUGUAAGGCUGUUGUUCCUGAGCCAAACAAUCUCUAGCAUCGGGAGCAAUCCGAUGCUCGACGGUAUGUCGCCGGAUAAUUGAUUGUUGUACAAGAAGAGGAGUGAGAGAUUCCUUAGCUUGCCAAGAUCCUCCGGCAUGGAUCCGGUCAGUAAGUUCAUCGAAACAUCAAUCUCCUCCAACCGCAAUGCUCCAAUAGUCCCAUUGAUCUCACAGCAGAGCUUGUUAGCAUAUAGAUAGAGAUUCCUCAGCUUCUCCAGCUUCCAAACCCAACCUGGUAUCCUCCCCGUCACAGAAUUCAUCGACAAAUCAAACAACUCUAGUUCUGUCAGAUUCGCCAAAUUUUCGGGGAUCUUCCCCACAACACUAGCUUGACUCAUCCAUAGAAACUUCAGCGACGUCAUGUUGCCGAAUUCAGGAGGGAUCCUCGCUGCAGCGAAAGGGUUGUAAGCCAAAGUUAGAUACUCCACUUUAGAAAGAUUGCCAAGCUCGGCGGGGUACGAGCCGUCAAAGAGAUUGUUGUCGAGCUGCAGGUUCUUAAUUGCGGGGAGCUGGCCAAUGGAGCUCGGGAUGUGGCCCGUGAAGUUGUUCCCCGAGAGGCCGAGGUAUGCGAGUCUCGGCGAUAAGAGGUUGAUAUCUGCGGGGAGUUUGCCAACGAACAGGUUCUCGGAGAGUUCCAAGAACUGCAACUUGGAGCAAUUGUAGAGAACAGUAGGAAAAACACCAGGAAGAUUGUUGUAAUACAGGUCAAGACGGGUGAGGUUCUGGAGGUCACAAAUGGCGGCGGGGAUCGGCUUGUUGAGAUUUUGGCGCCGGAGAGAGAUCUCUGCGACGAAGCCAUUGGUGCAAACGAUUCCGAUCCAGCUGCAGUAAUCGGAGGUGGUUGAGUUCCAUGAGGAAAGAGCUUGUGGGUUGCCCCAGUCACUCCUGAGACGAAGUAGUGUUUGCUUCUCCUCUUGUUUGGUUACUGUUUGGGAGUUGGAGAUUGCCGGUAAUAAUAGCGUCAUGAAGAGGAAGGGAGCCAAAAAGGAAGAAGAGACCAUUUGGAGUUUCUCUUUACUAAGAUGAUGAUGGAAAAUGGUGGGAAUGGAAUUGUUUGAUCAAAAUUAAGGUUGCCGUGAUGCGCUAAAUGACUCAUUAGCAUUUUAGAACCAAACGACCCGGAGACGAUCAUAUUACCAACAAAAAAAAAUUGACGCGUAAUUACACGUUCACUUUUCCCAUGGAUUACACGUUCAAUUUUGUUCCCAUGGAUAUUUUUGCAUCCACGGACACUUUUAAGCAUAAGUGAUAAAAAAUUUAAUAGUUAGUAUUCGAAAUAUAAAUUUCAAAUUUAGUUAUUUUAUAUUUUUAGAUAAAUUUUUUUUUAAAUAAAAUGAAUGAAAUUGGUAGCAUAUUAUUAUUUUUUCCUUAACAAAAUAUAUAUACAUAUUGUGCAUAUUAUCUAACUGAGUCAAGAAAGUAAACUGGGCCGAUCCAAAUUUAAGUUAUAUAUAUAUAUAUAUAUAUAUAUAUAUUAAGCAUAGGAUAAACUUUAAAUACCACUUAUGUGAUUUUGUACUUUCUCAUUUUAAUAUUCUAUAUUAUUCUCUCCACUAAUUUAUUUCGUUAAAUUAUAUAUAAAACUUCAUAUACCCAACUAAGUUUAUCAAAUAUUUAUUUUAGUACCUUUUAGUUUUAAUUUUGUCACUGAUUUAACAAAAUAAAUUAGUGGAGAGAAUAAUAAAAAAAUAAAAAUAAAACCACGGGGUACUAACUUGAUAUACUUUAUACCACAUGAUACUAAAAUAAAAAAAUACGAAACCACGCUGAUAGUAUUUGAAGUUUUUCCAUAAGCAUAAGGUGAAGUUAGAAUAUUUCUACAAAUGGACAGUUCUUUACUUUCAUAUCGAUUCUAUAAAUAAUUUUUUAAUAUAAGUUGCCUGGUAUCUAUAAAGAACUCGUCUUAAAGGCCCAGUAUUUCGUCCUAUGACGGAAAGUUAGGUUGAACCGAGUCACAAUCAAGACUCGUGAAUAUUGUGUCCUUACGGUUUAAGUGAACUGAUUAGAUCUUUUAACAUCUCAAGUUUUUAAAAUUAAUAGUUUGCACCAAUAAUUCUACACAAACUCUCUUUAUUUUUUGUUGUUGUUGUUUUUUAAUUUUUUACUUUCUUUUAGCAAAGUAAUAUUCAGCUGAUACCACGUGGAUCAUAAAAAGGUGUGAAAAGUGAGUAUAAUAAUAGCUUAUUCUCAAUCUUAUGAUCUUCAUCAAAAUUAAACUUCAUUUACAAGGAGAUUAGCCAAGCGGCGAUCCCAUUGGUUGGACCUUUAUUUAUAUCUUCUAUUACUUAAAUUAGCUAUAUAUACAGCGUAUUAGUAGACCUUACAGCAAUCCAUUAGCAGCUAGCGUUGAUCCAACACAGCUAUUUCUAGCUAUUAAUCCUUACCUACUACAGUUGUGGCACGCUCCAUUCCAAAGCUUGAGUCUAGGUUAGUGUGUGAGUUGUGCUUGUUCACUGCACUACGAUAUGUUACAUUUAUGCUCGCACAACAUGCGCAUAGAUGUCCUCUCUCUCGUCUUCUCCGGUAUCCGACAAGCUUUUCCGCCGACUCCCCAUUUUGAUUUGUAGAAAGGGAGCCGCGUCAUACUCGCCGCGGAGCAUGUUCCGAUCUCCGUUUGUGCGGUCGCACUGCAUUAGCUGUUUCAACACUUCCUUCAUCGACGGCCUAUAUGAUGGAUUUGUUGCGGUGCACAUGAGACCGAUUUUGAGUACCUCGUCCACCUCGUCCAAGUACGCGGGGUCCCGGAUGUCCUCGUCGAUCACAUCGAUCAGCCUACCGCCCUCUGCACAAUGCCGCCAUACCCAUUGCGCCAAGUUCUCGUCCUCGCCCCCUUCGUUCGCUUGCCGCCCCGUCGUCAGCUCCAGAAGAACCACUCCGAAGCUGAACACAUCCAUCUUCUCAUUGAUCUUCCUAGCGUAUGCACACUCUGCAACCAAAUCAAAUCACCAAUUACUAACAUUUCACUAUUAUUAAGUUGUACCUUUGCCAAUUACUGGCUCAUAAUUACGUUUCCCAGUAAUUCAUUUUACCUGGAGCCAUGUACCCAAAAGAGCCCUCUAUGCCUGAAACAGAUUCGGGUUCCCCGGCCUUGACCAGCAUUCGGGCUAGCCCGAAGUCGGCGAUCUUAGCUUUGAACUCCGAGUCGAGAAGUAUGUUACUGGACUUGACGUCUCGGUGCACGAUCGGCGCGGAGCAAUUGUGGUGCAUGUAGCACAACCCCUGGGCCGCUCCGAUCGCGAUAUCCAGCCUCAUCGGCCAAUCCAAUGGCACAGAUGCGCCUGCCUGCCCGUGGAGCCACAUGUCUAAGCUCUUGUUUUCCAUGUACUCGUAGACCAGCAACUUGGAGUCCGAACUCGAGAUACAGCAAAAUAGCUUAACAAUGUUGUUGUGCCGGAUAGAGCUCAGAAUCUGGACUUCUGCUUGGAACUGCUUCUCCAGCUUCGCGCCAAACUUCCGGCUGUUCCAUAUCUUUUUCACGGCCACCGUAUUUUCGGGACCGAGCUCGAUGCGGUACACCUUUCCAGAGCCGCCCCUGCCGAUCAGGCGAUCUUCAGUGAGCCUGCGGAUGAUACUCUCCUCCGUGAAAUCGAGAUGGUGGAAAGAGGUGAGCUUCCACGCGGCGAGAUCAGGUCCCUCCUUUUCCCUCUUGAGGUACUCUCUUACCAUUAAGGUGCCGACGACCGCCGUCCCCAAAAUCAAAAGCCCACCGAGAAGCAUGAUCACGAUGAACAGACUCCUCCCGAGCUUCGUAAGGCCGCCUGAUCUAUUGCCGCAGGCGCGGAGAUUCGUGAUGAUGUUAAGUGAGGAGCAAAGCCCGGGAUUCGAGAGGAAGCUUCUGUCAUACGCUUGGUUCAGUAACGACACCGGAAUUGGGCCGGAGAGUUCGUUGCAGGAGACGUUGAGAAAAUUGAGCUUAAGAUUACCGAGCUGCGGCGGGACCGGUCCCGAGAGCUCGUUGUCCGAGAGAUCAAGUGACGUAAGCACGGGGAGCGAUCCGAAUGAGCCCGGGAUCUCGCCGGUGAGCCGGUUGCUGCUGAGAUUGAGCUGGGUGAGGCCCGUCAAUGCCGAUAUCCCUGACGGGAUCGAGCCGGAAAUCCGGUUGCCGUCGAGAAACAGCACAUUGAGCUGCGAAAUUCCAGCUAGAUUACUCGGGAUCUCGCCCGAGAAUAAGUUGUUCGACGCCAGGAAUACCUGCAACCGGCCAGCCGAUGAAGGGAUGGUGCCGUAGAAUCUGUUGUUCUGGAUCUCCAACCGGGUGAGAUUCCACGGGAGCGGGUCCGGAAUGGUGCCCGAGAAGGCGUUGUCAUGGAUCAUCACCGUCGUAAGAUUCUCCGCCUUCCAAAUUGUAUUCGGGAACUCGCCGGAGAACUUGUUUCCAUAAAAUUGGAUGUUAUCUAGCGUGUAACAGUUCGCGAGCGAGUCCGGUACCCCGCCGGACAAGUUGUUGUUGAACACAACGACCGACCUGAGCGCCCCCCGUGAGCAGAGGCCCUCCGGGAGCUUCCUGGAGAGCCCGUUGUUGGCCACUUCAAGAUUUUGCAGCUCGGAGUGCUUCCCCAAUUCCGGCGGGAGCGCCCCGGACAGACUAUUGUUGAAGAGCCGGAGGUCGCGGAGCUGCGGGAGCAACCCGACGCUCGCGGGAAUUUCCCCGGAGAGUCUAUUGUAGUACAUGAAGAGCACUGUGAGGUUCGUCAGCUUACCCAGAUCGGCCGGCAUCGGCCCGGUCAAUAGGUUCAUCGAGACGUCGAUCUCGACCAGACUCAGCGCACUGAUCGUCCGGUUUAUCCCGCCGGAGAACAAAUUCGCAUACAAGUAGAAGUUCGUCAGCUUCGGCAGCGUCCAAAUCCAAUCUGGUAUCGUCCCGUUCAUCGAAUUCCAACCCAGAUCAAAAUACUCGAUCUCCGUGAGCUUCUGGAACGUGUCCGGGAUCUCUCCGACGGCGCCAAUCUGGGUCAUCCACAGAGACUUGAGCUUUGUUAAGCUCCCGAAUUCGGGCGGAAUCGGCGCGGGGGCGAAAGGGUUGUAUGCCAACGAGAGAUAUCGCAAAUCGUACAGAUUCGCGAUCUCCACAGGGUAGGAGCCGUUGAGGAGGUUGGAGUGCAGGAAUAGCGUCUGCAGCGCCGGGAGCCGCCCGAUGGAUCGUGGGACGUCGCCGGAGAAGUUGUUGCCGAAGAGGCUGAGGUACGUGAGCUUGGGCGAUAGCCGAUGGAUAUCGGCGGGGAGUUGGCCGACGAAUAGGUUUUGCGCGAGCUCCAGGUGCUCCAAGUUGCUGCAUUUGUAGAGAACGGUGGGGAACUCGCCGGGGAGGUAGUUGAAGUAGAGGUCGAUGAAGGAGAGGUUCGGGAGGUCGCAGAUGGAGGAGGGGAUGGGUCUGGUGAGGUUGUGGAGGCGGAGGGAGAUUGCGGUGACGGAGGUGUUGGUGCAGGUGAUCCCUUCCCAGUUACAGGGAUCGGCGGAAGUGGAGUUCCAAGUGGAAAGGGAUGGGGGGUUGCCCCAAUCGGAUUUUAGGAGGAGGAGGGUUUGCUUCUCUUGUUCUUCUUGUUGUUGUUGUUGUGGGGUUAGGGUUUGGGAGGUGGAGUGAGGGAGUGAGGUGGAGGCGAGGAGGAGCAGCAGAGGGAGUACGAGGAGGAGAAGAUGUCGAGAGGGAGAAGUUGCCAUUAGUGGCUGGCUUAAUUAGUUGUGAGAGGUUGCUGAGUUGGAGGAAACUGGAGUGGUGGGAUGGUUUUUUAUAGGUAUAUGGUGCCGCUUCCUACACUUCUGUGCUGUGAUUGGAGAGUAUUUUCCAGCAUGAUUAGUUCACUUCUUCUUGUUUGGUUCGCGUAUACUUAUUUCAAAAAUAUAUAUAAGUUUAUAUUUGAAUAAAAAUUAGAUUGUUUUUAAAAAUAAAAAAAAAUAAUGUUUAAACAAAUAAGAUGGAAUAAAAAGAAUAAUAAGUAAUUAUAAAUAAAAAAUAACAAUAUUACCCUCUCAUUAUAUUUGAAUUUGAAUAUUUUAAUUUUAUAUUUUUAUAUUUUUAUAUUUAAAAUUUUAUCUUUUAAAUUUUAAAAUUUGAAAUUAAAUUUUCAAUUUUCAAAUUACAAAUUUUAAAUUUUAACUUUUAAAUUUUAAAUUUCAAAAUUAAAAUUUAAGAUUAAAUUUAAAUUUGAAAAUAUAAUAUUUUAAAUUUUAAAUUUAAAAAAUUUAAAAUAUCAAAUUUAAAAUUUAAAAAUUUAGAACAUAAAAUUAUAAACUUUAAUUUUGAGAUUACAAAUUAUAAAUUUUAAAAAUAAAAAUAGGGGCGAGAACAUCUAUUCGGAACCGUUGUUUCCACCCUUAACGGGUUAUCUAAAAAUAAUCAUUUAAUAUUAAUUAGAUUAAUUAAUAAUUUAAAUAUAUUAACUAGAUUAAUUAAUAAUUUAAAAUUAUUAAUUAGAGUUUAAUUAAUUUUGUUCUCGAUUGUUCCAGGAAUAAGGUUGGAACAAUAAUUCCAGACUUAUACCGAAUUAUAUUAACUUAUUUCAGAUAUCCGGAAACUAUUAUUUUUGGAUAGGAAAAAUUAUGUUUAAGUAUAAAGGGGAUAAGGGGUUAUCCCCCUAUCUGAACCAAACGGGAUGGAAUUCGGAUAUGAUUGUACAUAGAAAUAAAUUAUAUAAUGUUCUAUAUAUGGUGAUAAUUUUUUGGAGAUAAAAUUAUAUUGUGUGAUUGAAAGGCUGAAGUUUUUUUUUAUUUUUUUGAAAGAUUUUAGAAUUUAUAAGUUGUUAUGAUAAUAUGUUAUUUCAAAAAAAUAAUUAGAAGACUAACGAUUAUUUUAUUCGGAGCAUUUGGUCACACUCCUAACUUUCAAUCAUAAUAAAAAAAAAAUAUUUUCAUGCCAAAUAAAAUAUUGCUAGAUAUCUCUUUUGUCAUCAUCUAUAUUUGAUUAAUUUUAUUAAAUUUUAUUAAUCAUUAACUAAAUGCUCCCCUUUGGGUACGUACAAAAUGGGACUUGAGCUUUUGGUUUCUCGAGUAAAAUCCUUAUAAAUUUUCUUGGCGAAAACUUGUUAUCGAAAUUCAUAGGAUAAAAAAAGACCUAAUUGGAUUGUAUUUUUUUCGAAAUACGUAGUAUGCUGUUUGUUUUGUUUUUUUUUUAAAAGCAAAUUUAGUUGAAAAUAUAAAUCAACUUAAAUUCAAAGUUGCCACAUCGAAUACUAACCAUCAAAUCCUUUAUCACCUGUGUUAGCGAUGGUCCGCAAAUCUAAUUGAACCAUCACGGGUUAACCGCUCCGCACUCCUUCCGAGUGGAUAAGAAAGAAAAUAAUAAUAAUAAUAAUAAAUAAAUAAAAUGGUAAUCUAGAAGGUCUAAGUGCCAGGGCAAUCACUGCGAAUGAGCACACAAGAUUUGUGGCUGCGAUGGGAACAAAUGAUUCGGUGGAGGACAUAUUUUGACCACUUAGUCGGUCGUUAAUGAUGCCAACACCACUGACUAAUUAUAUUCUUUCAGGUUAAAAAAAAUUACAUAAAAUUUUUUUAUAAAUUUUUAUUUUUUUAUUUUUUUCUCUCAUUAUUAAAAAUCUAUUUUUUUUAUCCAUCAACAUUUCAAUUUUUUGUUUUUAGUUUCCAUUCGUCUGAAUUCUAUUACUAUUUCGUCCAUUUUUUAUAAUUUAGACCGAAAACGCUUUUCAAAAUAAUACACAUAUAUUAGAAAUUAUUUUUUUUAUAAAAGAGGUAAAGAUAAUUUAGUCAUUUUGCCUUUCUUUAUUAACGCUAUACAUUCUGAAAAUAUUUUUAAAAUUUUAAGAAUGUAAAAUAUAAUUUUUUUAAAGUCUAAAAGAAAAGAUGAAAAGACGGGUAUUAUAAGAAAAUUUUAAAACUCUCAAAAAAAUGCUAAAUCUACAACACAAGAAGUGUGAUUCCUACAAUCUUCUAUCCAAGAGCUAUACCGAAUCAUUAUCUAAUAUAAUUUAUUAAGAAUUUGAUAGUAGAUAUUGGAAAUUUUAAUUUUAAGUCUAAUUAUUUCAUGUUUAUAACUGAAUUUAUUUAAAAAAAAUAAAUGGAGAGAGUGAUAUGCUAACUUUCUCUCUCUCAAAAUAACAAAAAAAUUUGCAGGGUUUACUGGCCCUUUUAGAUUUUUAGUUUGUGAAAAAAAAAUGAUAAGAUAGGAAGAGAAAAUAGAGCAAUUAAUUAGAGGAGUUAUAAGAUUACAAUCCAAAAUGCCUUGUAAUCUUAGGACUCCCCGAAAAGAAACGUACAAAGACCCUUUAACCUUUUGCCUUUUUGCUGAUAAAUUUUUAAAAUUUUAAUUUUGAUAAUUAAAUAUAAAAACUUUAUAAAAUAAUUCAAAAAGGUCCUUUUCUCAAUUGUAGUAAUUCGUUCUAAUAGCAUAUCUUAUAUAUAUUCUUGUUAAGUUUUGAAGCAGAUCAGAAAAAAUAUUUCUUAUAUUCUAUUACAUGAAAAAAGUAAUACAAAUUGAAGUUUUCAACUCUCAUACUUAUGAUAAGAAUUGAGAAAGAAAAAAAAAAUUAUAUUUUAAAAUUCUAUAAAAUUAUUAUAUGCAUGAUAUAUGAUCAAAAUGACUAUAUAGAAGAUUUAAUUGAACUUCCAUCGAAGAUAGAAACUAUUAAUUUAUUUGAUAAAUUAUAGAAGAUUUAAUUGCCAAAUAAAAAUUUUGAGGGCAUGUUUUAUAAAAAGUGCUAAAGUUCGGAUGAUUCUAUCAAUUUAUUUAUUUUUAUUUUUUUUAAUAAAAAAUUUAUUGAUUUCGCUAUUUUGUAAGAUCAUAAUAUCUUUUUUGAUUUGCAUAUUUGGAUCGAGUUUUUGAAUUAAGUGAUCAAAUUAUCUUUAUUCUUCUUUCUCCCUCUUUAUUCUAUUAUUCGUUUCUCUCCUCCUCCCUGCCGUUUGACAUCACUGCGCUCCACCCCACAGAGCUGGCGACGUCGGGCGGUGGACAAUGACGAGGAGAGAGAUGAAGCUGGAGGAGAGAUACAAAGAAAAAAAUUUGAAAAAAAAGAGAAAAAUUUAAUUAUUUUUAAAAAAAAUUGAUUUAAAUGUGUAAAAUUUAGAAAGACAGCUUGAUUUUGCAUAAUCAGUGGAUUUUUUUUAAAAAAAAAACAAAUAAUUUUUUUCUUAUUCUCUUUGGAGAGAUUCGUCGCCUUUAAUAAAAAAAACUAAAAGUGAAGAUAUAGACUGUAUGAGUGGACGGGUCGUCGGUCAACACUCAACGAGAAAUUGAUGCGUGGGAGCAAUAUACACCGAUAAGUGGAUAUAAGCAUCCCUUUGAUCUCCAUCAAACCCCCCACCAUUUAUGCGUGUCAUCAUCUCUCUUUUGUUUUUUUCUUUUUUUUUCUUUUUCGAGAGAGAGAGAGAGAAAGAAAGAAAGGCAGUGUGCUAUCUGUUUAAUUUAUUUUUUAAAAAAUAAACUUAGCUGAAAAUAUAAAUCAACUAGAAUUUAAAUUUUAAAUCUCGAGUACCAAGUCCUUUGCCAUUUGCGUUAGGGACGAUCGGUGUCAUCAUCUUAUCACUUAGAAAAAAAAAUUAUCCUACAGAUAGAGAUGUAUGCUUACAAUCAACUAAAAUUCGAAUUUGGAAUCUCAGAUACCAAUCAUCAGAUCUUUUGCCACUUGCACUAGGAACGGUCGGUAUCAUCAUCUUAUCACUGAGAAAAAAAAUUAUUCUAUGGAUAGAAAUGUAUCCUGACCCAAACCACUCUUUAGUUUUUAAGGUACCGUUUUAUUCGGAAACAAGCUAUUUUUGUCUAUUUUUGAAAUAGAUAUAAUUUUUGGGAUAAGCAAGUGGCGUUUGGACGCGAAUCAAAAUAUCUUGAAGGAUAAAAAAAAUUACGUUUGGAUAAAACAAAUGCAUUGAAAUAGUAAGAAUAAAAAUAAUUAUGAUUGAAAAAAAAAAAUUUGUCUAAAUAAUAAGCAUCUAACUAUUCUUGAUAUAAUAUUUUAACAAAUUAGUAAAUUAAUUAAUUAGUAACACUAUAUAAGAUGAUGAAGAAUCACAUUAAUUAGUGAAUAACUAUAAAAAAUAUAAGUCAAUAUGUUAAUGUUAAUAAAUUAUUUAAUUAAUUAUAUUUUAGUUAAUAUAUUAAUUUGAUAAAUUAAAAUAUUAAUUAUGCAAAUAAUUUAAAUAUUAGUUAAUGAUUGAAUAAGCAAAUCAAUUUUAAUUAUUUAAUUAGCUAAUUAAUUAUAAAUAAUAAAUUAACUACUAUUUUCAUAAUUAUUAAUUUAAUUAGUCAAAUAAUUCAUUGGUUAAUUAUUAAAAAAUUAAUUGCAUUAAUUAAUAAUAUUUUAUAUUAUUUAUAACUUAAUUAGUAGAGAGAUAAGAUGGAAAAUAAUUUAUUUCACAUAAAGGAUGGAAUUACUAUUCUCCUUUCUUAACGGAUUAUUCCAAAAUAACCUAUUAAGAGGAGAAUAGAAAAUUUUAAUGGCUGUUUGGGAGAAUAAGAGGAAUAAAUCUCUUAUUCUCUCCUUUUCCCUCCAACCAAAGAUGGUAAUAUUUUACUGCUUUAUUUUUUAAUAUAACUAAAAAUAUAAGGCAAUUAAAAUUUAAAUUUGAAAUCUAAAUAUAAAUUAUUAAAUUUUUUACCACUUACACUAGAGACGAAUUGGAUACAUCAUCCUACAUUGGACAAGCUAACUAUCCCAAGGCCAUAGUCUAUUAUUUAGUACAUAACGAGCAAAGCAUGCGUUUUUGUUUCUAUUUUUCACUUUCGAACACAAUUAUUUAGGCUAUGUUUAAGUAUAUAAAUAUUUUAUUCAAUAUAUAUAUAUAUAUAAUAUAAUAGAAUAUAUAUUAUAUAUAUAUAAUAUAUAUAUUAUUAUAUUAAUUGGAACUGGGCUACUAUUAGUAGCAAAAUUCUAUUGUUACUAUCAUUUUUAGCCCUUUGGAUCAACUCUUUUCAUCAUUUCUAACCAUUGGAUUAAAUACUAUAACCCAGUGGGGACCACUCAACCCUAGGAGGACCACUCAGCUCUAACAGACUAAUAUCAUCCCUAACCCUACAACUUUUCAUCCAAGGUUAAAAAAUUGAUAGCAAAAAAAGUUUUACUAUUAAUAGUAUUCAAUCUAAUUCUAUAUAUAUAUAUAUAUAUAUAUAUAUAUAUAUAUAUAUAUAUAUAUAUAUUUUGUUGUCAUGUAGUGUGUCCACAUUGACAGGCCUUAAUUUAAUCCGAUCCACUUAAGAUGUGGAUUUAUAUUUAUCCUAAUAAGUUGAGGGUAAGAAUAAAUUAUAUAUUACUUAUUAGUUAAGAAACAUAUCUUCUAGUCGAUAUCUAUUAUGAAUAUCCUAAUCCUAGUCCUUAUCUUAAUCUCUUUGUGAGAUUCAGGAUAUUUAGGGGUUCCGUUAUUUUAUAAAUAGGUCCCCAUUUUUCUCUCCCAUAAGAGAAUACGAUUUAAUCCGAAAGAAGCCACGAUAAAUUCUCUUUCUUCUUUCUCUCUGGGAUUUUCACCUACGUUUCCGGGGUUUUGGAGUGUGGAUAUAAAAGAGAACUCUAAUAGCCCUCUUCAAUUGGCAUCCGUCGCAUCAGAUGCGCAUCCAAUCCGUGACGGAAGGCGUAUGCGUGGAAGAAGGCGAGAAACGUGGGAGAUCCAGAAGCAUCGAGACAAGAACGAUCCAAGAAGGCUUAUAAAACAAGCAAUCUGAUCCGAUUUCGAUUUUCAAAUAUGUUGGCUAUCCAGUUUGUAAGUUUUCGCUGCCCUAAUAUUUCCAACAUAUAUAUUUAAUUAUAGUAUUUGGUAGAUGGUAAAUAAGGAGUGCAGUCAAAUGUUGAAAAAUGUGUAUUAUAUUAAUUAUUCACGCUAUUUUUAAAAAUAAAAAAAAUCAUUUCAUAGCAAAAAUAUGUUAUUUUAUUAAAUUGAAGUAAAACUCAUGCUUUUAACUUUUAAUUGGACAAAAGAUGACCACAUAAUAAAUAUAUAGCAUUUGAUAAACGAAAUAGUAUAAAUUAUAAAGUAUUUGUCUCUAAAUUUAAACUCCAUUUAUAAUUGUAGGUAGAAAAUGUUCUCUUUUUUAGAAAAAGGUAGCAAGCUACCUUCUUCAUUUAUUAGAAAAAUAAGUUAAACUUACAAAUGAAAACAGCCGAGACCUCCGAAAGAAAAAAUAAAAAUUAGAGGACAUAAAAAUAAAAUGUUAGACAAAGACCAGAAAAGGACAAAAAAGAAGCUGACAACCAAGGACCGAAAAAUGUAGAAGAGAAUCUAUGGCACUUGGCAAUGUCACGUAAACCACGCUGACAUCAGGAAUCUGACGCGUUUUAAUGCACGGGUAGGGUUGGGAAACUUCGCUCGGAAAAAAAUGUCAUUCCUUUCGGUUCAAACAAUCCACCAAAUGACAGUCAGUAGAGUUAAAACUUCCAAUAUCUUCUGGGUGUCCAGUAAACUGAGCGAUUUUGACCACAAUUAUUUUGCCUCCUCUGAGGGCGUUAUCAAGACUUGCGGUCCUUCCACACUAAUAUCAACACAUGCACCAAACACACUUUGUUCAGCUAAGAUAAAUCUUUUUUUACUUUAUUUGAUUAGAAUUUGAGAAUAUUGGAAAUACCUUCAAUAGAAGCAUAGUAUUGAAACCUUUUAGCUGUUUCUUAAUUUAUGGUCAAUUUAUUCCUCCCCCCCAGAUGGGCUACAAGAACGCAGUGAACUUCGCCGUGAAAGCCAAGUGAAAAGCUUAGUUGUUUUUGCCUAAAAGUUCCAAUUUAUUCCUUCUCCCAACGAGCAACAAAAAUAUAUGAAGAUUUUGAGUUAAUUCGUAGAAAAUAAUUAAAAUUAUUAAAUUUGAUGGAAUCAUCAGUUAUCGAAAUAAAACCUCCAAAAUUUUAGUAAAAUCAAAAUUAAAAGAUGUUAAUAAAAAUAAAAAAAGGUGGAGGGGACAAUCUCGUAAUUGCCUAGAGUUGAGGUUNUUUUUUUUUUUUUUUUUUUUUUUAACCUUAAGUGACAAGUUGAUUCCUCUUUUACCCUCUUAUAGUUACCUAUAAAUAUUCUCCUACAAUUAGGUUUGGCUCGUGACCACUUCCGAGUCCAACAUUAAUUAUACCACACCUAUGCGCUAGCUAGCGCACAAAUUGACAUUGUUAAUUAGAAAAAAAAAAAAUUUAAAUAGUACCAUUUUUAGACGCGUGAACCCAAAAUAGUCCAAGGUGGAGUUUAAUUGGCUUAGGUUUUCUAAACCUUUAUCCAAUUUUAAAUAAAAAAGUUCAAAUUAUUUAAAGCUGUUGAAAUUGAUACUCUUUACUCCAUGCAGGAAAAAAAAAAAAAACCUUUCCUGUAAUAGGUGUUAUCCUUUUAUAGGCGUAUUAUCUUUUGCGGAAACACUUCUUCUGCUGUAGAGUAUGUAGGAUAUCAAAAUUUGAGUCUCGCUUCGUAUUCAAAUCUUAAUAAAAAAUGAAAAGUACUACAUGCCGCUCAAUGACGAGAACUGUGCCUUUAUGGUUUGCUUCACGAAGCAACACUUUAAUAUGGGAAGUAAAACUAGAAGUUUCUGAAUUGAAUUAUCUAAGAGUUUUAAACUUGAAUCGAGAAAUUAAUUAUUUGAGAUUCGUCUACAUCUUUUUAACUUGCAUCGAGAAACCAAUUGACCUUCCGGGUCUAAAGGAAUAGACGAAGGUCUAAUUUAAACUUCAUAAUUAUCGUAACUUUGAUGAGGAGUUAUUGAUUGAUUUAUCUCUAAGGAAGCUAUAGGGAGCUUAAAUCGAGAAAGUAAAGUAACUUGUACCGCGAAACUAAUUGAGCGUCUGGGGUAUAGAAGAAUAAAAGGUCCAAUCAAUACUUCUUAAUUCAUAUAACUACAACGAGAAGCUACUAAAGUCUAAAAAAAGAUUUAUUUUCAAAGAUGCUGUCACGACUUUGCCUAAAUAAUACUUCUGCAAGAACUUUCAUAUCAUUUUACAAACCCUGAACACAAUUGACCUAGCUAGCUUAUCUCUAAAUACUAUUUUUGUAAAGCUUUUCAUUAUUAAGCAUUAAGGGCUUUUACAUUAAAUUUCCCUCCAAGCCACCGAAUUCAAAUUCAGAAUCUCACUUCAAUGUUUCGUUCGUAAAAUCUAGAUCAUUUUGGCUAACAAUCUAGGUGUUUUUUUAAAGUGAAAGAAAUUUUCAAAAGUUAGGCCAAGCAGUGAAAUAGAAGACCUUGCAGAUAUAUACACGUAAAUUGCAAGGGCAAAACUACAAGUUUCUAUGAUGCAGUUUAAAUUUGUUAGUAAGAUAAAUUUGGUUCGGUUUCUGUUUGGUUUUAUCGAAAAGCAAAGCACACCCCCUAUAUAAUUAAGCAUGUAACAAAUUUACAGGAAUAUCAUUUUCAUAAUGUAGCUGUUGACGAGGAGGAAAAAGCAUCUGCACCAUGCCCCUGGUAAUGGAGCUAGCACUACGUGUUAUUUAUCUAUCUUUGAAUCUCAUGAUGUUACAGCUAAUUAAGGAUCGAUGCUCCCCUUUGUGGGUUCACACCGAAAGAAUCAAAGAGGUGGCAAGGUGCUUUCAUUAAUUAAUUAAUCUUCUUUCCUCCUCGUUAGUCAAGAUACGGUUUUGCAAAGAUCUUAACUUUAAAAUAACCUUAAACACGUAUUUUCUUUUAUCAUAUAAUGGAAUUAUCAUGUUGAUCAAGGUUUUAUUUUGUAUCAAACGCACAGGUUGUUUGUGUAUGAUAACUCUUUAUGUAUUAACUAGUGUAAUAAUUCGUACGAUGUAAUGCAUAAAUAAUUAGAGAAAAAAUAAAAAACAGCGACAAGAAAAGAGAAAAUAGCGAUGGAAGAACUGAAGAAACGAUCAUAAGGGUGCGUUUGGUUCGCAUUAUGAAAGAUUGCUAGGAAUAAAAGAUAUCUGAGAAUCUUAUUCCUAUUCACAGGGGCGGAGCCAUUGAGGGGCCCACAGUGGCCAUGGCCCCCCCUAACUUUUUUAAAAUCACAUAAAAGUCCUUUGUAAUAAAAAUUAAAAUAUUAUAAAUUUUAAUUUUAGGGGGCCAAAUUAAUUUUUUUAAUAAAAUUUGUGUCUCAUUUUUUUUUUCAAAUUUCUUGGUCAUUUUCCUUCAACUCUUACAGUCUUGUUCCUGUUUGAGUAUAUUGUCAUUAUUGUUACUAGUAAUAACUGAUCAGUGAAUCUGACAAUUUUUUUUUUUUAUUAUCCGAAGUUGAAUUUUUUUCCUAUCAAAUCUAAAUCUUGGCCCUCCCGAAUUUUAAUUUAUGGCUUCGUCCCUGCCUAUUCAACCUAUUACUAAGAAUGUGGAAUUCCUGUAUUUGGUUCGCAUGGUAAUAUUAAUUAGCCAUGUUAUUUAAUAUUACAAAAAAUAUACAAUUAAUUUAUUAAUUUAUUUAAUUAAUUUUAGAUAAUGUUACCAAAAAUUUCAACAUCUUUUUAGAAAAAAAGGGAGAGAGAGUAUAAGUUAGAGAGAGAGAGCAUAAUUAAAAAAAUAGAAAGAAAAAUAUAGUCGAAAUUAGAGGGAGUGAGAGAGUUGAAAUUUUAGAAAGAGAGAGAGAAAGAAAGCUUAGUUUAGAGAGAGAAAAAAAGUUGAAUUUUAGAGAAAAAAAUAAGUUUAGAGAGAGAUAUAAGGUUAGAGUAUAAAGAAAAAUAAUAUCAAUUAGCCGGCGGGUAGGAAGAAAGAAAGAGAUUAGACAUAUUAUGAUUACCCCAAUCCAUUAAUAUGAGGAUACCCAUCCUCCCUCAAGGGAAUGAGAUUAGUACUUUGGGGUGAAUCUUAUUCCCAAGUGAAUCCAAUAUUACCAACUAGAUUACUUAGCGUGUUUAGCCAAAUACCGUCAUAUUUUUUUAUUUCCAUUGGAUUACUAGAAAUCUUUAAAAGAUAGCGCAAACCAAACGCACCCUAAGGGGUGAGAUUUAUCUUGCCGAUAAAGAAAAAUAACAGAGGAAGAGGAAGAUUUCGACUCAAUGCAAAAGUGUGAUUCGGUUUAGUUUAAGCCAAAAAAAAGAAAAAGAAAAAUUCGAUUCGGUUCAAGCAAAGAAAAAAAAAUAUAUAUGUGGAGGACUUUAGCCUUGGGAGAGCCCACACUCAAUAAUAAUUGGUUCGGUUCAAGUAAAAAAAAUAAAAAAUUAUAUAAAAUGCUUGAGCCGGUUCGGAGUGAAACCUACACCAAAGAAUGAAAAAAACAUUGCCAUAUAACAAGUUUAGAAAAAAUAAUAUAUAGGUAUAAAUAUUCAAUAACAUACCAAAAAUUAGUGGACUUUAUUUGUACAAUAAUUUGAAGGAGAAAAGAUAGAAAGAAAUUAAGACACUUUGUUGCAUCCAAUAACAAUACAAUGACUGGUACUUUUGUCCUCCGUGGACCCAAAAGAAAGGACAAAAGGCUAGUCAAGUCAAAUUGGGCCCCGGGAAACUAUUUAAUAAAGAUACCUGGUCCACCAUGUUAGAUACAUGGAUCAUUUAUUCUCCCACUAUUAAUGUUGUUCACAUCUUAACUUUUUAUCCAAACCAUUCGACUUAUAUAUUAUUUUCCUUACUUUUAAAUUGAAAAGUUUCCCCAUUUUUUUAGGUCGUUUGGAUUGACUUGACCAAAAUCUGCCUCGCAAAGCAAUCCAAAUCAACCCAACUCGAAUCCAUUACGUCCGGUUCGGAUCGGCUUCAACUCAUUCACUCUAUCAUAUAAUAAAUCAAACAGAAAGACAUGUCUUUAUAUAUAGCAAGAUUGAACAUUUGUGUGUAGAACGAAUUCUCCGGUCAGAAUGACAUGGAAAGGCCCUUAAUAAAUUUUUUUUUUCAUUAGUAUUACUCCUAAAGCUUCUAACAAUUUUAAGUCAAGCUUAAUUAUUUGAUCCGCGAGUUCAACGUGGAAGAUAGGAAAAGAACAAGAUUAGUAACCAAUAAGUGAAGUGAUUGUUGUUGCUAAUAUGAGCUUUAGUUGUAAUUACGUACACAUAAAAUAUGUUAUCUCUGCAAGAAAAAAAAAGAUAAAAUAGGAUAAAAAGAUUUUAUCUGUUUUCAACUGAAACUAAAACUAUUGUAUUGUUCAGCUAAAACUAUACUUUUUUACUUUUUAUUACUUAAUGCCCUAUUUGGUUAGGGGAUAGGGAUAGACCCUUAUACCCCUUUAUAUCCAAACACUAAUUUUUAUCAGAGAAUAGUAAUUCUCGAUUAUCUAUAAUAACCGAUUAUAACUCUCCCCACCAACACCUUCAUUUUCUAUAUAAAACUAUCUAAUAUUUUUUUUAUUCCAUAUUAUCUAUUCAAACGCUACUUUUCUUAUCCACUGAAACAACCCAAUUUUUAUCCAAACACUUUUUUUUUUAUCCACAUACUUGUAUCUAUCUCUAUAAUAGCUAAUUUUUGCUUACACCCGAAUCAAAUGGUACCUAAAAGAAAAACAGGUACACGUUUAUAUGAUUCUUUCCCUGUACAAUCUAAAGUGGCAAGGUCAACGGUCUACGGUCUACACGGUCUACGCUGACGCAUCCUGUUGUAGACACGUGAAAAGCAAGUCAAGGUCGCUUAGAUUCUAGAAGGGUAAAUUGCACAACUAUCCCCAAACUCUCUGACUUGUGUUUUCUCGGUCCUUUAAUUUUUAAAUUUGGUCUCAGUGAUUCUAAAUAUUUAAGUGUUCCAUUUUAGUUUUUAUACAUAGUUAAUGUGAAAAUGUGAACUAUUGCCUAUAAAAUUUGUGUCGUCUUAUAUUUCAACUCUAUCGGUUAUUGAGUUAUAAUCCUUUCUUUAUUAAAAAAUUAAGGAGGCAUGCGCUUGGUUUUGAAAAGUUAUUCCAAAAAAUAAUUUUCUAAUUGAAAAAUUAUUGUUUUCAUCCGUUUCAUUUCUAAAAAAAUAGUUUUGAGAAAAUCAAAAUUCAGAUUUUUUUUUGAAAAUAUUGUAUUUUUAUUUCUAAACUUUUUAUUUAAAUAUAAUUUUUUUGAAAAAUGAUUAUUUCCUUUUUGAUUUUUUUUUUGAUAAAGAGUUUUUCACUUUUUUUUAGGAACCAAAAAGAAGGGUGAGUCGGGUAAAAAAUCGAUAGGAUUUGCAGUGUACAAAAUAACAAGUCGACAACCUAAACAUAAAAUAUAUUAUUACAACUUCAGAAACUAAUCAUAAAAUAUUAUUAAAAUUUUAAAAUUUAAAAUAUUAAAUUUAGAAAACUGAGGACUAAAAUAAAAAUCUCAUAAACUAAUUGUGCUACUCGCUUUGUAAAUAUGUCGUCACCAAAUGAUGUCAUGGUUUUAAGGAAUUAUUCCAAGGACUAGGAAGAAUCCAACAUAUCAAUCUUUCUGCAUCGAGGACAAUGUUGAGUCCUUACAAAGGGCCCCAUUUGUGAUGUAGAUAUUUAACAAAUUCAUAUAAUAUUUCAAUUGUAUAUAUAAAUUAGAGUAAAUUGCAUGGUUGGUGCUAAAAAAAUGGGUGACAUUAGGAUUCUUAAAUUUUAAUUUAUUAUAAUUUCUAGCUUGUACUGUUAGAAUUAUUAUCAUCAAGUCCUAUUAUCCAAUUUAGUUGACUAAAUAUUAAUAUAUCAUUAACGUAGAACUGAUGCAGUAGCGUUAUGAUUGAUGGUGAGUUACGUUACUUUUAUAUCAACGAUGCAUUAAUAUUUAAUCAAUUAAAUUCGAUUAUCGAAUUUAAUUACAACAAUUCUGAAAGUUUAAGCCAAAAAUUAUAACAAAUUAAAGCUUGCGAACUAAAGUGUCACGCGCCUUAUAGUUUGAGUACCAAACAUGCAAUUUAUCCUAUAAAAUUAAUUAAAAGUUCUAUAUAAUAUACGCUCAGUACAUUAACAAUAGAUAAAGAUAAUAUAUUUUUCGGUGGUUUAGUGUAUGUAUGAUUUUGUUUCCUUUCAUAUGCUUCAGCUGUAGUUUGGCUUGGGUCUUUGUCAGCUCAGUUUUUGUUUCUACUUUGUCAUUUAAGUUUACUGACAUGGAGGAUGCAAUAACAAGACUUUCUUUAGCUGCACUCACUCACUCACUCAUUAAUGUUUUUAUUUGGAUUAAAAAAAAGAAAAAAUAAAGAAAAAAAAAAUUAUUUUUAUAUUAUUUGAAUUAAGAGAACAAAAAAAAGUUUCCUCUCCCUUUCUUUUCACUUUGAGAGAAAAUUGACUGUGGUAGAAGAUUUUUUUUUAUCCAAAUGAGAGAGAGAAGCUUUUUUUUUUCCCUCAUUUAUUUUCUUUCUUCUCCUCAUGCAAUGGGAGUGUAAAAGACUUUCUUAUGUACACAUGUUGGCCUCUCCUUUAAGGCUUAGGGUCUAUUUGGAUUUUUAUUAUUAUUAUUUUUUAUUUUAAAGCUUGAUCUUUGCUAACUAAAGAGCGGCUUAGCUGCUUCAGGUGAAGAAUGCAUUAACAACAACUUGAAUUUGAAGAUUCAAUAUCAAUCAUAAAUCACGAUUUGAAUAGAAAAAUAAUAAUAUAUGGCAUGAAUGGUGGAGAAAAUUAAAUUAAAUCAAACUCCAAGCCACGUUUUAGUAAACUUUUGAAGAGAAAACAAAAGAGAAGCAUCGAAUAUUUUAUUUUUCAAGUAACUUAAAUGAAAUUCUAUGACUUCAAAGCCGAAAAUUUAAGUUGUAGUUUCUAUAUCUAUUCUAAAGAUAAAUUAUAUGAAGAAAUUUAAUAUAGUCCUUCUCCUAAUAGUACUUUUUAGAUUGCAUUAUAUCUAAUGAUGUUACAUUCAAAAGUAGUUCCAAACAUAUCUGUAAUUUACUUUCUUACAGUAUUCCUAGAAACUUUCAUGUAAUAACACUUACUUUUUGGAAAAAAUAUAUAAAUUUUAUGUGAUAUAGUUCGCCAGUGUAUACAUUUUAACUGACUAUUUGGCAAUUAAUUGAAAGUAAAAACUUAGCAAAUUUUUUAUUUUUUUUGGAAAAGAAUGCUAUUUAUAUAUCGGACUUAAACGUUUCGUAAACUAACAAAUAAUAUUAGAAAUAGAAAAAUCUAUUCACUGGCAUAAUCAAUUACAUACAAUUCACAUUGUACGUAACAUAUUAAAAUGGGGACGAUACUGAGGUCUAAGCAUGAUAUUGUCCUAAUUUGAUUGAUUCUUUGUAUAAUGAGAGUGUGCGUUCAUCGGCACAAAUAUUGAUGCUUUCUGAUCAAAAUCCAACGGUCCAGAUCGAGUUUGACGCCAUCUGAUGGAAAUCCUACGGUUGGCACGAAACCAGAUGCACUGGGCUAGCCCAAAUUUGCAUGGAUGAUCCAAACUUAAAUUUGUUUCAAACAAUUCAAUAAACCAACUGGGCCAGCCCAGUACUUAUUAUGGGCCAAAUCAUCGAAAAUACUAUUAAUCAUUUUUCACAAUUUUUUAUUUUUAAAUAAAAAGUUUAGAAAUAAAAAUACAAUAUUUUCAGAAAGUCCGAAUUUUGAUUUUCUGAAAACUAUUUUUUUAGAAAUGAAACGGGUGAACAAUAAUUUUUUCAAUUAGAAAAUUAUUUUUUGGAAUACUUUUCAAAACCAAGCGCGCGCCUCCUUAAUUUCUUAAUAAAGAAAGAAUUAUAACUCAAUAAUUGAUAGAGUUGAAAUAUAAGAUGAGACAAAUUUUGUAGACAAUAAUUCACAUUUCACAUUAAAUAUAUAUAAAAACUAAAAUGAAACACUUAAAAAUUUAGAAUCUCUGACACCAAACUUAAAAAUUAAAGGACCGAUGAAAUACAAAGAUGAGAGUUUGGGGAUAGUUGUGCAAUUUACCAAACUAGAAUCUAAACGACCUUGACUUGCUUUUCACGUGUCUACGUAGACCGUUGACCGUUCUGCUCACUGCCAUGUAGGGGUGGAAACGACCCGAGCCCGAGCAAGCUUGUCUCAGCUCAAAUUCGGCUUGAAAUUAAUUUCGAGCCUAAAUUUAAGCUCAAGCUCGGCUUGAAAUUAAUUCGAGCCGAGCUCGAGCGAGCCUAAUUUCGAGUCGAGCGAGCUCGAGCCCUAAGCGAGCCGCUUGAAAUUCUCAACAUUGUACGAUUAAUAGUUUAAUUUGUAUAGAACAUUAUUUAUAAUUUGAUACAAAAAUAUAUCUAAUAGUUCAAGAUACAAAAUAAUUAUAUGAAAUACGGUAUUAUAAUAUAAAGAAAAAUAAUUUACGAGUUGAAUAUCUAAUUUUUAUUGUAGUCGCAAUCUUCUCUUCCGCUUCAACCAUAUUAUUUCUUUUUCACCUAUGCGGUCAAAAAUGAAUAAAUUAUAUAGACAAAUAUUAGAUUAAAACUAUUAAUUAUAUAUAACUAAAAUCAAAAAUUUAUAUAAAUAAAAUUUUCUACCUUAAAAAUAUUCUGUAUAUUUUCUCAAGCACACAAUUAAUGGCAAGGUAGACAAAGCGCGGCGGCGUGUUGUUACUUGAUAACUUGGGGGGCUUCAGGUUGGCCGCUUGAGGAGAGAGAGAGAGAAAGAAGAGAGAGAGAGAUUAGGAAUUUAAGGCUUUGUAAAAGAAAAGGAGGGAGAGAGUGUAAAUUUGGUAAAUUUUACCUUUUUGUUGGCAUAUUGGUUUGUUCUUAUGGCCCAGCAAUAUUGCGUCAAUUUUUAACUAAACUUAGGUUACUCCACUCUACUCUAUAUAUAUAUAUAUAUAUAUAUAUAUAUAUAUAUAUAUAUAUAAUAAUAUAUAUUCGAGCUUUUCGAGUCUAAUUCGAGCGAGCCGAGUAAUACUCAGCUCGGCUUGAAAUGAAUUUCGAGCUUUUUUUUUGUUCAAGCUCGGCUCAUCUAAUUUCGAGCCGAGCUCGAGCGAGCGAAUAUCGAGCCGAACGCGAGUCGAACGCGAGCGGCUCGCUCGUUUGCCAGCCCUACUGCCAUGUGUAAGGUUCUCACGUGAGAAUCGUGGUAAAGAAACAUGUAAACAUAUAUCCUGUUUUUCUUUUUUUUUUAAAGUAAUAAAAAGUAAUAAACUAUAGUUUUAGCUGAACAAUACAAUAGUUAUAGUGUCAGUUGAAAACAAAUAAAAUCUUUUUUAUCCUAUUUAAUCUUUUUUUCCUUACAUAGAUAACAUAUUUUAUAUAUUCAUAAUUACAACUAAAGCUCAUAAUUGCACAAAGCAACAACGAUCACUUCAUUUAUAGGUUACUAGUCCUGUUCUUAUCCUAUCUUUCAUGUUGAACUCCCGCAUCAAAUAAUUAAGCUUGAAUUUGUUAGAAGCUUUAGGAGAGUACUAAUGAGGAAAAAAGAAAAAAAAAAAAAUCAUUGAGGGAUUUUCCACGUCACUCUGAUCCGAGAAUUCGUUCUACAUGCAAAUGUUCAAUCUCGUUAUACAUGAAGUCAUAUCUUUGUGUUUGAUUUACUAUAUGACAGAGUGAAUGAGUUGAAGCCGAUCCGAACCCGGCACAAUGGAUUUGAGUUGGGUUGAUUUGGAUUACUUUGCGAGGCAGGUUUUGGUCAAGUCAAUCCAAACAAUCUAAGAAAUUGGGGUAACUUUUCAAUUUAAAAAUAAGGAAAACAAUAUGUAAGUUGAAUGGUUUGGAUUAAAAGUUAAAGAUAUGAUCAACAUUAAUAGUGGGACAAUAAAUGGUCCAUCUAUCUAACAUGGUGGACCAUAUAUCUUUGGAAAAUAGUUUCCUGUGGCCCAAUUUAACUUGACUAGAUUACUAGUCAUUGUAUUGUUAUUAGAUGUAACGCAGUGUCUUAACUUCUUUCUAUCUUUUCUCCUUCAAAUUAUAGUACAAAUAAAGUCCAGUAACAGCGACCGUUCCUAGAGCAAGUGGCAAAGCACAUAGUGGUUGGUACUCAAAACUCAAAUUCGAAUCCUAGUUGAUUCAUAUUUCUAACUAAAUUUAUUUCUAAAUGAAAUAAACGAAGCGAGUAGAGUGCUACCUAUCUCUAAAAAAAAAAAAAGUCCAGUAAUUUUUCUAUUCUAGUGGCUACGAGAAUUAAUGAUUGGUUUAUUGUUGAAUAUUAAUACAUAAACAAUCUGUGCGUUUGAUACAAAAUAAAACCUUGAUCAACAUGAUAAUUUCAUUAUAUGAUAAAAAAGUUACAAUAUACAAACAAUCUGUGCGUUUGAUGCAAAAUAAAACCUUGAUAAGCAUGAUAAUUCCAUUAUAUGAUAAAAGAAAAUACGUGUUUAAGGUUAUUUAAAGUUAAGAUAUUUGCAAAAGCGUAUCUUGACUAAUUAAGAGGAAAGAAGCAUUAAUUAAUUACCAAACAACAUACAGUCUGAACAACAAUGAGUUAGGCCGUUGGUUUCACCACUGGCGAAAUCUUAUCUACGAAACUUUAAUUUAUUUUAGUUAAGGUACUUAACGUUAAUUAAUUAUAUUAAUUUUCCAUUAAAUAAUUUAUUUCUUUAAACCAAAAGUAAUUGAAAUAAAUAAAAAUCCAUUACAUAAUUGAACCCUCCAAUGAUCAACGGCUGUAAUUUUCCCUUCCAACCAAUCAACGCCUCCGUGGGGCUACAAUUUUUGGCCAUACAUAACAAAAAUUCCACGGAAUAUUCAUUUCUCUCUCCUCUAAACCAAAUGACGUCUAGGUUCAUCACACCCACAAAAACCUUCCCUUUUUUAUUUUAAUUUUAAUUUUUUUCUCGAACCUUCCUCCAUCUCCCUCAAAUUUCUCACCAUCGGAAGAAGCAGGAGCAGGAGAGCACCGGAAAUUACGAAUAUGGCCUCGGGGUUCUUCGUGGAGUCGACGCUCCCCCAGCAAAGGGUCGUCGACGGGGUCCGGUUCCCGGCCGUGCUCACCCCGGCCGAAGCGGUCGACCUCGACCGGUUCGCGGCCGCGGUGGGGGCCGAAAAAGCCCGGCUCGAGUCGCUGCUCCGGUCGAGUGGGGCGAUCCUUCUCCGCGGGUUUCCGGUUCGGAGCGCGGUCGACUUCGACCGGGCGGUGGGCGCGUUCGGGUACGCGGAGCUCCCCUACGUGGGCGGCGCCGCCCCGCGCACCAACGUGGUGGGCCGGGUCUUCACCGCCAACGAUGCCCCCCCGGACCGGAAGAUCCCCUUCCACCACGAGAUGGCCCAUGUUCGUUUCUCUCGAUUGGAAUGUUUUACUAGUUUUACUAAUUAUCCGAUCCGAUCCGAUCCGAUGUGGGACUAUUCAUGAGUAGUAAGUAAAUUUUCUGAGCCAAUGUUACCAUGUCUUUCCUUUAUUUAUGUGUGUUUCUGAAUUUAGGUUCUGGAGUUCCCAUCCAAGCUGUUCUUCUUCUGCGAGGAGGAGCCCAAAAGUGGUGGUGAGACACCCAUCGUAUUGAGCCAUUACAUCUAUAAGAGGAUGAAGGGGAAAUUCCCAGAGUUUGUGGAGAAACUGGAGCAGCAGGGGCUAAUUUACACAAGAGUUUUAGGGGAAGGAGAUGAUCCGUCUUCGCCGAUCGGCUGCGGGUGGCAGUCCACAUUCCUCACCAAUGACAAAGCUGUGGCUGAGCAAAGGUCUGCUUUCAUUUUCCGUAGAUUUGCAUCGCAUUAGAUCCGAUAUCAGUAAGCUCAUUUUGCUUUAUCUUACAGUUUAAGCCACCAUUGUAGCAGGUACUUGUGUGUGAUAUAGUUGGAUAAUUAUGUUUUUAUGAUAAUUUGAUGAUUCUGAGUCUGACUCGGAGUUCAGUUCAAAGCUUUAAGAUUCUCUCGCGCUGGUUGACUAGCGAUCGUCAGAGAUAUCGAAAUUUACGUGCAUUAAUUUGACUGGCUUUAACAUUCUAGACAUCAAGUGAUCAAAGUGCAUUCCUUGCAAUUCAGUAGCAAUUUUUCUGAGAGAUUUUCGUGCAAUAUGCUUCUUGCUGUCGAUUAACUGUUAGUUCCGAAUUUACUAGUAUAGCGAGUUCGAUAACAGUUAAAUGUUGAAAACUUAAACAUUUUGCCUCGCCGACGUACUAGGGCUGCGCGACAAGGUAUGAAGUUGGAAUGGUUGGACGACGGAGUGAAAACAAUAAUGGGUCCGAUACCCGCUGUUAAGUUCGACGAAAGCAGGGGAAGGAAGAUAUGGUUUAACAGCAUAGUUGCUGCGUUCACUCCUGGAUGGCAGGACACCCGAAAUGAUCCUCUCAAGGCUGUUACUUUCGGAGACGGGUCGCCGUUGCUGUCGGAUGAUGACAUCAUCGACGAAUGCCUAAAAAUCCUCGAAGAGGAGUGUGUUGCUGUUCCUUGGAAGCAGGGCGACGUACUUUUAGUGGAUAAUUUGGCCGUUCUGCAUUCUAGGCGGUCGUUUGAACCUCCUCGCCGUAUUCUUGCUUCGCUUUGUAAAUAGAGGGUUGCUCUUUGCUCUUUUUAUACGCGUUUGCGAGUUUUAGAGACCGCAAGAAGCUAUCUUAUGUAUAUGUUGCCGGAUCAAACCAUGAAGCUGUACCCCUUUUGAUUCACGAGUAUCGCAAUUAGAGUAAUGUAAAGCUCAAAUGCAGCAACUAUUCCUACUGUUUAUCUGGUUUAAUAAUGUCAGUAUCUUAGCAGAAUAACAUAGUUUCUGAUAGUUCAGAAUCUCAAUGUUGGUGUCUGUUCCUUUUAGCAAGAAUAGUGUAAUGUAAAGCCAAAUGCAGCAACUAUUCCUACUGUUUAUCUGGUUUAAUAAUGUCAGUAUCUUUGCAGGAUAUCAUAGUUUCUGAUAGUUCAGAAUCUCAAUGUUGGUGUCUGUUCCUUUUAGCAAGAAGCUAUCUUAUGUAUAUGUUGCCGAAUCAAACCUUUUUAUUCACAGGAAUCGCAAUUAGAGUAGUGUAAAGCUCAAAUGCAGCAAUUAUUCCUACUGUUUAUCUUGUUUAAUAAUGUCAGUAUCUUUGCAGGAUAUCAUAGUUUCUGAUAGUUCAGAAUCUCUCAAUGUUGGUGUCUGCUCCUCUUGGCAAGUUUAUAUUGUUCUCCGCAAGCAUCUUCAAACAUCAAUCUUGUAUUUCUUGCAGGAUUCAUUACAAGUGGAUUGAUCAUCGAUGGAUAGAAAUGUUCUAAAAUUCGUAAUGCUGAGAAGAUGCAGAAGCCUGCUAAUAAAUACGUAAAUCAUGCUUAUGCGCUGCCGAAGAAAGGCAUAUAUAUAGAACUUAUCAAAGUAUCGUUAUUAUAUGAAAUCCUAAUUGAAAUUUUUAUGAGCAAUAUCGGAAAGAAAAAAAAAAAAAGAAAAAAGCAUGCCUAAGUAAAACUUAAAAAAGAAAUCUGAUUUGUUCGAGGUGCUUCUCAUAUUCAUAACAAGCAGCUUUACUACAAAUUGAUGUAGAAAAUGAUCGCCAAUAUUAUAAUCAAUGAAAACAAUCAGAAAAAUAAAAUUUGGUGAAAGGAAAAAAAAAAAAAAUUACUAGCACAUAAUGCCGAGGUGCCAAUUACUUCAGAUCAUGAAAUAAAGAACACAAUAACAAGGAGAUAAAAGCAGCCUCUUUCUGAACCCAUCCAGGGGUUUUGCCACAAAUAAUUUUUGUUAUACAAUUUACUCCUAUUGUAAAAUAUAUAGCACAUAUCAUAAGAAGUAUCAAUCCUAACAAUCAAGAUAAAAUUUACACAUAAUCAUUUUGUCUUUAUUGUGUGCGCCACAGAGGUCAUUUUUAUAUGCUAUUAGUACAUCACUAUAUGCGAUUUAGAAGGUUUUAAUUGGCUCUUCGUACAACUAAGAUGCCACGUAGAUUCACCACAUAUUAACAGCCUAUAUGUGAUUCUUUGUGGGAAAACUCAAAGCAUUUAAAUUUGAUUUAUCCCAUUGAAAUUGUACUAUAAUAAUAAUAAAAUAAUAAUGCAAAGCGAGCACGUGAGAUUCUUUAACUCAUUCACAGCUGCAGGAUUAGCAAAACAACAAAAAACCGUGCUCGCUCGUCCUUCCCUAACUCUGCAUCUCAUUUUAUUGGGCUAAUGCGAAAGUUCACUCAAAUCUAUAAAAAUAUACGGGUAGAAAAAGAAGAUUAUUCCAUAAAAUCUCGAAAAAAAAAAAAAGUACUGUAGAAAAACUACUUUUUGUUAGAAAAUAUUUAUUCAGUCGUAAAACUAUUUUCUGAAAUUAUUUUUUUGAAGAACAAAACGCCCCCAUAGUGAAUAAAACCCGUAAAUUCAAAUAAUUAAUUCUAGGAAAGAACCUUCACAACAUUUAGUUGAGAAUUUUCCAAGUUUCUACAGGUCAUGCGUGUACGAUUGCGAAAAAUAGUUGUUAUUAAUUAAUUGCUUAUAAAUAAUAAUGAUAUGCUUUUUAUUAAAGCUAAAACUAGGAUAGAAUAUCGAGCCACAUAGGCGCUUGUACACUUCUUGUGACUAAAUUUUAGAAAUUUACCCAAUAAUACGUAUGCUUCUUCGUCGACGACAAAAAGAAUUUGUUUGGAGAAUCCAUGGCCAAUUUCUUUAAAUUGGUGGUUCAUGAAGCAUCCGUACAAUGAAGAGAUAAAUAAACUUUUUAAAAGUUUUUACUCCAACAAAUUAGGUGGCAUGUUUCCUAAAACAAAGUUUAUUUAAAGAUAUAUAGUAAAUAUGAUAUUCAUAUUAACUCUUGUUGCUUCUUGAGAUCGAUCGAUACGUGCAUCAUGCACAUGCUAGUACUGUUCAAACGAGAUGAUACAACUUUAAUUUGUCGUUUAUGGAUAAGAUUGAUCUUUUGUGGAACCAUACAAUGAUUUAAGUCAAAGAUUAAAUUUUAGUUAGAUGCAGGAGUAAAUAAUAAAUAUUGGGUAAUUAAAAAUUUAGAAUCCAUGUAUAUUAAGCCUCAACGAUCAGAUUUAACUCAAAGAUGAAAUUUUAGUUAGAUGCCCGAGUAAAUAAUAAAUAUCGGGUAAUUAAAAACCUAGAAUCCAUGUAUUUGAGCCUCGAAGAAACCAAUACAAAAAAAAAAGAAAAAAGUCAUGAAUAGUGUGUGCAAGGUAUAUUGGGUAUAAGUUAUAUGUAUAAUUAACUACACAAUUGAAGUUAGACCAUUUAAAUGUAUCGCGAUUAUUAUUAUUUAGAUGAAAUAAGGGGGUAACUGGAAGAAGGUAAAAUAUACUUAAGUAUUGUUCCAAUCUACUUGGUUCAUGUAUUCAAUUGAAUAAUUUAGUACCAAAAUUUUCAUAUAUUUUAUUCUUUACAUCUCGGAGGAAAGAAAAAACAAACUUAAAUAAAAUAAUAUUUACUCUUUACCGGUAAUAUUAAUCACUUAUUUUAGUUCAUUUCACAUAAAAUGAGAAGGUCAUUUUACCAGUAAUAUAUAUAUAUAUAUAUAUAUAUAUAUGUAAAACUUAUAACGUUAAAGUAUGUAAAGUUAAAAAUGAAAAAAACAAGUCGAAAUAAUAAAAAAUGUGAUCUACAAGUUUUAAAUUAUAAAAGAGAAAAAUUUAAUCACUAUUUAGAAUAGUUGAUUAGUGUUCUGUUCAUUGAGAUCCAGAUCUGAAUUUUACAGUAGAAAUAUUCAAAAAAUUUCAAAAAAAAAAGAAAUGGCAAUUUAGGAAAUAAAAAGAAAAUAAGGGCCAAGAGUCUGAAACAAAUGAAUGCAUCCUUCAAGGCCUCGCUUUCUCCCUCCUGAGGAAUCGGGAACGACACCCCAGAACAUAGUAAAUAUUAUUAUAACAAAAAUAAAUCUAACAAAAGAAAAAAAACUUCAAGCUUCCUCCUUUUACCCCUUCUUUGCUUCUCUUCUUCCUCCUCCUCCUCCUCCUCCUCCUCUUCCCCAUCAUUAAUGGAGACCCACCACCUUUCCCUCCCCUUCUCCCUCACCCAUCCGCCAUGAACGUAGAUCUCCAUGCAAGGUGUGUGUAUAUAUACAGAGUCUAGCUAUUAUGUUAUUUAUUAGCACCAGGCGUUUGGUACUAUGUACUAAGUUUUUCGCUUUUAGAUCUAACAUUUUGAUCAUUUAAAUCCAUUAGAUCAUACUAUUCAAUCAACAAUCUGCUCAACUCCAGAGAUCACUAUCUUCUUACCAUACAUUCCUUCAUUCAACAACCGAAAACCUAAUAAUACCUAUAACUUUGUGCUAUUAAUAGUAUAGUAACCUAAUUAUAUUUAUAGAGAGUUGAGCUAAAAUACUCUCAGAAGUACCAAGAGAGUGAUGUUUUUGAGUUUUUAGUCAUUGAAUGGAGAAAUGUAAGGUUGGAAUGAUGGUGGUAGGUCGUGGUAGGUGAAAUAGUGUUUGAUCUAAGCGAUAUUAGUAAUCAAGAAGUAGAUCCAAGGACUAGAAACCUAGAAGCACUAAGGGAGUUGGUCUUCUAAAAGUAGUAUAGCCCAAUUUUAUAUAUAUAUAUAUAUAUAUAUAUAUAUAUAUAUAUAUAUAUAUAUAUAUAUAUAUAUAUAUAUAUAUAUAUGAAUUGAGUUCUUAUAUUUUUAAAAAUAUCAAGUUAUUAGUGUUUAUAGGUUCUCGAUUCUUAAAUUAAAGGAUGUGCGGAUAUGAUGAUGGUGGUCCCCUAGAAUUGAGUGAGUGGUUGAUUGGAUAAUAUGAUCUAAUGUAUGAAAAUGAUUAAAAUGAUAAAUUUAAUGGCAAAAAACUUAUAAGUAUCAAAAACUUAGUGUUUUUAAAGCACCAUAACCAGACUUUAUAUAUAUACAUCUUUGGGCAAACAGGAUGGAGCCAGGCAACUGAAAACAUGAUAUAUGCUAACUUCUCUCUCUCCCUUUUCUUUUUGGGUUCAAUUUUAAGUUCAUUCUCUUAUGUAGAUUUGGUGCUUUUAGUGGAAAUAAAAUAUUUGAUGCAACUUAUUGUCUCUAUAUUUUGUUCGCCUCUAUAUAUAUUUUUUAAUAUGAGUUUAUCAGUCUACUUGUUUUUUUUUUCUUCUCUAAUUUAUGUUAUCUUAUGGCUUGUUUGAACUUACGGUAGAAUAUAGUGUUAUCUUGUGGCUUGUUUGAACUUACGGUAAAAUAUAGUGUUGCUGAAUAAAAUGUUCUCUAAAUAAUAUAUUUAUAAAAAAAUUCUUAUUAUAUUUGACUAGCUGUUAGAACAUCGUGUUGCUCAAUAAAAGUGUUAGCUAAAUAAUGUGUUAAGAAAAAAUUCUAAUUAUAUUUGCUUUAAGACAUUAUCUUUUUAGUAGAAGUUUAAGAUUCCUUCAGGAUCGUAAGGAGAAUACAUUACAUAUUUACAUGUCAUGAGAAAGUACCAUAAUAAAAAAUAUUCUGUUUAUUUUCGUAUAUCGAAUUGCGAUUCACAUAUCGUAAUAAGUCAAUUAAGAUAUAUUUUCAAUGAUCUCAUCGAAAAAUAAACUGUAUGUUUUUCGGCCUAAUUCUGCUUUGCCUAUUAGCGUUAGAUAUGUCUCACUAGGAAAUAAGUCCUACGUAGAGCUUCUAUUUUAGGAAGUUACAUUUAUUUCUUUUUUCCUGCUGCAGCACAAGCAUCAGAGUUUUUUUUCUCAGGUCGACAAACACCAUAUAUUGAGAAUAAUGUAGUUGAAUGUAGAAACAAAGGUGGAGCCAAAUAGGCAGUUAAUUUGCUCUUGAUUUGAUACUACUUAUGAUAUGUGCCAUAUACUUUACAAUAGGAGUAAAUUGUAUUGCAAAAAUUAUAGGUGGCAAAACCCCGGGAUGGGUUCGGAGGGUGCUUUUAUCUCCUUGUUCUUGUGUUCUUUUAGCGUGGCAAUUUUUCUCUGCAGGCACAUUUAUUUCAUGAUCGAUCUUAAUUAAUUGACACCUCGGCAUUAUGUGCUAGUAAUUUUCCUUUUUUUUUUCUUUCACCAAUUUUAUUUUUUCUGAUUGUUUUCAUUGAUUAUAAUAUUGGUGAUCAUUUUCUACAUCAAUUUGUAGCAAAGCUGCUUGUUAUGAAUAUGAGAAGCACCUUGAACAAAUCAGAUGUGCUUUUGUAAGUUCUACACUUUUACUUAGGCAUGCUUUUUUUUUUUUUUCUCUUUCCGAUAUUGCUCAUAAGAAUUUCAAUUAGUAUUUCGUAUAAUAACGAUACUAUAUAUACACCAUUCUUCGGCAGCACAUACGCAUGAUUUACGUAUUUGAAUUUUAGAACAUUUCUAUCAAUCGAUGAUCAAUCCACUUGUCAUGAAUUUUGCCGGAAAUGCAAGAUUGGUGUUUAAAGGCACUCGCGAAGAACAAAAGGAGCAGACACCAACAUUGAGAUUCUGAACUAUUAGAAACUAUAUUAUUCUGCAAAGAUACUGACAUUAUUAAACCAGAUAAACAGUAGAAAUAAUUGGUGCAUUGAGCUUUACAUUACACUAUUCUUGCUAAAAGGAACAGACACCAACAUUGAGAUUCUGAACUAUCAGAAACUAUGUUAUUCUGCUAAGAUACUGACAUUAUUAAACCAGAUAAACAGUAGGAAUAGUUGCUGCGUUUGAGCUUUACAUUACUCAAAUUGUGAUACUCGUAAAUAAAAAGGGGUGCAGAUUCAUGCUUUGAUCCGCCAACAUAUACAUAAAGAUAGCUUCUUGCUGUCUCUAAAACUCGCAAAAGCGUAAGAAUCCUCUAUUUACAAAGCGAAGCAAGAAUACGCCGAGGAGGUUCAAACGACCGCCUAGAAUGCAGAACGGCCAAAUUAUCCACUAAAAGUACAUCGCCCUGCUUCCAAGGAACAGCAACACACUCCUCUUCGAGGAUUUUUAGGCAUUCGUCGAUGAUGUCCGACGGCAACGGCGACCCGUCUCCGAAAGUAACAGCCUUGAGAGGAUCGUUUCGGGCGUCCUUCCAUCCAGUGUACGCAGCUACCAUGCUGUUAAACCAUAUCUUCCUUCCCCUGCUCUCGUCGAACUUAACAGCGGGUAUCGGACCCAUUAUUGUUUUCACUCCGUCGUCCAACCAUUCCAACUUCAUACCAAGUCGCGCAGCCCUAGUACAUCGGCGAGGAAGAAUGUUCAAAAUUUAACUGUUCUUGAACUCGCUAUAGUAGUAAAUUUAGAUCACAGGAGAUGGAACAAAACUAACAGAUAAUCGACAGCAAGAGGCAUAUUGCACGAAAAUCUCUCAGAAAAAUUACUGCUUGAUUGCAAGAAAUGCACUUUGAUCACUUGAUAUCUAGAAUGUUCGAGCCAGUCAAAUUAAUGCACGUAAAUUUCGAUAUCUCUGACGAUCGCUAGUCAACCAGCGCGAGAGAAUCUUAAAGCUUUGAACUGAACUCCGAGUCAGACUCAGAAUCAAUCAUCACUUGUGCACAAGCUCCGGUCGGGUCAAGCAGACUCUAAAACAUAAUUAUCCAACUAUAUAUAUCACACACAAGUACCUGCUACAAUGGGGGUGGCUUAAACCGUAAGAUAAAGCAAGAUUAGCUACUGAUAUCGGAUCUAGUGCGAUGCGAAUAUAUGGAAAAUGAAAGCAGACCUUUGCUCAGCCACAGCUUUGUCAUUGGUGAGGAAUGUGGACUGCCACCCGCGGCCGAUCGGCGAAGACGGAUCAUCUCCUUCCCCUAAAACUCUUGUGUAAAUUAGCCCCUGCUGCUCCAGUUUCUCCACAAACUCUGGGAAUUUCCCCUUCAUCCUCUUAUAGAUGUAAUGGCUCAAUACGAUGGGUGUCUCACCACCACUUUUGGGCUCCUCCUCGCAGAAGAAGAACAGCUUGGAUGGGAACUCCGGAACCUAAAUUCAAAAACACACAUAAAAAAUUUACUUACUCCUUAUGAAUAGUCCCACAUCGGAUCGGAUAAUUAGUAAAACUAGUAGUAAAACGUUCCAACGGAGAGAAAUGAACCUGGGCCAUCUCGUGGUGGAAGGGGAUCUUCUGGUCCGGGGGGGACUCGUUGGCGGUGAAGACCCGGCCCACCACGUUGGUGCGCGGGGCGGCGCCGCCCACGUAGGGGAGCUCCGCGUACCCGAAAGCGCCCACGGCCCGGUCGAAGUCGACCGCGCUCCGGACCGGAAACCCGCGGAGAAUGAUCGCCCCGCUCGACCGGAGCAGCGACUCGAGCCGGGCUUUUUCGGCCCCCACCGCGGCCGCGAACUGGUCGAGGUCGACCGGUUCGGCCGGGGUGAGCACGGCCGGGAACCGGAUCCCCUCGACGACCCUUUGCUGGGGGAGCGUCGACUCCACGAAGAGCCCGGAGGGCAUUUUCGUAAUUUCCACUGCUCUCCUGCUUCUACUUCUUCCGAUGGUGAGAAAUUUGCUGGAGAUGGAGGAAGGUUCGAGAAAAAAAUAAAAAUUAAAAUUAAAAAGGGGAGGUUUUUGCGGGUUGAUGAACCUAGACGUCAUUUGGGUUAGAGGAGAGAGAAAUGAAUACUCCGUGGAAUUUUUGUUAUGUAUUGCCAAAAAUUGUAGCCCACGGAGGCGUUGAUUGGUUGGAAGGGAAAAUCACAGCCGUUGAUCAUCGGAAGGUUCAAUUAUGAGCCAGAUUUUUAUUUAUUCCAAUUACUUAAAUUACUAAAUUAACAUUUUUUCUAUUUUUGGUUUAAAGAAAUAAAUUAUUACUAAUUUGAAUGAAUCGAAUGUUGCAUAAUUUCUUCAAGAGAGUAACAAUAUUUAGAGUUUAAUUUAAUGGAUUAAUAAUAUAAUUAAUGUUAAGUAACUUAACUAAAAUAAAUUAAAGUUCCGUAGAUAAAAUUUCGCCCAUGGCGAAAUGUUGUCGAGAAUUGAUAAAAUAGAAAAAGUAAAAUGAAUGGAACCCUAGAUCUUUAUACUGUGUAACAUAGUUUGAUCUCAAAAAUGGUUUGAUCGUGACUUGUUUUUUGUGUGGGCACCAACUUUUAAAUAAGCCAAUCUCGAUUUACGAUUUCGGCAUUGAUUCGUUGUUAAUUUGGUUAUCUGGAAAAGUUUGAAAAAAAAAAAAAAUGCCUUGGCAAUUUUUUUAGUUUUCAGACUAUUUAGUUCUAAAAAAUAAUAUUUUUUAAACAUGUUCAUAUUUUAUAAAAAAAUAUAAUUUUUAUUUUUUAAAUUUGUUUUGGAAAACGAACAUUUUAUUUUUCCACAAAAUAUAGAAUUUUUUGAAAGAACAUUAAUUUUUCUUCGAAUUUUUCCACAGUUUAAGUAAGCUACAUAAAUUAAAUAAUUUAAUUUAAGUAGCUUACUCGCCUGACCUUUCGGCCCAUUCUGAAUAGGUGGGCCGAAACCUCGGAUCCUAAAAGUUCUCCAAUUCUGGCCCAAAAAGCAAUUGAGACUUAUCCAUCCAAAUUCGGCCCAAGAUAAACGGCCGAAUUAAGCUAAUUAAUUAUUUAAUAAAUUUAUAGUUUCAAGAAUUAUAUAAAAAGUAUUAACUAAAUGCGGAAGUAUAAACGAUACAUUUAAAUUUUUUUAGUCAGAGUAUCUCUGGCAGACUAUGGUUCUUGUUGUAGUGAUUGCAAUUUUUCUCAUCAUUUUUUUAAGCGAAACAUAACACACUACUAGUUUCAUUCAUUAUAAAAAUAAAUUUAGCUACAAAAGUGAAACAACUAAGCCUCCAAAAAGUCGAGGCAAAAGAGCAAAAGAAAUAACAAAAAAAAAAAAAAAAAACCGCAAACAAGAAAUAAAGUACAAAUACAAAAGCAGAUCCAAGAUUUGCAAAACUCUAGCCCAGUUCCUCAUGAAACCUCUAUGCACCAUCGCCCUAUACUCAAGGGAUCCGUGCAUGCUAUCCUUGUUUCUUUCCGUCCAUACCAACCACGAACAACCCACUAAAUGACAAAUCCCAUGGCCGAGAACUCGGCGUUCCUUUUCCGUUGCUAGGCUCAUCCAAAGAGCUCUAACAUUGUCCGUGCCAACAAGUACCUGGACCCACCGACCGUCCCUAAAGCAAGUGACAAAGGACUUGGUAGUUGGUACCCGAGACCUAAGUUCGAAUUCUAGUUGAUUCACAUUUCCAGCUAAGUUUAUUUAUAAAUGAAAUAAACAAAACAGUUAGCGUGCUAUUUAUCUCUCAAAAAAACAAGUACCUGGAUCCAAUCAAGGGACGACAAUAACAAAAACCUACAAUAAACAUAUACAGUGUAAAAAAAGAUGAUCGACGCUCUCAAUCUUUCUCAUCAUUUUUAUUAUCAAUAUCUAAAUAUCGAUAACAACUCUAAACAAUUUUGGAAAAAUCGGACACUAUAGAAUAUAUAUAUAUAUGUAUAGAAUGAUCCGAAGAAUUUAGGUAACUUCACAACAAAAUUCCACGAAUUUUCUCGUUUAAUGCGAAGCCCGUUUAUCCAUUUUAAGAUUCGGAUGUAAUAACAAAAGCGACGAUAUGCACAAUACCAAAUCCACCGGCAACAUCUCGAUCCCCUUUUGUCUUUAUUUGAAAAAGAAUCCAUAAUAUUCUUAUUUAUUUAUUUAUUUAUUUGUUUAUUUACUUACUGUAGUUUUUAUUGUUGUUAUUUUCACGUGGCAACGGUUGGUGAGAAAAUAAGAAGAGACAAGCGGAACAUACACUAGAUGGUAAGAAAAGGUCGAAAAUAUAUAUAUAUAUAUAUAUAUAUAUAUAUAUAUAUAUAUAUAUAUAUAUAUUGAUAAGAUUGUAAAAAAUAAAUAGAUCUGUAUUUUUUUUUUCUACCGUAUUUUUUACUGUAGAAAUCAUAAUCUUUCAGCUCCUCCAAAUAAAACCUAAAUAUUAUAGUGUCAGAUUAAAAAAUUUAGAAUAAAUAUAUUUGGAGGAAAAUGCUUCUGUACUGAGUUGUCAAAAUUAGAAAGUCAUAAAAAAAAAAAAGCAAUUUCCAUCUUUUCAUCAUUAAAGAUUAACACUUUUGAAAUUUUAAAAAUCAUCCUGUUAGUUGUGGUAAUAAUUUUAGGUACAAUAAUUAUUGUUGUAUCAGGUGCAUCUAUUUAUUUUAUGCACUAAUAUAUAUGUUUAAAAUCCCUAUUAGCUAGAUUUAAUUAAAAUUAAAGUUUAAUUUAGUAAAUAUAUUUUACCACGUCUAGAAUGUUUGUUUAUAUUAAAUUAUUAAUUUUGAACACAUAUUUUCUUUAGAACCAAAUAAUAUUACUUUUACAUGGCGGUGGUUUUUCAAAUAUCUGUCGUCAAGACAAUGGAUUUUCAAAAUUUGUAGGUUUUAUAUAUAAAAAAUUUCUUAAAUAUUAUAUGUGCAUAUUGAUAACUUUAUUUUAAUUUGAAAUUAAUGAAUGAGAAAAAAAUAUUAUAGAGGAAAUUUCAUAAAUUCAACUCUAUUUUUUAAAGCCCUCACUAUAGUUAGAUUAAUAUGCGGUGCAUGAGACCGACCGUCUCUAGAGCAAGUGACAAAGGACUUGGUGGUUGAUACCCGAGACCCAAGUUCAAAUCCUAAUUGAUUCACAUUUCCAGCUAAAGUUUAUUUCUAAAUAAAAUAAACGAAUCGGAUAGCGUGUUAUCUAUCUCUAAAAAAAAAAAAAAAAAAAAGAUGCGGCGCAUGAGGUUUCUUGACAGCCGAUGUAGGUAAUGUUUUUUUCUGAAUUAAUCGGUGAAAAACUUUGAGAUGGCACCGAUUUGACGUAUCGAAUAAUCAGUAUGGUGGAAAAUGGUUGACAAGCAAUAGUCUAAGUAACAUAUGGACCGUUUGAUCAGAAAAUUUAAGUAUAGAAGCAUUGCUCAUUUUUUCAGUAAAGCAUUACUCAUAGAAGAAUUUUAUAGGAAUAAUUAAAUUUACCACUAUAUUUUGAAAACAACGGAAUUAACUUACUUACAUCAAAAUAAAUAAUAAAAUUAAAAAAACUAAUUUUACCGGCAUCAAAUUACACAAAAAAACAAACAGAAAAAUAAGUGAAUUCAAUUUUUAGACCGUACGAAUUAUAUCAAAAUAAAUAUUAAAAAAAUAAUCAUAUGUUAGAAAAAUUUAAAUAUUACUGUACUUAAAUUAUAUUGGAUCUAAAGAUUCGUCAAUUCAAACGCUCAGACGCACCGUUAGUCUUGGCACGAGCACAAUUGAACUUUUGCAAUACUGUUCUCGGCUACGAGACGACGAAAUGUGGUCCAUCGAGAAAAGUCGUAACCUAAUUCGCGCCGCCCAAUCCCUUUCAUUCUGGAAUAUCAGUACUGCAGCGUCCGAAUCUUAAAGCAAUCACGCAAAUCUCGAGACACUUUUGUUGGUUAUAAGAGUCUUUAUUUCGAGUUAAAGGAGGGGAGUUAUGAUGGACGCGGAAAGAGUUAUGAGUCAUUAUCAUACUCAUUGAAUCGGAUCUAAAAGCAUUUAAAACAAUUGGGAAAAUAAUUGUAGCCAAUGUGCUCUCGUAGGCCACGUGAUUUGUGUGGUUCCUAUGGGCUCGUUCACCACGACCAAUAAAACCGUGGCUCAUUUGCAUCAAAUUUGUUGUGUGCGCGUUUCAUGAUCGUGGAGUGCUUUAGCCACCGUUUGGUUGCGGGGUUAAGGGGUGGAAUAACCCCUUAACCUCCAAUUUAUAUCCAAACAUCAUUCUUUUGGAAUGGGAUUAGUAAACCCAUCCCAAAUCAGAUUAGUGGGGUUUACUAACCCCACUUCCCCUCCCAACUUUAAUCCCGCACGUAUCCCGAGCUCUCACUUUUUUCUUCUUUAUCAAUCAUUAACCCCACUCCCCCUCCCAACUUUAACCCCGCACGCAUUCCGAGCUCUCACAUUUUUCUUUUUUAUCAAUUAUUAUCUUUUUAUCCCACCUAUUCCAACCAAACAUUUUUUUUCAUUAUCCUAGACUAACUCCAACCUCCAACCAAACAUAAAAAAAUUUUAACACCAUUUUAAUCCUAAACUUAACCCUAUUCCUGGAAUAACUAUUUUUUCUUAAUCCCGAACCAAACGGGGGCUUACGUUGCUGGACCAGCAACUUUAACUCCACAAUCCAAUCAAACUAGAACCAAAAAAAAAAAGAAGCCAUUAAAGUAUGGUUGUUUUUCAUUUAAUUUAUGGUGGUAUUUAACAGUUUUCGGAUCGUAUUUGUUCUCGCCGAUAUUUGAAAUGUUAUAAUGUGAUUGAAUUAGAGUUUAAAAGCUUACAUUAUGUAGUUCAAAUAAUAAUUUGAGGAGGAAAGAACGGUGGAAAUGAUAUGAAAUAAUCGCAUCUAGCUAACUUGUUAAUAAUUUUUCAAUACGCGAAUUGUUUUUGACCAUAGACGGCGUAAUCAGAACAUUAAAAAAUUUCAAGUUUUAUUUAAUUUUUAUAAAUAAAUUUAUCUAAAAAUAUAAAGUAACUAAAUUUCGCACUUACAACCGCAGAUAUUAAUCAGAAGUUUUAGCCAACUAUGCUCAAUAGUACUAAAUAGAUAAAUGCAUUCAGAGUUUAUUCGCACUAUAAACUAUUUUGAGUAAGCUACCUAAAUUUUGAUUUUACUUUUUAUCUGAUUUGAGUUAGUCACCGGUAAUAACUGAUUCAAAAUAAUUUACAAUUCAGAUAAAUUUUAUAUAUUAAUAAAUGGAGUUGAUAGAACUUCCAAAUUGACGACCGGCUCUGUUGAGCAUGAUUUAUACCACUUGAAAUAUUUAGAAAUCAAAUUUCAAAUCUUUUCGAUAUCAUUUGUCUAAUGAUUAAAGGGUUUUAAAAUUUGUAAUUUUAAUGGUCGAUAAGAGACGUUUUCUCGUUUAAUGGCCUAAAGAUAUCCAAAUCAAUUAAAUUUUUGUUAGAAAAUUCUUUAAACUAUUUAAAACAAGAUCUAUACUCUUGAUCUUGAUUACAAGAUUCCUAUCAUCAUUUUUUAAAGAGUAUUUAUUUUCAGCCAUUCAUUUUUCUGUUCAUUUGAUGGAUAAAAGAACAAUAUCGAAAGUGCGUGAAAUUUGAUUUCUAGGUAGUUUAAAUGAUUUAGAUCAUAUUUAACGAAGCCGAUCGUCAAUUUGGAAGCUCUAUCAUCGAAAAUAAAUCGGUAGUAAAACGAUUCGUUUACUACCCAUAGUAUUUUAGCUCAACUCUUAAUAAAUGUUAUUGAAUGGUCUCAACUAAAACAGCAUCUUGUGUGUACCAUCAUUGGUGGCCACAGUGUGUCCACGCUUCCCCCUUAUUUAAAGAGGGGUUAGGUACAACCCCAACACAAUUCUCCCAACAAAUUCCCCCAGCAUUUCCAUGUGAUCUAAUAAAUAUAUAUGGAUGACCCCUGUACUAUCUUUAUCUUGCAAGGACGUCUUUGUACAUUUUAUUUAUUUUAGAUGACAUAGUCUCCGAGCUUUUUUUUUUUUUUUUUUUUUUUUUUGAGAGAUAGGUAGCACGCUACCUGCUUCGUUUACUUCAUUUAGAAAUAAACUUAACCGAAAAUGUGAAUCAAAUAGGAUUCGAAUUUGGGUCUCGGAUACCAACUAGCAAGUCCUUUGUCAUUUGCUUUAGGGACGGUCGGUAAGCAUUGUUGCUUAUAAAAUAAUAUUUUUUUCAACCGGUUGAUUACUUUAUUGCUUUUAUAAGAUCUCUCACUUUCUUAAAUUAAAUUUAAAUAAAAUAAAUGAUCUAUUUUAUUAUAAAUUUAAAUUUUUUGGACUUGAAAAAUUAAAGUGCAGUGUAUAUAAAUCAAAAUUUGAAGUGUUUUUUUUUUGUAAAUAAGAUACAUAAACAUCAACUUGUAAGAUCAGAAAAGUACAAAAGCUCUACAAAUAUUUAACUCUACAUUAUUAUUAGUCCGUAAAAACGUGCAAAUAUUUUUCGACCAUUGCUAUUUUGAAAUGGUCUCUCAACACCCGCUAGGAGGUGAUAUAUUGAUUUUGAAAUGGUCGCUUAUUUUUCCAUCUCUCUCCGUGCAAUUCAGCAAGUGAUAUGUCGACACGUGUAUAGUGGGCGUGUUUUCCUGUUCGGGACGACACAGGCGAUGCGUGCACGCUGCUCCAAGAAGCGUGCGCGGGUUGGGUUACCUGUCGCCGCGUGCACGCGUUUCCCACGUGACCGACGAAUUAGUCCGAGUCGUACAAAAGCACCGGAGUUUGUUGUCUCAUGCACCCCGUGUUCCCGUACACCCCGUACACCGCAUUCAUAAGAUCCCAAAAUAAAAUAAAAUUAUUUACUCACCAAAAGUAUCCUAUGCCAUUCAGAUUUCAGAAGAAAUAUAAAUAAGUUUUCAUGCUGUUUAAUAUUUUUAUAUACGUACGGAACUUUUAUUUUGUGUAUCUAUUAAAUUAUUUUAUAGGUGAGAUGUGUAAUUCUACCAUAUUUAUUUAAGAAUUAAAAUGCUACUUUUUAUGAAUCCACACAUCACAUGUUUUGUAUAGAAUAAUUUAUUAUCAAAUAUUCUAGUCCGAAAUGUAAAAGAUGGAUGUAUAUUAUAAAUUAUUAAAAUUCAACAAUUAAAGGUUAUAAUCUAAUUUAUUAAAUGUGUUUUAUAAUAAUUUUAUAAUGUUUGUUGUACUAAAAGAAAUAUGAAUUUUAAUCUUGCGUUGAUUUUUUAUGUUAAAUGCCCUGGUUUUAGGAAAUCACCGGUAGAAAAAUGGGUGCAGCGUACGGGGAGUGUGUGUGCACCAGGUGCAGGCAAUAAUUCAUAACUUUCCAGAACACCGCAUCGGACGGUUGGGAGUUGGCGUUAAUAUCUUGGGAUUCGGAUCUUGUUGUUGCUCUUUGUCCUUCGCUUUCGUGUAAAAGUGUAAACAUGGAUGAACCUCCCCCAGUCGCCGCUUACGGGGAAAACUACGGGGCGCAUUAACACCCAAAGCUACCGCACCCACCAUUCACACCGACUCAUAGGGCCCACUCAAGAGGAAUCACUGAAUGGACCAGUUCCACCACGUCAGCUAUGAGCCGAGGCAUUUGGUUUUGAAUAUAUAUAUAUAUAUAUGUAUAUAAUUUACCUCUAAGAGUUUGUUGAAAUAAAUAAGAAAAGACAUAGAUUCUUCAAUAAUGUCAGAAAAAAAUUGAUUAGUACUACUAUUUUACUUUAUUUCUAAAAGACAAAAUCAGUUUUUCAUAAAUAAAGAUAAUUCAAUAAUAAAAUCUUUCAACUAAUAAUAAGAUCACUUAAUUAUAGAUUAUAGAGAAACCUUAAUAUAAUUUUAGCAUAUAAAAAUUUUAAAGGUUUUCUUUAAUUGGCACUAUAAAAAUAACUAGCAAAAAUAUUUUUUUGAGAGAAAAAUAAUUUGUUAUUCACUUCGUAUAUUUUUUUAAAAUAAAUUCAGUUAAAAAUAUAAAAUAAUUAGGCUUUAAAUUUUAAAUUUUGAAUACCAAAUUAUUAAAUUUUUUAUCACUCACGCGGAAGACGACCAGCGAUAGCUGCGAGAAAUUAAUUUGGCUGUUCUAUGAAGUGUGCAAAGUGCACGGAUGAUGUGGUGGACCAGGUCCAGGCACUAAUCUGCCAGUCACGUGGCAUCCAAAGGUGACACGUGUUCUACAGUUCUCUUCCAGGUUCCCCUGUCCCUCUCUCCUAUAAUCCUCCUCUUCUCUCUCCAUUUGGGAGAACCAGGGAAGAGAGAGAGAGAGAGAGAGAGAAAGAGAGACCCACCACCCCUCCUCCUUUCUCUCCCAUAAAACCAUAAGACACAUCCCCGAGAGACUCUCUCUCUCUCCUCUCUCUUUCCCCCCCCUUUUCUCUCGUAAAAUUAUAAUUUACUCCCUGGAAUUAAAUCAAUUUCAUCUUAAUUAUCUCAAAUAAUUUCCCCAAAUAAUAAUAACAUAACAUAACAUAACAUCAUUCAUAACCCCACCGAUCUUUUCUCAUUGCUCCACACGCGUGCCUCCUCGCCCCGCCUUUAACGCUUCCUCUCCUUUUAUUUUAUAUUUUAUAUUUUAUAUUUCCUUUAUUUCUGUACAAAUUAUUAUUGUUAUUAUUUAUUAUUUCUCGGAAUUAAUCCCAAAAUAAUCGGUAUAAAAAGGGGGCCUUUGUGUGUUGUGUUUGUUGCGUUCUCUUCGCUUUCCAUUUCGCGUAGAGCUCGAAAGAGAGCAACAGGUUGUGUCGAUCGCAGAGGAGAAGAGCUGCGGCGGUGAGGUUACCGGCGGUGGUGCGCUGCGGGGUUUCGAGGAGGGGGGUGGUCAUGGAGACGGAGACGAAGACGACGACGACGACGACGCAGGAGGAGGUGGAGGCCCUGAUGGAUCCGAAGAGCACCGUGGGGGGCGGCGUCGAGGACGCCUACGGCGAGGAUCGCGCCACCGAGGAGCAACUCGUCACACCCUGGACCCUCUCCGUCGCCAGGUUCGGAUCCCAUUGCCCCCAAACCCUCCCGCUUUCGAUUCGAUCGUUUGAUCCUGUUCCUCUUCGCUAGAUCUAAUUUUCCGAAUCGAUUAUCGUGCGGCAUUGCCGAUUUGAGUCGAGAAACGCGAGAUCGGAUCUGUUGUUGAUUUUGUUUCAGUUUUUUUUAGAUCUAGUUUCUGGAUCGAGUAUGGUUAGUUCCGUUUCCAAUUUUAUUAUUUUUAGCCCUAAUGUUGUUUACCACGUGGAGCUCCAUUAUUGCCCCUUUUCCGAAUAUUCGAUUGUGUCUGUACAAGGGUUUAUAGUGACAGGUGCUUUUUUUUGGUGGGCAAUUUUAAGUUAUUCUUGUAAGACACGAUCGGAUUAUUAUGUAAUUUAUUAAGUUAUUCGUCUUUGUUUGUUUCGUCAAUUUUAGAAUUAAUUUACUAUUUAUCCUUUUAUUAUUUUUUGCCCUUUGGUGUGGUUUCGUAGCAAUGUUUACUGCAUCAGUUCAGUUGGUUGUUGUCCAAAAUGUGAACCACUCGGCCUUCUAAUUAUUUCGUAUACCUCCAAACCAUUUUUAGUUAAGAGUAAUUUUCUUAAAAAAAAAAAUUGGGGAAAGUUUUGCUUUGUCUUAUAGAUCUGUUCCCGAAUGAAGCCACAGUUCAUCAGAUUCUGAUCUUAUACCGGUCAUAGUGUUUGGCAAUAUUUCGUUGGAUCAGCUGUAAUGAAUCUUAUAAUGCUGUUCAAUUAUUUCAUUUAGCAAAUCUAGUAAAGAGCAUGUUUUUAUUGCCCUUCUUCCUCAGUGGUUACAAUUUAUUGAGGGAUCCGCAUCACAACAAGGGCCUUGCUUUCAACGAAAAGGAGAGAGAUGCCCACUACUUGCGAGGCCUCUUGCCUCCGGUUGUUGUCUCUCAGAAGCUCCAGGUUUGUAUUCAUUUAACUCUUGUAGAAACUUCUAUCCAUUAUGCGGUAAUUUGUAUUUACGUACACGUUAUGCUUGCCUCUGUUUCUUAGGAAAAGAAGCUUAUGCACAAUCUUCGCCAGUAUAAGGUCCCCUUGCAGCGAUAUAUGGCGAUGAUGGAUCUCCAGGUAAUCAACCGCCUUUGUCCUUCCCCUUUGUUAUGCCAGUGCCUUGCACUGGAGUUUUACAGAGAUCUAGUUGGUAAUGAUUGUUAAUGGUUGGCAAUUGAAUGUUACAUUUCCUACAGGAAAUGAACGAAAGGCUUUUCUACAAGCUUCUGAUUGACAAUGUCGAGGAGUUGCUCCCUGUCGUUUACACUCCAACAGUCGGUGAGGCUUGCCAAAAAUAUGGUAGCAUUUUCAGGCGUCCGCAGGGUCUAUAUAUAAGUUUGAAAGAGAAGUGUGUUCUUGAUCUGUUCCAUUGCUUUACAUGCCAUCGAUGUCACUUCUCAUUUCGAGCAAUGGAUAAUGCAGGGGGAAGAUUCUUGAGGUGCUAAAGAACUGGCCUGAGAAGAGGAUUCAAGUUAUUGUCGUCACUGAUGGUGAGCGCAUUUUGGGGCUUGGAGAUCUUGGUUGCCAGGUGAAAUAUCUGAAUCAGAAUUCGGCAUAUUUUCUGGAUGUUCUGUUGAUUUAGACUGAAAUUUUGAUUGCACUGCUUAGGGAAUGGGGAUUCCGGUGGGCAAGCUUUCUCUAUAUACUGCCCUCGGAGGAAUUCGUCCGUCUGCUGUGAGUGUUUUAGAUCUUGUGCUUUUAAUCGAGCAGAAAUUUGUCUUAUAUACUAUUUCUUUUGCAAUUGCAAUUGCAAUUAUUUGGUGUAUACGUAUAUAUGCUGUCACCUGUUAGAUGAAAACACCAGAAUCUGACACUAAAAUUUUGGUAUUAUUCCUGCUGUUUUUUUAUUACAGUGCCUUCCCAUCACAAUUGACGUGGGGACAAAUAAUGAGCAGCUGCUCAAUGAUGAAUUCUACAUCGGGCUAAGGCAGAAGCGUGCUACUGGCAAGGUAGUUUAUAACUUGGUAAACUUGCAGAUAUUGCUUCCAGUCAAAUUUCAUUUGAAGUGAUAAAUGUGGAACUUAUAUUUUGAAUAGGAAUAUGCGGACUUAUUGCAUGAGUUCAUGUGUGCUGUUAAGCAGAACUAUGGCGAGAAAGUCCUUAUUCAGGUCAGUCAUGGUGAAGACAUUUAUUUACUUUUGUAGUUGAGUGUCAAAAAUACCUCUUAUCAAAAUUCUUAGUGGCUUUUAACUAUUUAAGUUUGUAUAUUUCUGCAGUUUGAAGACUUUGCUAAUCAUAAUGCAUUCGAUUUGCUGGCAAGAUAUUGCAAGACACAUCUCGUUUUCAAUGAUGACAUCCAGGUAAGGUGUUCUUGUUCUAAUUCCCUAUUUGCUCUUAGUAUUUGUUGAACUCAUUGUUCCCUUAAAUUAUGGGUGUUUUUUUACUUCUUUCUGUUUACAAGGCAAAUAUAUGAUCUGCAGGGAACAGCUUCUGUAGUUCUCGCUGGGCUAGUUGCAGCAUUGAAAUUGGUUGGUGGAACUUUAGCAGAGCACACUUACUUAUUCCUUGGUGCUGGUGAGGUUAGUCAUUCAUGGCUUUGUGAUUGCUUGGUUUAGCCCCUAGAUUUAAUUUGAUGACUUUUUUUGGUCUGAAAGAUGAAUUAUGAAGAUACAGGACCAGGUCCAAAUUUGGAAGCUUGAGCAGAUGAACUGUUUCAAACAAUCUGAAUCCCCAAUAUCAAAAUUUGGUUUGUAAAUUUUGCCAGUCAUUGAUCCAUUAUAUUUACACAAUUUUUGCAGGCUGGAACUGGUAUUGCUGAGCUUAUCGCUCUCGAGAUAGCAAGACAGGUAUUCAACCUUUAUCUACAAGCUGCAAAUAUACUCUUGAGCUUCCUUACUCUUAAGAGGAGUGCUCUGAAAUCAUUUUGAACAUAAGUAUUAAUUGGUUAUCGCAUUUGUGGGAGUUAUACUAGUAUAUGUCAUUUAUUUAUUUAUUAUUAUUAUUUUUUUAUCACUCUGCCAGACAAACGCUCCCAUUGAAGAGUGUCGCAAGAAGAUUUGGCUUGUAGACUCUAAGGUAUAGGGAUCAAACAAAGAAGAUUUUUCAUCAUGCAAUACGGAUAUGCAGUGCUGGUUUCAAUUUUCUUCUUUCUUUAAUGAAACUAAUUUCUUUUAUUUAUUUCACAGGGUUUGAUUGUUAGCUCCAGAAAGGAGUCCCUUCAACAUUUCAAGAAACCUUGGGCACAUGAACAUGAACCUAUUAAAAACCUCUCAGAUGCUGUUAAUGUAUGAAGUCCCUUAACACCCCUAUUAUUUUCCUUUCUAUCCAUUAUUUUCAUGCAAAUUUCGUUACUUGCAAUUCGUUGCUGUAUUUUCUAAUUCACUAUCAGAAUCUCACUUCUGUGCAUUUGUAAUACUGGUCUAACAGCAUGUUUAUGUUUAAAUAUUGAACAUUUCAUUUAUGGGGCCAUAGAAUGUCUCAUUUUUUAUGUCAAUAGCCCAUAUCCAUGUGAGACUAUACAUAACUUCAUCCUGCUAUUGGUGUUUUUUGAAUUGCUGACCACUUGAAUGAAUCCAGCUUCUGUACCGCCUUGCAUAAGCUAGCAAGGGUCCUUUCUGUGGUACUUAGACCAACACCAUUAACUUGCUGCAUGCUAGGAAUGUGAUUUAUAUUUACUAAUUUGCUUCUGUAGGUGUAAGGUUGCAGUGCUAGAGAUUCUGUUGACUUACAACAGGACUUGUCCUGUUAUUACUUUUUUUUCUUAGUUGCUAUAGUGUUAACAAUAAGUAGUUUUAAUCUUUUAAUGAAAAUUUUCAUAUAUUGCUGUUUCACGUAGUCCAUCAAACCAACUGUGUUGAUCGGAACUUCUGGAGUGGGGAAAACUUUCACAAAAGAUGUUAUUGAAGCCAUGGCUUCCUUUAACGAGGUACUAUUGUAUACAUUUUUCAGGCCAUCCUUUCAGCUUGAUCACUUUUUUGGCUGGAAACUGACUUGACUAAAAAAAAAUGCAGAAACCUAUCAUUCUUGCAUUAUCUAAUCCAACUUCCCAAUCUGAAUGUACUGCUGAGGAAGCAUACAAUUGGAGUAAGGUGAAACUCACACUUUGAUUUCUCUGCAAAAUGAUAUAUUUACAUUUAUGUUCCUGGAAAAUCUGAAUUUUCAGCUGUUCAAAAAUUAAGUUUCCUACGUAUGUACACUUAUACUUAACAAAAUGCUCAAUUUAAAUUGAGUGAACUGUUGUAAGAAACUGCACCUUUGGGGAGCAUAUAUAAAAUUCAGAUUAUUUUCAGGGCAUGUGUAAUAGAUGAUAAUGUAAGGCUAUGUACAUGUAAAAGCCCCUUGUAUAUAUAUGUUGCUACAUUCAGGAUCACACUAAAAGAUUAAUUAGCAAACUGCUUCAUGCUGAAACCCUCUUUUAUUUUGCAGGGCCGUGCAAUCUUUGCUAGUGGAAGUCCUUUCGAUCCUGUUGAAUAUGAGGGAAGGAUCAUUAUGUCUGGCCAGGUUUGAACUUUGCAUUCUCUGGAGGGGACCACGAAGGUUGCUAAAUUCAUUAAGGUGCUUUUAGACUAAUUUCCAUGUCACUCUUUCAGGCAAACAAUGCCUACAUAUUCCCGGGUUUCGGUCUCGGACUGGUCAUCUCUGGAGCCAUUCGUGUCCAUGACGACAUGCUUCUCGCUGCCUGUAAGUGAACUUUAAGGAGAAUUUUACCUCUAGGAUUUGGCUUCUAGUUCUUGAAACUUCUAUGCUUAGUUAGAUUUUCUUUUGUUCUAGGGAUAUAUAUUCUGGCCACCCCUCAAUUUAGUUUUAUGUGACUGCAAACUAUUGCUAAAAACCGAUGGAUAUAAGUGUUGGGUUUUGUCGCUUAAUUAUAUAUCAUCAGAUUGUUCAUAUACUUAUUUUAAAAAUCAAAGGUUUAUGCGGCCAUCUGUUAAUUGUUUAAAAUCAACUUCGUGUGUUGCCGAUAUAUAUUAUUAUUCCCUUUGUUCUGUAACUCAACAAAACAUCUUAGAAGACAUGCUUGGGCAGUUUAUGAUUGGAAAUUCCUCGUAAUCAAUGAGUGAAAUUAUUAUGCUUGCAUAAACUCGACAAUCGAUGAAGCUGUUUGUCUCAUUGGCCCUUUAACAGCCGAGGCGUUAGCUCAAGAGGUGACGCAGGAGAACUUCGACAAAGGGCUGAUCUAUCCUCCCUUCACUAACAUCAGAAAGAUAUCUGCUCACAUUGCAGCUAAGGUUGCUGCUAAGGCUUAUGAACUUGGUAUUUGUUUCCCCCCUCUCCCGCUUUUUUUCUUUUCCCUUUUCACGGCAACCAAAUUUUUAUCGCCUGGGCUCUUAACUUACAAUUUGUUUCUGUCCUUUUGGGUUAAGGUUUGGCGACUCGUCUUCCUCGCCCGGAAGACCUGGUGAAGUACGCGGAGAGUUGCAUGUACACUCCGGUCUACCGCAGCUACCGGUAAAUCAUUGGCCCUCAAUUUUGUAAUUGAUUAUAAGUAUAGGCUAUUUAGUUCCAUAAUUUAUGCCAUCGUUUGUUGUUGUUUCUUCAAAGUGGUGUAGACGUGUAGACAUUUUGAGUUUGGUCAUGGCUCAUAAUUUGUUAAUCUUGUAAUGCUUUAAUUAAAUGCAAUGAAGUCAUAUGUUUCCACAGAAAUAAAAAAAGACCAAGUUUUAUUCAUAAGAAAAAGAAGAAAAAUUACACUAUGAUAUGUUCCGGUGGACAAGGAUGGCUUGUUGGGCCUUCAAGGAGCAAAUCGAAAAGCGAAGUUUGGCCCACAUCUUUUCUGCAGACAUAUAGCCUGGUUCAGAUGAGCUGUACAGGAAUAUUGACAUAAAAAGGCCCAGUCACGAGCCAUAAUGUGAAUAUUGAAUGCAAAGGUGUUCAUUUAUCACAUUUGAGGUUGUGGAAAGAUUGUAUUUUGUGAGGGCGGGGUAUUAGAUUAUUGAGCUGGUCCAAGUAGAUAAUAUUAAAAAUGUGGGCUAAGUGGUCAUCCCCUUUUCAUUCUGCCCGCUACAAACGGUCGGCUGUAAUGUUUUGCCUGAACUGCUGACGCAUCAACAAAACAAAUCUCACACCAGCAUUUUGGCAUCUUUUUGUGCAAUUGGAAACUAAAGGUUUGUCUUUUGUUCAGUGAGAGGCCCCUGUGAUCAGUACUUCUUAAAUAUUCUACCUGCCAGAAAAUUUAUCUUAUUCAAGAAAUUGGAGGAUGUAUGUUAUAUGCUACUGAAGAGUGCUGAUCAUCCGCCAAUUAUUGCAUCACCUUUGAGUAAACGAAACGAAAAAGAUAUGUUAAACAGCAUAUUUAUACAAUCAAACAGCUCUAAAUUAAUGUCUAUAAUUUGUCUUAGAAUGUUUUAAAAUAAUUUGUUUUUCGAUCGUUUAAGGUAUCAUAUUGGUUGUUCUUCAUUCAGACGGCCUCGCCCCCGUCGAGUUUUGAGUUUUCUAUCAAUAACUUUUGUUGCGUUCAAAUUAUGUUAUCGAAUGGUAUCUUGAUCGUAUUGCCGCCCCUAAUCGAGGAUAUGAUCCCACCUCCACUCCAUGUCAAACUCAAUUCAAAAAUCCUAAUUUCUCCAUCUCAGCAUUGAAGAAACUGACCGACCGUCUCUAGAGCAAGUGGCAAAUGGCUUGGAGGUUGCUAUUCGAGACCCAAGUUCGAAUCCUAGUUGAUUCACAUUUCUAACCAAGUUUAUUUCUAAAUAAAAUAAACGAAACGGGUAGCGUGUUAUCUACCUCUUAAAAGAAAAAGUAUUGAAGAAACUGGCGACCAUAAAUUUUUGUCCUUGAAAGGUGGUUAAAUUUGCAAACCAACUAAUCGCCCAUUUUGGGGGACCCUUCGUUUGGAAUGUUUGGUUGUGUACUUGUCCCCCUAGUCCAUGUUCCCUUGCUACGAGGCCAAAUGGAUUCAGGAGAAAAUUUGGCACCGGCAUGAGCUACCGGUCAACCAAUAUCGCGGACCCAAAUCAUGCCCAAUUUGCACCACUAGCUAGGAGCCAAUUUCGAUUCUGGUUAAGUCUAACCUCCCGGUCAUUGUUAGAACAUUUAUUUCGUGACACCAUUCCUCACGUGCAUGUCACAUGGUAUAAAUACGCAAAUCGACCCUCUCGUUUCUUUCGAUCUCGAUCCCUCCGAUGACAUAAAACGUACGCACGCAACCAUGUUGCUCUUUGAAAGGUUCAUCAAGUUCUUAAAAGCAGCGGAAUGUUGAUCGCGGAUCGAAGCUUGGAGUCGUCGUUAAGGUCAGCCUUAUUAGCUAGGAUUAAUUGCAUAUUAUAGUAUGAUGAUCAUGAUGAUUAUUGUUUUAUUUGAUUGCGAUUAGUUGCAUGUGUUAGCUUUAGAGUGUUGGUGUUGUCGAUUAUUAUGCUGUUACAAAAGUGUUUGUGUGCAAUACAUUUCACUGGGAUAUGAUAAGAUGACAUUAGCCCAAUAGUGUGUAUAUAUAUAUAUAUAUAUAUAUAGGUGAGAGAGAGAGCAAGUAAAGAGAAUUUCUUUGCUAUGAAAGCUUCAUUAAGCUUUGGCUUAGUUUGGUUUCUUGUAUUUGUCUUAGCUUAAUUUAUUGUUUUCUUUCUCAUAUAUGAAUUAUAUGAUGGUAUAUAAAUUAUAUGGUCUUCUCUCUAUGCAAAAACAAAAGCACAUAUACUUCUAGCUUCGACUUAUGGGAUGUAUUACUAACUAGAAAUUAUAUGAUCUUCUCUCUAUGCAAUAACAAAAGCACAUAUCUAGCUUCGUCAUGUGGGAUGUAUUAAUUACUAACUAGAAAUGCCACAAGGUGGAGUUAUUUUGUUACUCCAUCAAUGUCUUAGAAUUUUUCUUUAAUUAACUUUUGCACGGUCCACUUAAUGCUAAUUAAGUUGCAAUUCAUGGACCUGUCUUGUUCUAAUGAACUUAAUACGGACCCGAAAUGUUGGGUCAUGCAACUUGUAUAAGCUGAUGAAGAAGCUCCACAGCUUUUUACGAGCUAAGUCGACCAUGUUUAGUUCUUCGACAAAAAUUUGUUUGGGCUCGUUCGUGCUCCAAAUUUGUUUGAUCAUUUUCCUCCUCUUAUUUAUCCCGUUAUUAAAUAAAAAGUUUUGUGGAAAAACUGUUCUGAGAGGAAACAACAAGUAGCGUAUACGAAGGCUAUAAAUUUAUAGAAAAUGUUGGUAUGAAGUGAUUUUCUUGUAGUGUUCUCAUCCGAAAAGUCAAUGUGGGACCUGUGAUUCCACUUGGUGAUACCAAUCUAUAUAUAUACAUUUGGAAGCUAUAUAUAUUUUCUUUUUUAAUCAUGUUUUACGCAGUUCGUAGUUUAAACUCUUUAUUAGGUAAAUAUAUCUUCAACAAACUUUACAUACUUGUGAAACCUUGAUUUUAUACAACGUGGAGCAAUCGAAGUCGCAUGAUUAUGACCUGACCUGUCCCGCCAAUAAUCCCAUUUAAGGCACAAGUGUGUGUGUGUAUAUAUAUAUAUAUAUAUAGUCAGGCUAUGGUGUUUAUAAAAGUACCAAGUAGUUGGUGCUUAUAAAUUUUUUACCAUUAGGUCUACACCUUUGAUCAUUCCUACCCGUUGAUCAUACUAUUCAACCAACUACCAACUCAAUCCUAAGAGAUCACUAUCAUCCUAACAGCACAUCUCUUAACCCAAGAGCUAAAAACUUACAAGCACUAAUGACUUACUACUUUUACAAGCAUAGGAGUUCAAUUUUAUAUAUAUAUAUAUAUAUAUAUAUAUAUAUAUAUAAGCACAUCUCUUAACCCAAGGGCUAAAAACUUACAAGCACUAAUGACUUGCUACUUUUACAAGUAUAGGAGUUCAAUUUUAUAUAUAGAUAUAUAUAGAGAGAGAGAGAGAGAGAGAGAGAGUCCGGCUGGGAUACUAUAUAUCGAUAGCACGAAGCAUUUGGUGCUAUCAAAUUUUUUGCCAUUAGAUUUACCUUUUUUAUCAUUUUCAUCUCUUCGAUUAUACUAUUCAACUAAUUAUAACCACCCACUCAACCCUAGGGGACCCACAUCAUCCUAAGCGCACAUUUUUUAAUCCAAGGGCAGAAAACUUAAUAGCACCAAUAACAGCAUAUAUAUAUAUAUAUAUAUAUAUUCAUUUUUAGACUACUCGUUUGAUAGGUAAAUGAUGCCGAAAAAUUAUGAAAUUUAGUUUUCAAAUAGUUUCAAUAGUGUAGAUCAAGUCUAACAGANNNNNNNNNNNNNNNNNNNNCUUUUAAGAUAAGUGAUGUAUCUAUUUCUAGUUAUUGAGGCUAGAACUUAACUUCUUAGGCUAGUAGGAAAAAAUCCCGCAGCAAGCUAAAACUGGCAAGUAAAAUACGGGUGAACUACCUGAAAUAAUACUAAAGCCUUUAAAUGUUUUAAAUAAAAGAUCUUCAAAGUUUAUGAGAUCUAGUACAAAUUGCCUCACCUAGCAACUAAGCCUUCGAGGUAAUAGCUUUUAAGUUGAAUACUCAGGCUAACGAAAAUAUGACAAUUUGAUCAUAUCAUAAGGUAUGGCCGGAAAUAUAUAUACAGAUAAACACUGGAAAACGAGCAUACCAAAAUACUACAUGGUUCAAUAACCACGAACAUCCAAAAAGCCGUAAACCUAAUUCCCUAUACGCCAAUCCUACUAUCACCACAGGGAUCCCAACUAACCCACCAACCAACUCAUCAUACUAGAUUACCAACUUUUACUAGGCUCAUCCACCUUUACUAGAUUCGCCAUUUAGAUUGUCGUUUUUUGAACAUUCGUGCUCCACGAACCACGAAAACGAUCGUAGCAUCGACCUGAGAGAGAGAGAGAGAGAGAGAGAGAGAGAGAGAGAGAGAGAGAGAGACACACGUAUAUAUAUAAUGAAUCUAAACGUUUAAAUAUUUGAUUUAGUAUUUUGACCCUAACACGGUUCCUGAUAGCUGUUAUUAUCGUAUUUAAUGUGGACGAUUUGAAUAAAACUAAAAAUAUUCUAGUGAGACAGUUUAAAACAAAUUAACAGAAUUGAUUCAUGACUAGGUUCACGGUUAAAUUAACGGUAUGGUAAUGGUCUCAUGUUCUCAACAACCAUACUAAUUGACCACACAAUAAUAAAUUUAAUCAACGACUGCGUUUUCCUUGGAACUCUAAGAGAUUUUCUUCUUAGUUUGAAAAGGUAAUUUUUGUUUUUGAAAACGUGUUUUUUGUCUUCAUGUAAAAGUGCUAGUAAUUAUGACAUCCGGGUGUUUAGGUGAGAUCGAUCCUGCGACGUACUCACUAGUAUAAUUGUUUCAAUAAACAUGAGAACGGUUUAUUGUAUGUUUUUAGAAUCGGUUUAAGUUUGUGAUUUAAUACUGGUUUAAAUUAGAUAAAAAACCUCUACUUUUAUUAUUAGAGUACGAAUGCGAAGUCGGUGUAACUAGUUUAGUGCACCCUUACAAUCAACCGUGCAGUACCUCGUGGUGCCUGUUGCAACCUUUGAAGAAGCGUGUCGAUUUUAUCAAAAAUUCAACAAAUUCCGAUUCUUUUACACCGUUAAACUAGCAAGUAUUCCAUACCGGCCUUUAAAAAUUGUCAAUUUGUGACCUUUUGAUCGUAAGGUAAAUGAUGUCCAAAAAUUAGGUUUUUCGGCAUUUGGAUGAAGGGAUAUGCGGUUAAGAUGAUAGUGGUGUCCUAGAAUUGAUUGAGUGGUAGGUCGAGUAGUAUGAUCUAACGGAUGAAAAUAAUCAAAGUAGGUGGAAAUGAUCAAAGCGAUAAAUCUAACAGCAAAAAACUUGUAGCACGAGGUGCUUGGUGCUAUUGCUAGCAUAGUAGCUGAACUCUCUCUCUCUCUCUCUCUCUCUCUCUCUCUCUCUCUCUCUCUCUCUGUGUGCAUAUAUAUAUUACUUAGAUUUGCAAAUUUAUAAACUAAAUCAUAAAACUGGGAUUGUGCCAAGGACUAUCGACAAUAAUAGCAUAAAUUACACCUGCUAAACUUAUUUUGAUUUUUAUAAGAUCACUCUGUCAAAUUUUGUUUAAUUGUCUUAACUAAGUACUGAUCCAAGUGCCAAUUUAAUUGCCAUACCAUUACCAGAGUACAAGAGUUGUUGGUAUGAUUAACUGGUGUGUUAUUAUUUAAAUUAGUUGCUGACGCAAAAGGAACCUUGAGAUUCUCUAAAAGAAGAAUCAAACUUUUCCAUUAAAAACAAAAACUUUUGCACAAAAAACAGAAGUACAUUUUCACGAUCAUUAAUACUGUAGGCCCACAAAUCCACUCUAGCUAGGACGCUGCAUGAGUGAUCAUAUUAACAAAGUUAUUUGUACUCUUGCCAAAUAACAUACAAAAAUCUUAGCCAAAUUCAAACACUAAAUUAUGACCAAAUUUAAUCUAUUUUUUGGAGAUGAAAAUAAUAAUCUCAUGCUUACGCUUCAGCCACAUUGAUCAAAUCACGUGGGAAUGUUAGUUGGCACGUCAUGGAGCACCACGGACAACGUUGGAAACUUCUUCGCACAGCUAAAAUCCUAUUUUAAAAUAUUACUUACUCUAACAAGAUAAAGCAAAAAAAAAGCAAGUUAAAUUGAACAUAUUCUUAUAGAUCUGUAGAAUUAGUUAUUUGUCUUUAUUGUAUAUAUAUAUAUAUCUUUUUCCAAUUUGAGGACACAGACAUUUUCACAACUCAUCCUAUUACGUUGAUAUUCAUCUUGCUAGCCAGCUAUACAAUGGUCUCAACCUCCGGUCCAAGUCCUAAACUACCAGUCUCUUCAUUCAAUUCACACAGCAAAUGUACAUAACGUAAAAUGUGGGAGGGGUCCCCGUACAUGAUUAAUUUGGAUUGUAUAUAACUAGGUCCAAAUUGACACGACCAUAUCGUCGCAACUAUUACCUAGGGGUUAUGUCAUUAACAGUAGUUCAAGAUACUAUGUCUCUAUUGCUGAAUAUAAAAUAUUAAAAUAUUAUUUUUUGGCAGUUUUAAAUUAUAGAGAUAAAUGCUGGUUUUAUAUUGUAGGAAUUAUCACGCCUUGGGGCCUAAUUAAUAGAAGUCUUUGUGUAAAACAGUGCCAUUUUAUAAAUUAGAGUUGCGAAAUAUUUUUUUUUUUUGAAACAACCUACCUCACGUGAUGUACAGAUCCGUCAUAAAUACAAAUUUAUCUACUCAAACGAACAUAAUUUUUUUUAUAUUUGCCCGGCAUACCGAUCAAUAACAUCAAAAAUCCAUCGACGGUACUCAAUUCCCUUAGGUCCAAAACUUAACCUUCCGUCUAGGCCAAAAGAUUUAAGGCUGCCACUACUAAUUAAGCUCGACAAUUUAGCCUGCUAAAUCGACUGUUUGGAUACAAUCAAAUUGAGAUAAACUUCAUGCAUAUCCGUCACUAGAUGAGCAGGAUUGCCAAUGGCAACACGCAGUUAUAUCAACCAGUGAUACCCAACAUUUGUCUGUACGAGAUCCUAUCGCUAGUUCAUGAGUUCUAAUCAUACCAAACUUUACUCUUUGUACAGCCAGCAAAGCGCCUAGGGAAUAUCAUUUUAAUAUCGUUGUAAAAUGCGCCAAUUGUUCCUAACGUAAGUGGCUAAGGAUUUGGUAGUUAAUAUAUGAGGUCCUAAGUUCGAAGUUUAAUUGUUUUAUAUUUCAAGCUAAGUUUAUUUCUAAAAAAUAUGAAUAAAGCGAGAAACAUGAUAUCAUUCUCUCGGAAAAACAAAUCCUUGCAAUAUGUGCCUAUGUAUCCAUUUUCCAAUGAAAUUGAUUACUGUUUACUCAAAGGACAAUCACACCCUCCUGAAUGUAUUUCCUCUAAAUUUUUUUAGUGUCAUUUUCCCUCUCCACAAUAUAUAGUUUAGCAUUCAGGAGAUAUUAGUAGGGCUAGGAAUUAAGUUUUUUGGGUUUAGAGUUGCAAGGAUGUAGAGGAUUUUCGAACAGGAAAUUAAUGUAUAAUAAAAUUGAAUUUGCAUAUGUAAUUUGAUAAUUCACAAGGAGGCAAUUUCUUUGAGAAAGAGAUGGAAAGAGAGCGAAAGGAAAGAGAAAAGUCACCUCCAACCAUGUAAGCUUAUGAUUGGAAAUUUAUUGUUAGGUUUGAGAACUCUUUGAUGAGGCUGAUACACAUAUUUUGGAUAAUUACCUAUAUACCUUUCAAAACUUUAGAAAUAAUUUAUUACCUAUAUGUUCCUUCGUUAUUCUCAAAUACCCUUACAGUUAUCAAUGUUAAGUUAACUUGAGUUAAAUGUGAGUUACAUAUCUACCAUAGUUAAAAAAAUAAAAAUACCAUUUUUGUCCUUAACUUAAACUUAAGGGCAAAUAAGAAAUAUUGGUGAUGGUAGAAGGGUAUAUUUGAAAAGAUCAAAAAGCAAAAUAAUUCUUGUACCCCUAAUUUAAGGGCAAAUAAGAAAAGUCGGUGCUGGUAGAAUGAUAUAUUUGAAAAGACAAAAUAGUAAUUUCAUAGAGAUAACAGAGUUCAUUAACAAAUUUUAACUCUAGAGAUAUGUUUGAAAUAAGUUGGAUCGUAAAAAAAAUAAUUUCAAUAUUAGUCUUCUAAGAGGGAUAAAUCAGAAAUUCGAGGACUUUUCAGGGGUAUAAAAGCAAUUGCCCUUUUUCUGUGUUAUUAAAUAUUUGCAAGUCUUACCUAUUGUAUAGCUUGUUUCAAAAGCAAACUUACAUUUUACACACCCUCUAAUCCCUCUAAUUAAGCCCCUUAACCCCUCGAGAUAUUUUGUAUCAUUCCUGACUCAAAAUAGGGCACUCGGCCUUAAUACUCACCUAAGCUUAUUGUGCACUUAAUUCCUUUCCUGUUUUAUAUGCUACACUUAAUAAUUUAUAUGCGUGCUAGCUAUAUAUAUCUAUUGAAAACCAUGCAUUUUGCUAUGGACAACUGUGCCUUUUGCAUUUGAAAGUUGUGAAUCUUGCUAAUGCAGCUCUUUUAUUCACCAUUCAAUAAAUUAUGCUUAGUUUUAUGCUAAUUUCUCCAAAAAGAAAAGAAAAGAAAUGAAAAGCUUCUACGUACAGUAUCUUCUAAAUUACAUGUUUUUGCGAUAGUUGCUGACUUUUUCAAAUAGAUACACAUACAUGCUAAUGUGAUCUCUCGAAAUUAAACACGUUUUCAUAAUUACAUGCAUAAAACUAGUAUAAUGUUGAUUUUGAAGCAAGAUGAGGAACAUAUGCAUGCCUUCCAAACACAUUUGAGAAAGAAGGAAAGGUGAAACUGACAGAAGAUGCAUGUAAUCUGUGAAAAAUCUUUGGUCGUUCAUAAAGUAACCAACUGAUUAUAUCUAAAUUUGUUCCUUAGGGAUUAAGUAAAACAUAGUUACAUCUACCACGCACAUAAUAGAUGAUAUUCUUUGUAAUACUUCAAACUAAUAUUUGAUGUUCAGUUUCUUUUGAAUGCAAAACCAAGAUGAACUUGGCAUGAAAUCACGCAACCAUGUUAGUUGCAGGCAAAAGCUUCCUCUUGCUGGUUAUUAUUGUAAUUUUCUAUGCUCUAACAAACCCAAAUGGCUAGGACCAAAAAAAAAAUUUUUGUUUUUUUUUUGAGAGAAAGGUAGCAUGCUACCCGCUUCGUUUAUUUCUUUUAGAAAUAAACUUAGCUGGAAAUGUGAAUCAACUAGAAUUUGAACUUGGGUCUUGGGUAUCAAUCACCAAACCUUUUUGUCACUUACGCUAGGGACGGCCAGUACCAAAAAAUAAAAAUUACUCAUAGAAAAUGGUCGAUUAUUUGUUAUAUCAAUGCCUAAUCUUUUUGAAACUUAAUAUCAGUACAUAACCAUAAAGUUCAACUCGAUCAUUCUUACCUUCUAAUUUCAGUGUCAUUUUCUUCAAAAGUGUAGGUUAAUAAACAAGAGAAAUUAAAGUGCACGCUACACAUCGUUUGUUAGAUUACAACACAAAUGAUAUACUCAAAAUUAGAAUUCUCAUAACUUCAAUUUGGAGCUCUUCAAUGAUUUACUCAUGCAUCCAAUAAUUAAUGCUAUCAAGGAAGUGGUUUCUACAGUACAGGCAUCUUCUAAGGUUGGAAAGCUUCUUGGUUUCACUCCAAAAUAUACACUAAUAAUCUACAGUAUUAAUGUCUGAAUCGACAUGCAACCAUGAGCAAUAUAUAGUAUAAAAGGUUAUCAUGCUUCAAAUUUGUGUUGUUUGUAGGUCACAUUGCUUGAACAUAAGUAUAUGUUCUUCACGCAAACUAGAAAUCAUAAGUUACAAACUAACAAGAAUACAUGUAUUUGCAAUACCAAAGCUGUAUGUUUUUUUAUAAAACAACAGAUAGAGUUUUCCUUAGUCGAUGUAAACAAUUAGAAUCGCUUAAUUUCCUGCAUGGUUAAUAAACUGCCCGUGCAAGUUUUCAAACAUACUUACUUGGGAUGAUAUGGUGCCUUCCCACAAGGAGCCAAAUACAAAACCCGAAUCCAUUGCCGCAAUCUGAUCAUUACUCUUAUCACUAUUCUCAUUGUUAUCACCAUUGCUUUCUAUAAUAUUCUGGUGCUGGUGCUGCUGUAGGAAGAUGUCAUCGUUGAUCAGCGAAUCGAAGAAGGAUGAGAAGACGUCGUCUUCUUGUUCGAGAUUCACCCCGUGGAGCAAGUAAUUGCCGUGGUCGUGAUCGCGAAGGACUUCACCGGGAGCAGGACUAGGGUUUGGUUCAGGGUUGGGGUUAUUGGUGGGGUUAUUAGGGUUAGGGUUAGGGUUAAGGUCAUAAGGAAGGGUUGCAGGUGGAGGAUGGAGACCAUGGCUUGUGAGAGAGGGUAGUGGAUUGUUACUAUGGUUGGGACGAUGGUUGCUGGACACCAAGGGCUUGUGCGUCCGCGGAUCGAUGCCUUGGCUGAUGAGCUUCUUGCUGAGGUGCGUGUUCCAGUAGUUCUUGAUCUCGUUAUCUGUACGUCCGGGUAUCCUUCCAGCUAUCAAAGACCACCUGCAGGAGAAACCAAAGACAGUUCCGACAUUAAUUUGCCAGUCUAGCUAUAAUAAUCGGGCAAUUCAAUCGACAUGUGAUACAUCAGCAUGCAUGCCAGUACAUCCGCAGCUAUAUCUAUGAUAAAAGUAAAGUGUGUGUGUGUGUCUGAGAAAGAGAGAGAAGGGGACCGACCGGUUACCGAGGAGGCGGUGGAGGCGGAGGAUGAGGUCCUCCUCGUCGGGGGCGAUGGGGCCGCGCUUGAUGGAGGGGCGCAGGUAAUUCAUCCAGCGGAGGCGGCAGCUCUUGCCGCAGCGGAGGAGGCCGGCGCGCUUGGGCAGCGUGCGCCAGCGCCCCUCCCCCUCCCGCCGCACAUAGCUAGAUAGCACCUCGUCCUCCUCCGCCGUCCACGGGCCCCUCUUCACCCCCAUCUUGCUGCAGCACGGCGUCGCCCCACGCCCUCCCACUCCGCCGCGCCCCCGCGACGGCAACGACGACGACGACGCACCCACCGGGUUCUUCAUUUCUUCCUUUCUAUCACUCUCUCUCUCUCUCUCUUUCUCUCUCUUUGUUUCUAUGCGUCCCUCCUGAUCUCUACGGAUGUGGAAUUAGGGUUUGGUGUGCGUGAAUUUUUUUUCAUUUUUCAUUUUAUUUUAUUUGUAUUUAUUUUUGCUUUGUAGGGAAGGUGUUGUUGAGCGGUGACGUAGGUGGUUGGAGUCCUAGAUGUCGAUCUAGGGGGAAUUUGGAGCCGACCAUGCUGACGUGGGUGGGCGCGGGGGUGAUAGCGACGUCAGGUGAUGCAUAGAGAUUUCUAUGCGCGUUUUUGAUCCAGCCGUUCGUUUUUCUGCCUUGUCCCAGAUCUUCGGUGAGUUACUACUAGUAGUAGUAGGAGCCAUGCCUACGUUUUUUUUAGACAUUUACCCUCACAUUAGUCAAUUUAUUACAUCGAAUGCCACGGAAAAAACGGAGCCGCCUCGCACGGAGCGGACGAGGGGUACACGCGAUCCACCUUCCUUAUAUAGCCUGCACUAUAAUCACAGCCGUCCAUAUAGGCGGCGAUGCAUAGCCUGAGAUUUUCUUUCCCCUGCGCUUGCUGCACCACGUCAGCACUGUGGACCACUAGUGAAUGGAGCCCUUCGUCCUAUUUGGUUAAAAAAAAAAACACUUAUGGUACAGUAUGAAAUUAAUUAACAUUAUUAUUACGUAAUUUUCAUUUUCUUAAACUAGAUAAUUUUUAUUAAGCAAAUAAAAGCUUUUUAUAAAAUUUAACUGUAGUUAUUAUAAAUUACUGAACACUUUUUAGCUGAUGGAACUAUAAACUUCAUUAAUAGUUAACCAUUGAUAGCUCAUGGAGCCCAUUAAUUUUUACAAAUUGUUAUCAAAUAAAAACAAUAAAAUGUUAGAAAGCAUCAGUUUACCUUAACCCCUAAAAAAAAAAAGAAACCAAAGAUCUAUUUUAAGAUGGUCUCAUGGUCUUCAUACAAUUUUUAAUUUCCAUCCAAUAAUUUACAAACUAUUACAAGCAAGUAGUGAAUUUGUCUGCUAUUAGUAGACAUAGCCAAUAGAAUCAGAGAAAACAAAAAAUCAAAGAUCAUCACCGUUUACAGCAGUUGGUUAAUUAAUAAUCUUCAAUUCAAAUUAGAAGUUCUAGGUUCUGAUUUUGGGUGCAAACUCAAAGAUAUGAAUUGAGGGUUGGUAUUGUUCAAUCAACUACUCUAAAAAGUGGUUAUUUUAAUUUUUCCUCUUUUAUUUUGGCCUAAAUUAAUUCUAUUGUCGCGUUCCAUUGUAAAUGAACUAGCACGAUGAUGGCCUAUACUAAGCUUCUCCACUCUGGGCCAUUGUGGGCUUUUCCCAAUGGGCUGUGGUUCUGACUAGCCCCAAAUUAGAAUGCUAAUGAAACCAGUGCGAAGACACAGCAGAGUCAAAAAAAUCAUUGGGUUCAGAUUGAUCCAAUGAAUAAUGCGAACACAUAAGAUGUAGCACAGUCAAAAUAUGCUGAGAUGCCAUUAAAGAACCACUGCUGCAGAUUCGCAAGCGAUUGAAACUUUGUUACUGUAAAUAAUCCGAUCGCUGACGUAUCACCACUGCCAUAGAUCGAAUAACCGCAGCAGCUUCUGUAACAGCUUGUACUCAACAUAAAUUUGUAACAGCAUUGUGGACAAGCUAGUUCUAUACAGGAUAUUGUUAUAAACUAAUCUUCAUAUAGUGUGACCUACCUCAUUUGGUUACUCAUUUAGAUGUAGGUAAAUACAAUACAUGGGCUAUCACACUCGGAUUCCAGACUCUAGGGCUUUGGUAGGAGCAAAAUAUGCAAAAAGCUUUUGCACUGUCGAAUAGACUAUCGAUUGAACUUCUACACAUAGUUAUUACAGUAUGCUGUAUAAAAUUUUAGGCAACAAUUUAAAACUCUUUAAACAAUUAACUCAGUUCAAACGGCACUUCUGUAAAAACUCCUGACGGACCUAAACGAUGCAACAAUGAGCAGUGAGCACCCUCGGCUAAUGGCAAGCAGAUUUAGUAAUCCACAUUGUUAGUAAGGUUCCAACACAUGAUUUUAUUUGGUUAUAUAUGAAGCAGCUUUUCCUUACUAGGAUAAAAUAGCCUAAUCCCUUAAUUAAUAUGGCUAGGCUGUUCUCUUCUGUACUAAUCUUUCUUUUAGUACUAUGUAUAUAUGUAGUUUAUUAAAGUGCCUUUGCAAAUUAACAGUUGAAAGCUUGCUAGAACAAAGGACAUUCUAAGCAUAAUUCCUUCUUAUAAAUGAAUUAUUUUCAGAAAAAGUGCAAGAAACUGGCCUGAAGGGAAAUGAUAUAUAUAUUUUUUCAAUGUAGUGCUGUUGGCUUGGAGGAAAUGAUAUUUUAUUUUAAUCUAGUGCCUGCUUGGUGUAGAAUAGCUUUUUCUAUUCUUAAAUACAUCAAUCAGAACAAAGAGUAAGUUAUCCAAAAUAAGUUAGAUAAAGUGCAGUAUAUAUAGAGAUAAUCACUCAUGCCACUUACACUAACAAGAUUGAACAGAUAAGAAUAUAUGUAAUAGAAUGGUGGACUUGGUUACCGAAGUUAGAAACUCUUGGAGUUGAGAGGGCAUAGAGCCGUCUCUGAAAUCAUUUAUUUCAACUCGUGUCUUCAAAGAAUUCUAAGAUCCCAUGUAAGGAGUGUUAAAUACAAAUGAUUAAAAUAUCGUGCCUCUAUCAGAUCAAGCUUUCAAACACAAACAUUUACUUCAUAAAUGUGGUGUUAGAGAGAAGAUGUGGAGUCCAAAUCUUAUCCAACUUUUGGUCUAUCGUUCUCUGACGACUUAAUUUUUUAUACAGACUUUCAUUUUUAAUAUAUAUAUAUAUAUAUAUAUAUAUAUAUAUAUAUAUAUAUAUAGACUAAUAUGCUUUUGAAAAUACGGAGGCUUUUAUGCUUGUAAGUUGUUUUCGAUUUUCGAUGAUGGGACAUCCGAUUUAGCGAUCGGUUUUCUGGGACAUGAUCUACAGUAUUAGAACUAUCUAAAAUCAAAUUUCAUAAUUUUUUGAUUUUGUUUGCCUAGUGAAUGAGUAGCCCAAAAUACAUUACUGAAAAUAAAAAUUACAUANAGUGAGGCUACUAUGCUAUCGGAAGCACGGAGCCUUCCGUGCUUCCAGCUCGUUUUCGAUGUUGCGACUUUCGAAUCGUCGAUCGGCUCCGUUAAACUUGAUCUAGAGUAUUUGGAGUACCUAGAAAAUAAAUUUUAUUAUUUUUCGAUAUCAUUUGCCUAGUGAUCGAAUGGGUUCAAAAUCAACAAAUUUCAAUGGUCGUAGUGAGCCGUUUGCAAGUUUAACGGUGUAGAAAUAUUCAAAUCACGUGAAAUUUUGAUAGAAAAUUCUUUAUACUAUAUAAAAUAAGAUCAAUAUCUUUGAUUUAAAAUUUUAAUGUCAUAUUAUUACAUUUUGUAAGAUUUUUAUUUUCAGCCGUUGAUUUUGAGCCCCUUCGUUCACUAGGCAAAUGAUAUCGUAAAAUCAUAAAAUUUAUUUUCUAGAUACUUCAAAUACUCUAGAUCAAGUUUAACGGAGCCGAUCGACAAUUCGAAAGUCGCAACAUCGAAAACAAGCUGGAAGCACGAAAGGCUCCGUGCUUCCGAUAGCAUAUAUAGUAGCCUCACUCAUAUAUGUAUGUAUAUAU
rnacentral:lncRNA from 1 species